rnacentral:lncRNA from 1 species
UUGGCUCAUUUCCGCCUUGGCUUUCUUCAGUAACCUUAUCGCAUAUUCCAAUGGGUUUUUACAUAGCAUUCCAGCCUUAGUAAUUGAAGCUGGAUAAACAAAAGCAUUUCCAUAGUAUCCUGGAGGCAGAUCGAAACCGCGCUUGCCUCGCAUAUUGAUUAAGCAUGAAAUGCGAACAACCUCAUCAGGGUCUACUGCAAAUGCAAUUGUGCGGCAUCUCCAUACAUACGCUAUUAGAACCUCAAACGUCGAGCAGGCACCGAGGCUUGCAGGAAGUCGGUUCCUAAGUGCUCUUAUCUCCUUGAGGCCAAAGAAGAAUGAUCGAUGAACCAAAUUAUUUUCGUCCAUGGUCAUUAGUGUGCCCCUGGUAUUGGUUACCUCCUCGUAUUCAUGAUGUAUACGGGUAAUUCGUGGCGGAUUUCGGGCAUUUAACAGCUCUCUUUGCCAUAUGGGCAGCAGAGAUGGCACAGACAGACCUUGAGCCAUCUCGCUUAUGGCGUCGAGGAAUUGGACCAAGCCAGGACCAUCACUCAUUGUGUGGUUUAGGCGCAAUGCAAAUAUAAAUCCUCCACACCUCAAUCGGGUCACCUGCAUUGUACAAACAUCGGCUUUAUCAAUAUAUGUUUUAGCAACAUCCAAUGAAAUAGACAAUUUUUGCUUAAGUAUUGGGUUAUUUGAUAUCUAUUUUAAAUCAUUAUCAAUUAAUAUUUUUUUUUAUUGAUUUUAACUCAUCUUUGCUUUCAUUAAUUUUAAAUAAUAAAUUUAUUUAUAAAACAAUCAUAAAAUAUUUAUUAUAAAAAAUGGAUGUAAAAUAAUAAUUCUAAAAAAUACUCUCACUAAUGUGGUUUCAAAAAGUUACUUUUAUUAUUUCAAAAAACUAAAUAUUUUUAUUUUUUCAAUUCAAUUAAAAUUUUUAAAAAUAAGUGAAAAAUAAAAAAUAAAGAAAAAGUUAAAAACAAAGUAUGUGACAUAUGAAAGUAAAUUACAUUCAUUAUUAAGUUAAAAAUAAAUACUAUCUAAAAUAAUUAUUUUAAUUUAAUAAUUAAAGUAAAAAUAAUUUAAAUAUAAUAUUAAGUUGUCUAAUCAAAUAUCAUUUUUGGGUAAAGUUGACUUACCAAACAUUUUCUUAUAAUGAAAAAUAUUUACCUGAAUUAAGAUAAGAGGGGAACCAAGAAUUUCCCCGGAGCCAGGGACAUCAUACAGAAUCUCCUCGUAGCAGGGGCACAUUGGUUGAAUUGAAUCACCAAGAUUCUCAAGUGUGGUAUCGGCAUCGGCUUCAAUGAACAAGACCCCUUCACCGGUGCAGUCCACCAUGAGUUUUCUAUUAUCCCCUUCAAUCAGCCUACCUGCAAAUGGGUAGUAGUAUACAAGCGCCUUACCUAGAGCUUCUUUAAUGACCUUUGCAGGGUCUUUUCCUUUCAUUAAAGGAUUGUUUGGGUAAAACAUUAUCACAGGAACUUGAAAGCGAAGGCCUUCUUGAUCAUCUAAAUCAGAAAGCUGCUUCACCUCUCGUGGGGUAGGGUUUGUAGGCCGAACAAACUCUGGAGCACACCGUUUAACGGAGAAUACUAGAGGAGACGAUGAUGAUGCCAUGUCCUUCCAGGCAAGGAGUUUGUUGAUAGAAUAUAGAAAAAAUGAUGAAGAGAAAAUUGAAGGAGUUUAUGUGAUGGUUUGCUUUGAGAAGAAGGUAGCUGAUAUUUAUAGCCUAUUGCUGCACUCCAAUAACGCGGCGGAGCAUCUUGCUCAGCCUACGACACGGUUUAGAUAAGACAUAAGAGGUAGAAUUUUAGAUGUGUUUCACGUGUUUUUUUCUCUCCAGGCCCCAAGAAGCUACACAACGAUAAAAAGGCAGAAUUUUGGGUUGUGUUUCAAAUCCACCCACUGUCUUAAUGCACCUAAAAUAUCAUCACUACUCUUUUCUUCUGCACCACACCCUCCUAUCAUUCUUACUCUACGUGUAUGGUGUCCAUUGUUUCACGACCCCCCUAAAAGCCAUGGUCCUUUCCUCUACGUUAUGUCUCUUUCAAUGUCAGAACGGUCCCCUCCUAUCAUAAAAAAUUAGGGAGAAUUGUGUUUUGGACCCAGCUAGGCACAAAAAUUAAUAAAAUAUCCUCCAAACACCUAUAAUUGAUUGUAAUGAUAUAAGGUUGGAAUAGACAAAAAUACCCCUUUUUACUUACACCCAUCAUUUUGUCUUUAUACCACCACUCUUUAGAUGCCCAUCCAUAAAAUUCUCCUUUAUUUAAUCAUUUUUUUAUUUUUUAUUAUUUUUUAAACUCCUUUAAAAAUAAUUGAAAAAUCAAUAUUAUUUACUAUUUUUAAAUUAUAAAUAAAUAAAAAUUAUAUUAAUGAUUCAAAAAUUAUUUUGGAACAUACUUUUGAAAAAAAUAUUAAUUUAAAUGAAUAAAAAUUACUUUUUACAUUUUACAAGUAAAUAAUUUAAUGAUUAAAACACUAUUUAAAAUAAAUAUAUUUACUAUUUUUUUUCUUUUAUACUAAAAAGUAUUUUAAAGUUUAUUUUUUUAUUAUUAUAAAAUAAAAAGUUUAAAGUUUUUUUUUUUUUAAUCUUUUUCUUUCCAUAGUUUAAUAAUUUUUUGAACAUAGACUUUUGUAAUAAGUUAUAUGAAUGUUCCAAAUUUGUUUAUUAAGGAAUUUUUUUAAUGAUUUGAAUUAAUUGAAAAUUUAUUGAAAUGAGAAAAAAAAAAAAGAGAGAAAGAGGAUAGAUGAAGAGUUUUUAUUUUAAAUAUCCAACUAAAAUGUUUUCGUAUUUAGAAAUGGAUUAUAUCAAUACAUAGCAUAGUAAAGAUUGAUUUUUUUCUCAUACAAAAGAGUUAAAUGAUAUGUUUACUCAUUUUAAAUAAAAACAAGUAGUUAAAAAUUAUAUAGAUUAUGUUUGAGUUUGGUCUUAAAAUAUUUUUUCUAGUUUUUAUUAUUUUUUUAUUUUUAAAAAUUAUUUUUAUUUUCUAUAUUGUCUUUUUUUGAAAAUAGAUUUAAUUAAAAAAAUGAAAAAUAUUUUUUAAAAUGAAAAUUGAAGACCUUGUUUAAUACUAAGAUAAUAAAAAUAAUUAAAUUUCAUUUAUUAAUUAUUCUUUUUUAUUUUUAAAAUAUAAUAUGUUCACAAUUAAAUAAAAGAAUUGGUCAAUUGUAUAUUUUUUUUCACAAAAAUGUAAUAUGUUCAUAAAAAAAUUGGAUUGAAGUUUUUCAUCAUUUUUUUAAUCAAACUACUAGAAUCAUGUUUAAUACAAAUAUAGGCAUAUAUGCACUACGGGAAUAUGAAAUUUGUGUCACUAUAUAAGAGUAUUUACUAACUGUAUAAGAGAAAUGUACUAAGUGUACAAGUAGUGUAUAAGAUUACCAUUUAUAAAAUAUUUCAAUCUAUUUUGAACCACUCCUUUAUUUUCCUUGUCACCCACAAAUUGCAUAUUCAUGUCAUGCACUUUAUUUAACUCCCAUAUGGAAAUUCUGAUACUUUCCCCAAUAAUGAUGUUUGGAAAAAAAAAAAAACUAACCCUAAUUCAUCCAUCCUUUUAUUAGUUAAACCAUUAGAAAUAUGGUUAACACACCUACAUGGACAUAUUACUUAGGAUAGAUAUAUUGUACAAUAGUAUUACACUAAUUGUACAAGGGAAAUGUACUAAGUGUACAAGGGUGUACAAGAUUACCAUCUAUAAAAAAAUUUAAUCGAUUUUGAAUCACUUUUUCAAUUUCCUUGUCACCCAUAGAUUGCAUACCUACGUCAUGCAAUUUAUUUAACUUUCACAUGAAAAUUUCGAUACUUUUCUUAGUAAUAAUGUUUGGGGAAAAAAAAUUUAAUCAUAAUUCAUCCACCAUUUUGUUAGCCAAACCAUUAGAAAUAAGAUUAAUAUAUCUACGUGGACACACAACUUAAGAGGGAUAUAUUGCACCAUUGUACAAUGAUGUUACACUAACUGUACAAGGGAAAUGUACUAAGUGUACAAGGGAAAUAUACUAAGUGUACAAGGGUGUACAAGGUUACCAUUUGUGAAAGAUUUUAGUCGAUUUUGAAUCAUUUCUUUAUUUUUUUUUUGUUACCCAUAAAUUGUUUAUGAAAUUUGCACUAUUAUAUAAGGGUGUUACACUAAUUAUAAAAGAGUAUUCCACUCACUGUGUAAGGCAAUGUACUAACUGUAUGUGGUAAAUGUACUAAUUAUACAAGGGUGUACAAGGUUAUCUUUUAUGCAAGAUUUUAAUCAAUUCUGAACUUUUUUUUUUUUUUUUUGUCACCUAAGGAUUGAACACUUUUCCCCCACACAUUCCUUCACCUAAAAAUUGUUUUAAUUUGAAAUUUGAAAUUUCAUCAUCCAAAAUUUGUAAUUGCAUAUUUCAUUUAAGUAGUUUUAACAAUAUUUUUUCUUACAACAUUUACAUCCUAUAUAAAGGAAAAUUAACCAUAAUAUUUAGGUAUUACCUUUUUUUUUUUUUGUGAAAUCAAAUUAAUAUAAAUGGAUAACACAUUAAUGUCAUUGUUUCAAAUAACUUAAGACAAUAUAAACAACAGAUAAUAACUGUUGAGGCAAAAUUAUGAAUAUUUUUUUUACCAAACUAUGUCAUUUAGAUCUUCUCUACCAAAAUUAAAACAUAGGAAAUAAAAUUAAAAUUAAUCACAUUUAAAAUGUUUAUUACAAGUAAACCGAAUGAAAUAUAUAUUUUUUACUAUUUUACCUUUAUAAACAUAAUGUUAGCAGAUAUUAAAAAAAUUAUAUUUAAAUAGAAUUAAAAAGGAUAAAAAAUUAUCUUUGUAACAUUUGUAAUUUUUUUUAUAAAAAAUCAUUAAUUUAAAUUAUCAAGUUAAUUUAAAAUAAUUUUUUUGUUGUAAUUAUAGUUUUAAAGAUUCUACGAUUUUUAUAUUAUUACUUUUAAUUUAUUUUCUUUGAUUUUUUAUUUUAAAUUUCAUCUAAACUUGUUUUUUCUUACAUUUAUAUGUUUUCUAUUAUAUCCUUAUUUAAAGUGAUUUUCAUCUAAUUUGUAUUCCAUUAUAUUCUCUUUUCAAUUUUAAUGUGUUGUUAUACCUCUUUACAUAACAAAAGAUUUUAUUAUUUUUCAUCUACAAAACUUUAUACAAAAGAUAUCAUGUACGAGGAAAAAAAAUAAAAAAAGAGAAAACUAUGAUAUAAUUUACAUACACAUCUCUUAAUAUGAUACAUUUGCUUGACUUAAUGACAUCAUGCUUUAAUAAUUUAAAUCAUGUCAAGUCCACAUUUAUUUUAAAUUUAAAAAGGCAUUUGAAUAUUUUUCAAAUUAUUAAGUUAUAAUACAUUAUUCAAUUAAAAAUUAAUUAUCACCAUUAGUUAAAAGAUGAUCAUGUUACAAAAUAAUAUAUUAAAACAAUAUCAAUGUAUUGUCCAAAAAUAGAGAAAAUAUUCAAAUAAUUGUCUACAACCUUAAAGAUAUUUAUAUAUAUAUUGGAUAAAAAAGAAAAAUAAUAUUUUUUUAAGGUGUUUAAAAAUUAUUUAUUAUAUAUUUUGUAAGUUUAAAAAAAAAUAUUUUAUGAGGUAUUUAAAAAAAUUUUACUUUAAAAAUAUAGUAAUAAUCCUUUUCAACCAUUGAUUAUCAAUCUUUAAUUUAUUAGGCAUGGUUUUUGGGAGAAAAAUAAUUGAUGAAAAUAGUAGCACCUUUCUAGAAAAGAAUUAAUUUACAUGUCCCACCGAUUAAUAUGUGAGAGAAAAAAAUAAGGUGAAUGAUGAAAAAGAGAGGGAAAAAAAGAAUGAAAGAGAGUGGGAAGUUAGUUGUUUUUUUUUUCUUGUCGACAAUAAAGGGCAUUUUCGGAAAAUUAAAUGUUUCAUAUCCUUCUUUUCAAUUUGUAGACUUUCUUUAGGUGUUGGGUUUAAAUAUGAAACUUAUGAGGAUCUUUUAUCAAUUUUUGGGCCCAGCUGGGCCCAAAACACAAUUCUCCCAAAAAAUUAUUGUAAUCCAUUGUGCAAUACAUCCCUCUCUCUCUCUCUCUCUCUCUCUCUCUCUCUCUCUCUCUCUCUCUCUCUCUCUCUCUCUCUCUCUCUCUCUCUCUCUCUCUGUCUUUGUACACAUACAAAAUUUCAGUUAAUUAAAUUAUUAUUAAAUUCCUCUUUAAAAUUUCUCCCUCUACCUCUUUCUCUCUCUUUGUACACCUACAAAAUUUCAGUUAAUUAAAUUAUUAUUAAAUUCUUCUUUAAAAUUUUGAUUUCUUAGUGAAAUGUCAACAUGUGACAUACCAUUUAAAAGAGGACACUUGGUGAAAUUUGAAAGACUAUAAAAUUAAAUUUUAUAAAACAAAAACAAAAACAAAUAAGUCAAUUGAAGUUCAAAAGAGAAAAUAUUUUUUUAUUGGUAAAUUUCUUGAACAAAAGAAACAAAUCUUUUUAUUAAAAUAAAAAAACUAAAAAUAAAUAAAUAUUCUUUGUUAGCAAAUCUCUUGAAGACAAGUUUCUAAAAUAAAAAUAUCAAAUUCUUUGAAUUAAACAAAUUAAAUCUUGGGAAUUCUUUAACUUCCUUCAAUGGAGGGAAUCAAUAAAAUAAUUUUAUAUGGGAAAAAUGUCUUCACAAGAAGAAAAAUAUUUCUUAAAAUUUAUCCAUAAGUUCGAGAAAUUAUAAAAUAUACAUGUGAUCUUGUCUCUUGACAAAGUCAUUUGGAAAAUAUUUUGAGGUGAUCAGGUUUGAAAAAGUAAAAGAAAAAAAAAAAGGUAAUAGGGUGCCCAGGCCUAAAAGUGUGAUGCUUUUAAUGAUGUUCAAAACUACAAAGUCAAAUACCUUUAAGGAUAUUCAGAGGUAUAAUUUCAUAUAUUUUAAAAGUCAUCCAACCCUAAAAUUACAUAUAUUUUUAUCGAUUCCUCCAUUUUCAAGUGCUAAAAAAUGAAUAUAAUAAUCAAUAAAAAUAUCUGUAAUUUUAUCAAUUUUACAUGCUUUUAAAACAUGUGAUAUUAUACCUUUAGAUAUCUUUAAAAGUGUUCGACUUUGUAAUAUAUAUAUAUACUUCUAGAUUCCUCCAUUAGUGAAAUUUGAAACACUACAAAAUUAAAUCUUACAAAACAAAAAUAAAUAUGUCAAUUGAAGUUCAAAAGAGAAUUAUAAAUAAAUAUUUUUUAAUUGGUAAAUUUCUUGAACAAAAGAAAUAAAUCUUUUUAUUAAAACAAAAAAAGAAUUAAAAAUAAAUAAAUAUUCUUUUGUUAGAAAAUCUCUUUAAUAUGGAAGACAAGUUUCUAAAAUCAAAAUGUCAAAUUCUUUGAAUUAAACAAAUUAAAUCUUGGGGAGUCCAAAUUUAAUUCUCUAACUUCACCAAUAAAUAUUAAUGACUUCCUUCAAUGGAGGGAAUCAAUAAAAUAAUUUCAUACGGGAAAAAUGUCUUCACAAAAAGAAAAAUGUUUCAAAAAAUUUAUCUGUAAGUUUGAGAAAUUAUAAAAGCAUUAUAUAUGUGAUCUUUUUUUUCAACAAAGUCAUUUGAGAAUAAGUCACUUUAAACCCUUAAUUGAUUUUCAAAACAAAGAAACACUUCAUCAUUGUCUAUUAAAUUAUGAUCAAAGUAAAGGACCGAGAGAAAAAAAUAUUCUUUUGUAAAGAAUAUUAUCAAAGAGUUUGUACCCCACAAUUAUUUUAAUAAAAACAAUUGUUAGCAUAUUUUUUCUAUUAUUUUGAUUGUUUCGUAAGACUUCACACAAUUUGUACGUAUAAAUUUAUGGCAAGGAAAGUUGAUAGGAUUUUCUUUUGGUUUAGUUUUUUAGGAAAAUGUUGAGAACUAUUAAAAUUAAAGGCAUGUUUGAUAAGUGUUUUCGAAAACAACUUUGAAAAAUAGUUUUUGAAGAUGACUUUUAAAAAUUAUUCUCUGAUUUUUAUAGAACAAAAGUUUAUUUGAAAACUUAAAAUGUUUUCAACCUGUUCUUAAUAUUUUUAAACAUGUUUUAAAAAUAAUUUUUAUAUUUAGUAUUUUAUUUUUAAUCAUUCUACAUAUUUGUAUAAUUAUUUCUUAAAAUAAUCCUUAAAAAACAAGUUAAAACAAUAGAAAACUACAAAAAGAUGUUAUCUAAAAACACUUUAUUUUCUAUUUUUAAAAAUAAAAAAUAGUUUUUGAUUAUCUAAUAUGUUUUCUGUGUUUUUUUUUUAACAACAAAAUACUAUUCUAAAAAAUAUUUCCAAUUAGGCACUAAAUCUUUUAGAAUACCCUGUCCCCAAACUUUCAUCACCUUUUUUAUAAGAAAAAUGGGAAAGAAAUUCUUUUAACAUUUUCCUUUAUUCUUACAUUUUGUCCACGUUAUCCAUAGAUAAUAAAAUCAUUUCCCAAUCUUUUCUCACUUUCUUUCAUAGGUAAAUGAGGAAAAUUGGUUAUGCAAUGCAUUAAAUUUAGCAGUUUGCAACAAUUAAUCUUGUGUAAUAUAUACAUUUUUUAUUAUAUAAAUUUUAAAAAUAUAUAUGUCAAUUUAUUUAUAUUUUUUCUUAGAAACCAAAUGGUGAUUAUUCUUACUUUAUUUAUUUUUAUAUAUUUUUAAUUGGAGUGUUUUCUGUCACAUGUUGAUCUUGCAAAUCAACAGGUUCUCUUAAAAAGCUCCUCAGAUUGGAAAUCCACACACUGCAAAAAACCCAUUAGAUAUCAAAGUUAUACUCUUCAUGACAUUCUUCAUGGUAAGUUAUAUUCAAAUUCAACAACAUAAAGUUUAUACCAAAUUAGAUAUCAAAUAUUUCUCAGUUUCCAUGAAUGCAGUUUCAUGCUUAGACUUACUUGAAGAGCUCUCUUUACAUGGAUGAGUAGACUGACUUAUCACUAUUGCUUUAUUCUGAUUAGGAUGCUGCUUGAUGUUACAGCCAUGUGAAACCAUGUUUAUUGUUUUAGUUUUGUACUUUGGGCAACUUAAUCCAGCAAAAAUCCAUUUGCACAAUAUCAGGACAUUGUUUGUGUCAUUUUUGUCAAGUAAUGAAGUCCAUGUGUAACUAGACUUCACAUCGUGUGCUUUAUUUGAUCAAAUAUUAUUUCUUGUAUUGAUCGACAACAUAGUCUAGGAGAUUAUUACUAGGCAGAAACAUAGGUAACCAAUCUUUUAUAGAACUGUGGAGGUAUUUAUUUGUCUGCUUCAAUAAAAACAAUAUGUUUGUGUAUGAUUUAAGUGGUUUGUUUUGUAAAUGCAGAGAUGAAGGGUGUUAAAGGAGCACAACCUGUAGAUUACCUCACCUUUGACCUAAGAUUGGUGUUUUCAAUUGAACCACAUUGCAGGGGCAUAAUGGAACAAAUUAUGCGAUUACCACAAACCAUGGGGUACAACUCAAGUCAAUGGUCAAUGACAACUACCCUAAUGAAUCCUCGUACAGUCGUAUAAGCUCGUACAAUUGUAUUCCUUAUACAGCUUAUAUGGACAGUUUGAUAUAUUAAUAGAGCCUUACAAUCAUUCACACAAAAUCUUUAUGGACAGUUGUUCCUAUUGAAAUUUCAAUAAAUUAAACCUACCCUUAUGUAGAUAGAAUUUUUAUUCAUUAGGGUAAUAAUAUCUAAUCAUUUUGAUUUAUGGUUGUGAUUUAUCAGGAUUAAGCAAUAGUUUGCAGCGAGACCAUAAAGAUGAUCUACUAACAAGCUUCCUAAUAACAUGAUCUACUUCAACAAAGAAUAGUGUGCAGUGAGACUCUGCCUGCCCAUUCCCUCCUUGGUGAAGCAAUUUUUGCAUUUUUCCCGGAUCCCUCUUACCUUCACUCUGUUGGUUUUUAAACCAGAUAAUUAAAAGAAAAACGGAAGCCAGAAAAAUUUUCUCUUACAGUUUGUAAUUGAACUGCUGGACUCCAAUAAGGGUUGGGCCAAAAGACAUGUAUUAGUGUCUGAUCCAUGGGGUGGAUCAACCGAGGGUCCGAACAAGUUUUUUAAGUCCACACGAUCUCUGGAGAUACCAAGUAUUGAAUGUUUAAAUGACUUGCAUAUUUCUUAUUCUCAUUAUUUUUGUGACUUCAACUAAUAUGUGUCUUGUUUGCCCAGGCAAAGAUAGGCGUGGCCACUUGGUUGAGUGGGUAGAGAAGUCUUCAUUUGCCCGUCUCAACAAAUUGUUUAAGAUUGACCCAUUCGAGCGGAGUCACAGUGUGCUGCUCACUGAGAAGAACCUGAGGAUCGUUCUUGCUCAAGCCAAGCCAUUUGUAAUCCCUCUUCUUCCAAGGCUAGCACCGCUGACCCUUGUGCUGGGCGAGCACUUCAUGCUAAAGGACUUGCCUUUCUACAAGGUCACCCGACUCGUUGACACUAAGGCAAGACAGGCUCGCCUAAACGCUUGUGAGAAAAAAAUGGCAAGAGGGACUUUACGCCAAGCCCUUGGUUCCACUUCCUGAGUGACUUCAAAUCCUGUCCCCUGACUAGCAAAGAAGAAGACCAUUGUCAAACGCCAAGAAUGGAAUGUUUUCCAUUACGCACAAUCUCCGCAAUAAUGGGUAUGUGAAUACAUAAUGAAUGGUCAAGCCUUAGUCAUGCUGUAUCUGUGUAGGAUUUAUUCUUCUGACCUACUUGGAGAUAGAUCAGUCACUCGGCCCAAGGGCCAUUGAGCCAUUCGACUGAGGACGGUUUCCCAUACAGCUCCUUUAGCUAAACGGCCUUGAGAGAGUGGUGGACUUCAGGACGGCCUUGCAUAGAGGGUCCCACAAUAAUCUCAUGCACACAUUAAGCAACGAGUUUUCUUUCGAGGCCUGGGACAUGUUCAUUACUUUCUCAACUUGGAAGUCCAAAACUUUUAUGGCAGUAUCUUUGUUUCCUAAAGAAAGUAUCUUAGAGACUUACUUAGUGGGAUGAAAAUGCUUGAGUACUCUCACUUAAACAUGCUCAUGGCUAUCAAACCUAUGAGUAACCCAAUUGAUGAUCAUCCAAUUGAUCAAACCCUUUAUAGGCAGCUUAUAGGUUCCUUGCAAUAUCUCACGUUUACAAGACAGGGUAUUGUCUAUGCAAUAAACAAAGUCUAUCAACAAUUUCAAUCUCCCAUAGAAGCUGACAUGCAAGUUGUGAAAGUAUUUUGACCUAUUUAAAGGGAACCAUGGAUUAUGGACUUCGCUUUCUUAAAAAAAGGUCCCUUUAUUUAAUAGGCUAUUGCAAUGUUGAUUAGGCUAGAUGCACCAUUUACAUGUCCUAUGAAUGAAAACUCCAUGAUCCAGUUUUUCAAACAAUGCCACUUCCACUCUGCCAUUUACAUCUAACAAUUGUCACCAACUAUAAAUAUUUAGCAACCAUUGGUGACAUCAAUAUUGGUAAUCUGGUUCUUUGAUAGGCUAGGACUUAAUGAUUUUUAACACAUAAAUUUUCUCAAAUAAGAAAAUUGUUAACAAAAUUGUAAGUUGAUUUGUUUGUACUUUACAAUCAUUAAUAUGCCCCUUGAUUCUUCUAAUAAAUACACAAACACCAUUUUAAACAAUUUAACGUUUAAUUUUGGAUCAAAAGGAUGGGGUUUCAUAAAUAGACACUAGAUAAUAAAUUCUUUCAAUGAAAAAAAUCUUUAAAUCAUCAAAUAUUUCUCUAAGAAAUCUUUGAUAUUCUUUAACUCUUUAAGAGAUCUUCAAAUAUUCAUCUUUUCAAGAAAUCUUGAAUCUUGAAGGAAUUUCUUCAACAACUAUUAAAAUUUUUGUCCAUCUUCAAUGUGUGCUUUCAAAUGAGUGGAACCCUCUACUUAUUAGGUUAGAAAUUUUAUUUUGAUAUUAUCUCUUGCUUUCCUAGACAUAAUCAUCCUUUUUAUUGUGAUAAUUAUUAUUUAUUUUAAUUAUUAUAAUUAAUUAAUUAAGAUAAUUAUAAUAUUCUUUUGCUUCAUCACAAUUAACUGAUUUCUUAUUAUUGUUUUUGCAAGAUUUUCAACAUAUUAUUAGUUAAUUAUUGACACAUGACUUUUAAUGAGUGGACAAAUUUUUUCUUUGUACAUAUUUCUUUCAACAUUGAUCAUUGUUAGUUAGUGGUGACAAUCAACUAAAACCGGUAGGGAGUUCUUUAUACACCUAAUGAUUUCUUGAAAUAUCACAAAUUUCUUUUAAUGUUUAGGUUUAUUUUGCAAUAAUGGUUAAUGCUAAGGUAAGCUUGGGUUAGUUGGGUUAAGAACAAGGUUAUGUUUCAUAGGUUUAUUUCUAUUGUGAUUUUAGAUAGAGAGGUCCUUAUGUUCUUUUGCGAGUUUGAUGUAAAUUUUUAUGUUAGUCCAUUUCACCAUAGUUUUAAAUACAUCUACCUUGUUAUAUUCUAUAUAUAUAUAUAUAUAUAUAUAUAUAUUUGGCUUUUCUUUCAUAUGGGCUCCAUAUUUUUUGCUAUUGUUUUCAUGAUUUCAAUUUCAUUCUUUGUUUCCAUUCCACUUAUGGUGGCAUCUUAUUGUCUAAAGUUUGUGUAAGAAUUUCUAAAUUUCAUCCUUUGCAUAAUUUUCAUCACACUUCUCCAAAAUAAGAGGAGAAUGAUUGGUUACUUUCAUUUUUAAAAAUAUGUAUAGGAAAGAAAAGAAAAAAAUAAGAAAACAUAUAUACUUAGCAAGCUUGAAGGAACAAUCAAGGUAGAUUGCCUUAGCAGAAUGAAACUCAUGGGAGAAGAAAAUGGAGUUGUCAGUAUUAUGUCUAGGAAGGUGGUGCAAUUCUUAUCCAACGAGUGUUAAGGUUGAAUAUGUGAAAGUAGAGCAAGAUGGGGUGUUUACAAAAGGUUAAAGGUGUGUGGGUUUUGUAUUAAGAUAGAUACUAUAAUAUUUUAAAAUCAUUCACACUCAUUGGGAUAUAUUUAACUUGUAUUAAUCCAAUCUCCCUACUUUGGUUAAUUAUAUGGUAAAAACCUAUAAAAACAAAUACAUUUAGAUUGUUGGGAACAUAAAUCAUUCUUUUGAGUUAAAUAGCAUAAUAAUUAAGUUGCCAAAAUUUUCCAUUGUGGAUACAAACACAACUUUUUGGUGAGCCAUAUGUUAUUUUCAAUAAUUAUAAAUUUUAUGUAAUUGGACAUAGAUUGGCCAUUGUUCAACUCUCAUUGCAACCAUGAAAUUACACCUCAACAUUCAAUACUAAAAAUGAGCAAAUUCUUAGCCUCGAAUUCAAGAAACUCCCAGCCAUUGGUUGGGCCUUAAACCAACCAUAGAUUAGACUCCUUGGGUUGUUUUGCUUGCCAUGGUGGUAUGCACCGAAGGCCCCUCCUAUACGCACUUAGAAGUACAUUAUCUCAAUUUCUUUUCCAUAUCUUUAAUCACUCAUUAGGCUAGUAUAUUAAGUUGGAAUGUGACAUUGUUUAGUAUUCAAAAUACUAUAUUUUGUUGUUAAAAAAAGUAAAACUAUUAAUAGUUCAAUAAAUAUAAAAAAUCUUAUUUUUACUUCGAUGUAAAAGAAAAUGAAUUAUUACAAGUUCAUUAAACAUGCAACAUCUUACACAGUUACCUAAAAUAAGGUUUUUUUUUUUGAAUUUUUUUUUAAUAAUUCCUUGUGUGUGAAUAAUCUUUCCAAAGAAAGGAACCCUAAUAUAUAAAUGUAUACACACACACACACACACACACACACACACACAUAUAUAUAUAUAUAUAUAUAUAUAUAUUAAAAUUCAAGUAAAAUCUCUAAAUGUGUGGACACAAUAUGGUGUUAAAUUGCAAAAGACUAAUCACACAUAUUACUUGAGAAUUUUAGUCCCAUUAUAUAUAAUUCUAGCUAAGGUGGGCCUCACUCUUCUUAGAAACCUAAUAGACAUUGAUUCAUUGAACCUUAGCCUUCAAAUAUAUAAAACCUAACACAUAUUGGCUAGUUGAACCUUAGCCGCCAAACAAUGAUCAAUGAAAUUCUUAAUUCUAGCAUAAGAAGAAGAAGAAGAAGAUACCAAGCAUGAGUCUAUCUUUGAUUAAUAGCUUGCGAGAUUGGAUCAAAAGACUUAGCAUAUGGUAAUCUUAUUCAUGUUUAGUUUGUAUUACUUUGGGAUUUCUUUAACUUUUGCUCAUUUGAAAGUAGGUCUAGUCAUAUCUUUAAAUUUUUAUAGUUUCUCUAUUUUCUUAUUGAAAAUUGAAGAAAUUUUAUGCUUAUACAAGGAGCUUCUUUGGAUUUAAUUUUUGGGAAAAUAAAACCCUAGAUUCAAAAGUAUUUUUUUAAUGCCUAAGAAAUUAUUAUAAUAUUAAAUUCUCUUCAAUUUUCUAAAAUUUACACAUAUACAUUUUGUGAACACUAAAUUGAAAGAAUAACAGUCAUAAAAUGGGAGUGUCAUUGUGUCAAACAAGUGGGCCUCAAUGUACUUCAUACUUGAGAGCCAUAAAGUUCUAGUCCCCAUAUGAAUAAAAUCAAAGAUGCUUUGAAUUUUAUGUGAGCAAUGAAAUUUCCUCUAUUUUUUCUAGUUUCUUUAAGUUACUAGUAUAAAGAGAAAUAAGAGGAUGAAGUCUUCAUUAUUAUUAUUAUUAUUAUUAUUAUUUUACUUUUUCUUUAUUUUUUUUCUUUAUUUUUUAUAUAUUUUAAUAUUAUUUGAUGUCAUUCUAAAUCAAUGACAUCCUUGAUCAUUUUCUUACAAUUUUUUAGGUUUUCAUGGUUUAAUAGAUUUGACCUAUGGAAGAAUAUGCAAGCAUAUGUUUCAUGCUUGUUUGAGUAAUAGCAAUGAGAUUCCCUAAUAUCAUUCUAAGAAUAGCUAGGAUUUCUAGAAGAAGAUGUCAUUCGUUUGAUGAGAAAUAAAAAGGAAUAUAAAAAAUUCGAGUGGCUGAAGCUGAAGCAGCUACUUUAAUUCGAAGUAACAAAAAAAAUAAAAUAAAUUAAAAAGCAACUAUUAGAGGGGGAGAGUCAGAGUUGAAAAGAGGAUUCAUCACUUCUCUUUCUCAUUCAAACCGUGCAUGAGAAUUUCAUCUUGCACGACUCUUUAGUUAUAAAAGAAAGAAGAACUCAUCUUCUUUAUUUUUUCAUUACCUUCCUCGCGUAUGUAUAAGACCGAAUCCAUUCAAUUUCUAAAAAGGAUUAGUAAUCCUUAACUUUUUGAUGAAUCCUUCAUCAAUGGUUGUGAAUGAUUGAUUUUUUCAAUCUUUUUGACCUUGGUUCCAUAGGAGCAAGUCAGAAAGAUUGGGAAAUAGAACCAUCUGAUUUGAUUCGUUCUCAAUAGCCAUGAGAUGAUCAUCUUAGGGUGAUCCCUUUGUCGAUGGAUGCUCCUAUUACACUUGUAGUCUCUGAAGGAUGAGAACCAACUAUGUAGCAUCUACAUCAAGAAUUCAAGUAUUGUAUACGCCAUUAGUUUGAUCCUUCGUAGGAACUAUCCAUAAUAACGAACUUGCAAAAUGGAUCUAUUUAUCAUAAAGAGAUUUGUUGUUCCUGACCUUGCUUUAACUUAAUUGUUAUUUGAACAAGUAAAAGUUAUGUCUUGGUCCAAGUGGGGAUAGCAUUUCUCUUCUGCAUGUCCAUAGAGUUUUGAAAAAUCCAAACAUCUCAGAGAUAGAUAGAGGUAGGAAUUUCUUGAAUGAACCACUUAUAUGGGUUUCUUUAGGCAACACACAAGUAAGACGAGUCAUGUCAUGAGUGGAAAAGCCAUAAAGCACAAACCAAGAUCCAUAACAUAAUACUAAAACCAAAAUGAGAAUGAGGUUGGUCUACGAUCAUUGAGGUUGGUCUAUGAUCAUCGUUAUUCGACAUACAUCGACUGAAGACUGUUUCCUGCUGAUCUUAUUCAGACCUAAAGUGGAUUCCCUAUUUAAUUUAUAUAUAUUAAUAUUUUUAUAUAUAAAUUAAUAUUUAUAUAAAAUGGCUGCUUACUAGACAAGGCAUUAGGUUUAUUCAUUCCAUAGAUGCCCCAUUUGUUUCCGAUAUGCACUUCUUUUCCAUCUGACUACAUUGAACUCCUCCUAAAAAAGUGCGUAAGGUGCCACCCACCCUUUCCCCUUACCCCUCUUACUCUCUAAGGAAUGAAAGGUUAGAUCUAACAUGGUCCAAAAAACUUGAAUAGGAAUGAGAUUCACAAUGCCAUCAUUGUAUGACCGAUAGUAGUGCAUGACUGACUUGGAAAAAUGCCCUUUCCAAGUCGUUCAUUAAGCUUUUCUUUUCCUUGUACAAAGCUUCUCUUCUUUCACUAACUCACUGCUCGCCUCUAAAAAAGAAGAUUUUGAACCCCAAUGUAACACUUAAUUAACGGGCAUUUUUGGGGACUAGCCCGCCUCUCCUUUGAGAGAUGCAACCCUCAAUCAGAAUACAAAUAAGAUUAGAAAGGACAUCAUUAAGGCAACAAUGCAAUUGCCUGAUAUGAUAUGCAGUGGACCAUGGGCAUAGUAGAAAAAAAGAACAAAAAUGAAAUUAUAAAACAUAUGAACUAUGAACGGGGAACAAAGGGGCUAUUUAAUUCAGUUAUGGCUGAUAGUAUGGCGUGACAAUAUUUACUUUUGUCUCGACUAUUUGAAAGAUUUUUUAAGAAUUGCUUAAGUUUCCGGUUUCUGGAAAUCGGUUCCAGCUCCAUGGUAUCGGAUAACCAAAUAAUAUGGAUACCUGCACGGAUAUCGUUUGUAUCUUCUAUGUGCACUCCUUUUUCCUUCAAAAUCUCAACCAUAACUUUUAAAAUAUCUUAUUGUAUGAUAAGUUAAUUCCUAAAGGUUAGGUUUAGGGAGAGAUCUUGUUUCAAUUCUUGAAGAAAAUCUUGGUGAGUCCUACCAUGUCCUUCUGAAGCUGCUGUAUUUGUCGGAUCCUGGGACUCUUUUCCCUGAGCUGGAAGAAAGAAAGAGGGCUCCCCGAAAGCACCUGGUGGUGUACAUGAUCCACCAUACAUUCCCCCCGACGUGGAUGGGUAGAAUUGAGCAACGGCUUUAUGGAGCUCAUCCAUGAGGAGAUACCUAAGGGAAAGAACCACCUUUGAUAGAAUAAGAGCAAGGAGGAGGGUUCCAAAAAAAUAAAAAAAAAAUAAAAAGAUUUUAAGUCGUUUUGGAAUUUGAUUUUUUAGUGUUUGAGAAAGAACACAAAUAGAUGAAAUAGCAGCAAAUAGCAUCUUUCUAGCCUGCAUAUUCGUGGAACUCAAUCUCAUUUAUUAGAAAGCUUAUCUCUAUCUUUCAGAAACUGAACAAAAAGUGGUUUAAGAAAGGACUUUAGAAUCGGAUGUGCUUGCCCAAUGAGAAAGGCCCUGCCAGCUAAGUUCAAAUAAAAAAGAAAGAAGAGAACGAAAGGAGAAGAGAACUUCGUAUUUUGGUAAUUCUCUAGGAGUCAUGUUUAACCUUGAAUGCUAUUAAUAGAUUCACCCCUUCAUAUUAGUAUGCCCUUUGAUACAUAACAUUUGUGGGAUGUAAGUCAAAUAUGAGUUUUUGAAUUAAUCCUAAACUUACAUAUAUUGUCCCUAUUCCUUAUAUUUCAUGGUUAAUUGUAAAAUGUGAUCUAUAUUAAUCCUAAACUUACAUAUGGUUCUCCUAUAAUUAAUAGUUGAUUAUGAACUUUGAAAUUUGUUAUUAUUCCAACUCUAAAAUAACUCAUUAAAUAAAUGUACCUAAUUAUUUUAUUUGGGCUAGAUAUUGAUCUCUAUGUCCUUUUACUAUUGUCAUUUUAAAUGUGAUUAAUUAUUAAUUUUGAUUUUCUUGUCUUUUAAUACUUUGUGCAGAUACUAGCACCAUGUUUAACUUUAAGAAGAUUGUGGUCUUGCUAGCCUAAAACUAAGAGAACUAGGAGAUAGAAAUUUCCAUUGCCGAUAUUUUACUGAAGGUAAUUUCCAUCUCUAAGAAGAUUCCAGAUUCACACAUCAUGUUCAGGCAUGGUUAGUCUCCACGGAAGAUUAGACGAAGAUUUAGGGCAGCUUUACACAAUUUGGAUAAUAUAGACUAAUUCAAUACUAGUUCGAAAUGAAACAAUAAAACCAUAAUGUCUAUUGGUGGGUGUUUAAGCAUGGAUAAAAUUGCUUCUAUGCUUACACCAUGUGUACAUAAAGGUAAUGUGGGACCCUCUCUGCAAGGGCAUCCAACAACCAUUCGCACUUGCAGCUGUCUGGGGGAAAUGCACUGGUGGCCGUUUGCCAGAAAGGCCCUAAGGCCGUGUGAUUGGUCUGUCUAUCCCAAAACUAGAAUGCAAACGGACAAUCCUUAGAUAGAAACAACAAGACUAGUGCCCAACUAACCUCUAAGCUUAGAUUGUGCAUCAGGCAUGCUCCAUAAUAAAUGCAGUCGUUACAAGGAGACAUUCCAUUAUUGGCGGCUCAUCAAGGCAAGACAACCAUUAUGCAUCAACAUGCAAUGCCCUAAUACCGCAUAAUUAAGCACAACUAUUCAAAUUUUGUAAAUAGACACUAGAUAACAAAUUUUUCAAUAAAAAAAUCUUCAAAUCAUUAAUUUCUUCAAGAAAUCUUCUCAGAUUCUUUAACUAUUCAAGAUAUCUUCAAAUAUUCAUAUUUUCAAGAAAUCUUGAAUCUUGGAGGAAUUUGUUCAACAGUUGCAAAUUUUUUCAUCGGUAUUCAAUGUGUGCUUUGAAAUGAGAGGCACCCUUUACUUAUUGGGUUGAAAAUUUGAUAUUAUCUCUUGCUUUCCUAGAGAAUCAUCUUAUUUAUUACGAUAAUUAUCAUAGCUAAUUAAUUAAGAUAAUUAUAAAAUUAUUUUUUUUACAAGGCCCAUCUAACAAGUGUCAACAUAUUAUUAGUUAAUUAUUGACAUGCGACGUUUAAUGAGUGGAAAAAAAUUGUCUUCGUACAUAUUUAUUUCAAAAUUGAUCAUUGUUAGUUAGUGGCGACCAUCUACUCAAACUAGUAGGGAGUUCUUUAUACACCUAAUACAUCACAAAUGUAAUUGAAUGUUUAGGAUUAUUUUUUCAACAAUGGCUAAUGUUGACACUAAGGAUGGAUUAGUUACGUUAAGAACAAGGUUAUGAUUUAUAUGUUUAUUUUUAUUGUGAUUUUAGAUAAGGAGGUCCUUAUGUUUUUUUGCGAGUUUGAUGUAAAUUUUUAUGCUAGUCCCAUUUCACCAUAGUUUUAAAUAUCAACUACCUUGUCAUAUUUUAUUUUAUUUUUUUUUAUUUUUGGGUUUCUCUUUCUUAUCGGCUCCAUCUUCUUUAUUGUUGUUUGCAUGAUUUUCAUUUCAUUCUUUGUUUACAUUCCACUUGGCGUUGGCAUCUUAUUGUCUAAGGUUUGUGUAAGAGUUUUUAAAUUUCCAAAGUAGAGUAUGGUACUCAUCCUUUUCAUCAUUUUCAUCCCACUUCUAUAAGAUAAGAGGAGAAUGAUUCGUCAUUUUCAUGGAAAGGUUUUAUUUUAAGUCUUUGCUCUUAUACUAUCUCUCCUUAUUCAUGCUUAUAGAAUUUAAUACAUUAAUGAUACUUUAUUUUCAUUUUAAAAAAAUAUUUAUAGAAAAAGAAAGAGAAAAUAAGAAAACAUACUUAGUAAGCUUGAAGGAACAAUCAAGGUAGAUUGCCUUAGCAAAAUGAAACUCAUGUGAGUAAAAAAUGGAGUUGUCAGUAUAUGCCCCCUAAUAGGGUGGUGCAAUUCUCAACCAGCUGGCUAGUGUUACAGUUGAAUAUGUGAAAGUAGAGCAAGAUGUGGUGUUUACGAAAGGUUAAAGGUACGUGGGUUUGUAUUAAGAUAGAUAAUAUAAUAUUUAAAAUCAUUCACAAUCAUUGAGAUAUGUUUAAUUUAUAUUAAUUCAAUUUUCCCACUUUGGUUAAUUAUAUGGUAAAAACCUAUAAAAACAAAUACAUUUACUAUUGGUAACAUAAAUCAUUCUUUUGAGUUAAAUUAUAUAAUAAUUAAGUUGUCAAAAUUUUCCAUCAUAGUUACAAACUCAACUUUUUGGUGACCCAUAUGUUGUUAUUUUCAAUAAUUAUAUACUCUAUGUAAUUGGACAUAGGUUGGCCAUUGUUCAACUCUCAUUGUAGCCAUGAAAUUACACCUCAACAUUCAAUACUACAAAUGAGCAAAUUCUUAGCCUUGAAUUCAAGUAACUCCCAACCAUUGGUUGGGCCUUAUACCAACCAUAGAUUAGAUUCCUUCCUAGGUUGUUUUGCUUUUCAUGGUGGUGUGCACUGAAGGCCCCUCCUAUAGAUUCUUAGAGGCACAUUAUCUCAAUUUCUUUUCCAUUUCUUUGAUCACUCAUUAGGCUAGUAUAUUAAGUUGGAAUGUGAGAUUAUUUAGUAUUAAAAUACUAUAUUUUGUUGUAAAAAAAGGUACAACUAUUAAUAGCUUCAAUAAAUAUAAAACAUCUUAUUUUUACUUCAAUGUAAAACAAAUUCAAAUUAUUACAAUUUCAUUAAUCAUGAAACAUCUGGUUUUUUUUUUAAAUUGUAAAAGGCUAAUCACACAAAAAACUUGAGAAUAGUAGUCCCAUUAUAUAUAAUUGUAGCUAAUGUGGGCCUCACUCUCCUUAGAAACCUAAUACACAUUGAUUCAUUGAACCCUAACCUUUAAAUAUAUAAAACUCAACAUAUAUUGGCUAGUUGAACCCUAGCCGCCAAACAAUGAUCUAUGAAAUUCUCAAUUCUCACAUAAGAAGAAGAAGAAGAUACCAAACAUGAAUCUAUCUUCGAUUAACAAAUUACAAGAUUGGAUCAAAGAUUUAGCAUAUGGUAAUCUUAUUCAUGUUUAGUUUGUAUUACUUUAGGAUUUCUUUAAUUUUUGCUCAUUUGAAAGUAGAUUGAGUCAUAUCUUUAAAUUUUUAUAGUUUCUCUAUUUUCUUAUUGAAAAUUGAAGAAAUUUUAUGCUUAUACAAGAAGCUUCUUUGGAUUUAAAUUUUUGGAAAACAAAACCCUAGAUUCGGAAGUAUUUUUUUAAUGCCUAAGAAAUUAUUAUAAUAAUAAAUUCUCUUCAAUUCUUUGAAAUUUACACAUACAUUUUAUGAACCCUAAAUUGAAAGAAUAGCAGUCGUAAAAUGGGAGUGUCAUUGUGUCAACCAAGAGGGCCUCCCCGUACUUCAUACUCGAGAGCCAUAAAGUUCUAGUCCCCAUAUGAAUAAAAUUAAAAUUGCUUUUAAUUUUAUGUGAGCAAUGAAAUUUCCUCGAUUUUUUCUAAUUUCUCUAAGCUACUAGUAUAAAGAGAAAUAAGAGGACGAAGUAUUCAUUAUUUUUUACUUUUUCUUUAUUUUUCUUUAUAUUUUAAUAUUAUUUGAUGUCAUUCUAGAUUAAUGACAUCCUUUAUCAUUUUCUUACCCCUUUUUAGGUUUUCAUGGUUUAAUAAUAGUUAGUAUGCCCUUUGAUACAUAACAUUUGUGGGAUGUAAGUCAAAUAUGAGUUUUUGAAUUAAUCCUAAACUUACAUAUAAUUUCUCCAUUUGUUAUAUUUCAUGAUUAAUUGUAAAAUGUGAUUUAUAUUAAUCCUAAACUUACAUAUGGUUCUCCUAUAAUUAAUAUUUGAUUAUGAAUUUUGAAAUUUGUUAUUAUUCCAACUCUAAAAUAACUCAUUAAAUAAAUGUACCUUUGUAUUUUAUUUGGGCUAGAUAUUGAUCACUAUGUCCUUUUACUAUUUUCAUUUUAAAUGUGAUUAGUUAUUUAUUUUCAUUUUCUUGUUUUUUGAUACUUUGAACAGAUACUAGCACCCUGUUUAAUUGUGAUAAGAGUGUGGUCUUGCUAGCCUAAAACUAAGAGAACUAUGAGAUAGGAGUUUCCCUUGCAGAUAUUUUCUUGAAGGUAAUUUCCAUCUCUGAGAAGAUUCCAGAUUCACACAUCAUGUUUAGGCAUGGUCAGUCUCCAUAGAAGAUUAGAGGAAGAUUUGGGGUAAUUUUACACAAUUUGGAUAAUAUGAUUAAUUCUAUACCAGUUUGAAAUGAAGCAAUAAAACCACAAUGUCUAUUGGUGGGUGUUUGAGUAUGGACAAAAUUGCUUCUAUGCUUAGACCAUGUGUACAUGAAGGUAGGACUAUAGAUGGGAUAAAAUAAACAAUGACAACGCUCAAGUUGGCAUGGGUAUUCGAUGACCACUGUAAAAAAAAACAAAUAAUGACUUUAUGCGAGUGUUGAAUAUAAAUUUGUAGUUAUGCUUGUAACAUUGUGUUGACAAUAUUAGCACAUAUAAAGUACUUAUAUAUACCAUCUUAGAUUGUUCAUGGCACCUACUCAUUGAACAUCUUUCACUAGAAUUGAUAAUCAAUAGCAAUAUAGAAUAUUUUCUCUAUGACUGGUUCACAUGUGGUAUGAAGGAAAAUCUUAUGAUCCAUUUUCAUUUCAUCAUUUACAUCUAACAAGUGUCAACAAUUAUAUAUUGACAUUUAGCAACCAUUAGUGACAUCAACAUUGGUAAUUUGGUUCUUUGGUAGGCUAGGCCCUAAUGAUUUUUUACACAUAAAUUUUCUGAAAUAAGAAAAUUGUUGACAAAAUUAUAAGUUGAUUUAUUUAUACUUUACAAUCUUUAAUAUGCCCUUUGAUUAUUCUUAUAAAGAUACAAACACCCUUUCAAAAAAUUUAAUAUAUAAUUUUAGACCAAAAGGUCAGGGUUUUGUAAAUAGACACUAGAUAAUAAAUUUUCCAAUAAAAAAAAUCUUCAAAUCAUUAAUUUCUUCAAGAAAUCUUCUUAUAUUCUUUAACUGUUCAAGACAUCUUCAAAUAUUCAUCUUUUCAAGAAAUCUUGAAUCUUGAAGGAAUUUUUUCACCAACUACAAAAUUUUUUGUUGGUGUUCAAUGUGUGCUUUGAAAUGAGAGGAACCCUUUACUUAUUGGAUUGAAAAUUUUAUUUUGAUAUUAUCUCUUGCUUUCCUAGAGAUAAUCAUCGUAUUUAUUGUGAUAAUUGUCAUUUAUUUUAAUUAUCAUAGCUAGUAAAUUAAGAUAAUUAUAAUAUUUUUUUUCUUUAUCACAAUUAAUUGAUUUCUUAUUAUUUUUAAUUUAUAAAAUUAUUUUUUUACAAGGCUCAUCUGACAAGUGUUAACAUAUUGUUAGUUAAUUAUUGACAGCGACUUUUAAUGAGUGGAAAAAAAUUGUCUUUGUACAUACUUUUUUCAACAUUGAUCAUUGUUAGUUAGUGGCCGCCAUAUACUCAAACCAGUAGGGAGUUCUUUAUACACCUAAUGAUUUCUUGAAACAUUGAUCACAAAUGUAUUUCAAUGUUUAGGUUUAUUUUUUCAACAAUGGCUAAUGUUGUGGCUAACGUUGGAUUAGUUAGGUUAAGAACAAGGUUGUGUUUCAUAUGUUUAUUUUUAUAGUGAUUUUAGAUAGAGAGUUCCUUAUGGUUUUUUUGUGAGUUUGAUGUAAAUUUUUAUGCUAGUUCCAUUUCACCAAAGUUUUAAAUAUCAGCUACCUUGUUAUAUUCUUUUUUCUUUUCUUUUUUUGGCUUCUCUAUCAUAUGGGCUCCAUUUUUUUUUAUUGUUGUUUGAAUGAUUUUCAUUUCAGUCUUUGUUUCCAUUCCACUUGGUGCUAGCAUCUUAUUGUCUAAGGUUUGUGUAAGAGUUUUUAAAUUUUCAAAGUAGAGUAUGGUACUCAUCCUUUGCAUCCUUUUUAUCCCACUUUUCUAAGAUAAGAGAAGAAUGAUUGGUCAUUUUCAUGGAAAGCUUUUUAUUUUAAGUCUUUUCACUUAUACUAUCACUCCUUAUUCAUGCUUAUAGAAUUUAAUACAUUAAUGACAUUUCAUUUUCAUUUUAAAAAAUAUGUAUAGGAAAAAAAAACAUACUUAACAAGCUUGAAAGAACAGUUAAGGUAGAUUGUCUUAGUGGAACGAAAUUCAUGUGAAUAAAAAAUGGAGUUGUCAGUAUUAUGCCUCCUAGUGUUAAGGUUGUGGGAAAGUGGUGCAAUUCUCAACCAACUAGUGUUAAGGUUGAAUGUGUGAAAGUAGAGAAAGAUUUGGUGUUUAUGAAAGGUUAAAGGUAUGUGCAUUUUCUUUUGGGGAACGGGCCAAGCCCAAUAGGGAUAGCACACCCCAAGAGUCGUCUCGUCUACAACACCCUAUUUGAAUUUUCUAGUAUGAUGACAACAUGGUUAAGUGAAAAAAGAUAGCACUAUAACAUCUAAAAUCAUUCACAAUCAUUGAGAUAUAUUUAAUUUAUAUUAAUUCAUCCUUUCUACUUUUUUUAAUUUAUAUAUGUGAAACUUUCAAUCUAGUAAUCAAAUAUACAAGGAUUCUUUGAUCCUCUCACUUGCAGUCUCUUUAAAAUGGACUAUGAGGCAACUAUAUGUCAAUAAUGCCUUUUUACAUGGGUUUCUCAAGGAGUAGGUGUUCAUGGAGUAGCUAGCCCAUAGCUUUGUAAAUGAAGACUUUCCCAAUCAUGUAUGUUGUCUUAAUCAGUCUCUCCAUGGUUUGAAACAAACUCCAAGAGCCUAGUUCAAUAGACUUUCUUAGUUUCCUUCUCCAUAUAGGUUUUCAUUGUGGUAAAGUAGUCCUAUCCUUAUUCAUCUAAACAUAUAGGUCACUCCAUUAUUCUAAUAUUGAUUUACGUGGAUGAUGUUAUAGUCAUCGAAAAUGAUACAACCACCAUUGAUAAUCUCAACUUGGGCAAGUUCAUUACUUUCUUAGGUUGGAAGUUCAAAACUUUUAUGGCGGUAUUUUUGUUUCCUAAACAAAGUAUCUUAGAGACUUACUCAGUGGGAUGAAAUGCUUGAGUACUCUCACUUAAACAUGCUCAUGGCUAUCAAAUCUAUGACUAACCCAGCUAAUGAUCAUCCAGUUGAUCAAACCCUUUUAUAGGCAACUUACUUUGGUUCCUUGCAAUAUCUCAUGUUUACAAGACAAGGUGUUGUCCAUGCAAUAAACAAAGCCUAUCAACAAUUUCAAUCUCCCAUAGAGGCUAACAUGCAAGUUGUGAAAGUAUCUUGAGCUAUUUAAAGGAAACCAUGGAUUAUGGACUUUGCUUUCUUAAAAAAAUUUCCUUUUAUUUAAUAGGCUAUUGCAAUGCUGAUUAGGCUAGAUGCACCAUUUACAUGUCCCAUGAAUGAAAACUCCAUGAUCCAGUUUUUUAAACAAUGACAUUUCCACUCUGCCAUUUACAUCUAACAAUUGUCGCCAACUAUAAAUAUUUAGCAACCACUGGUGACAUCAAUAUUGGUAAUCUGGUUCUUUUCUAGGCUAGGACUUAAUGACUUUUAACACAAAAAAUUUCUCAAAUAAGAAAAUUGUUAAUGAAAUUGUAAGGUGGUUUAUUUAUACUUUACAAUCAUUAAUUUGCCCCUUGAUUCUUCUAAUAAAUACACAAACACCAUUUUAAACAAUUUAAUUUUAAUUUUGGAUCAAAAGGAUGGGGUUUCAUAAAUAGACACUAGAUAAUAAAUUGUUUCAAUGGAAAAAAAUCUUUGAAUCAUCAAAUAUUUCUCCAAGAAAUCUUUGAUAUUCUUUAACUCUUUAAGAGAUCUUCAAAUAUUCAUCUUUUGAAGAAAUCUUGAAUCUUGAAGGAAUUUCUUCAACAACUAUAAAAAUUUUCAUCGGUCUUCAAUGUAUGCUUUCAAAUGAGAGGAGCCCUCUACUUAUUGGGUUAGAAAUUUUAUUUUGAUAUUAUCUCUUGCUUUCCUAGACAUAAUCAUAUUUUUUUUAUUGUGGUAAUUAUUAUUUAUUUUAAUUAUUUAUAAUUAAUUAAUUAAGAUAAUUAUAAUAUUCUUUUGCCCCAUCACAAUUAACUGAUUUCUUUUUUUGUUUUAAUUUAUCAAAUUAUUUUUUUUGCAAGACCCAUCUAGCAAGUGUCAAUAUGUUAUUAGUUAAUUAUUGACAUGUGACUUUUAAUGAGUGGACAAAAUUUUUCUUUGUACAUAUUUCUUUCAACAUUGAUCAUUGCUAGUUAGUGGUGACAAUCUACUCAAACUCGUAAGUUGUUCUUUAUACACCUAAUGAUUUCUUGAAAUAUCACAAGUUUCUUUUAAUGUCUAGGUUUAUUUUUCAAUAAUGGUCAAUGCUAAGGCUAAGGUUGGGUUAGUUAGGUUAAGAAUAAGUUUAUGCUUCAUAUGUUUAUUUUUGUUGUGAUUUUAGAUAAAGGGGGUCCUUAUGUUCUUUCAUGAGUUUGAUGUAAAUUUUUAUGUUUGUUCCAUUUCACCUUAGUUUUAAAUAACAUCUACCUUGUUAUAUUCUUUUUUUUUUUUUGGCUUCUCUUUCGUAUGGGCUCCAUCUUCUUUACUAUUGUUUUCAUGAUUUCAACUUCAUUCUUUGUUUCCAUUCCACUUAUGGUGGCAUCUUAUUGUCUAAGGUUUGUGUAAGAAUUUCUAAAUUUCAUCAUUUGCAUCAUUUUUCAUCCCACUUCUCUAAAAUAAGACUAGAAUGAUUGGUUACUUUCAUGACAAGUUUUUAUUUUAACUCUUUCUACUUAUACUAUCUCUCCUUAUUCAUGCAUCUAGAAUUUAAUACAUUAAUAAUGCUUCAUUUUCAUUUUUAAAAAUAUGUAUAGGAAAAAAAAAAAGAGAAAAUAAGAAAACAUAUAUACUUAGCAAGCUUGAAGGAACAAUCAAGGUAGAUUGCCUUAGCGGAAUGAAACUCACGUGAGAAGAAAAUGGAGUUGUCAGUAUUAUGCUCAGGAAGGUAGUGCAAUUCUCAACCAACUAGUGAUAGGGUUGAAUAUGUUAAAGUAGAGCAAGAUGUGAUGUUUACAAAAGGUUAAAGGUAUGUGGGUUUUGUAUUAAGAUAGAUACUAUAAUAUUUAAAAUCCUUCACAAUCGUUAAGAUAUAUUUAACUUAUAUUAAUCCAAUCUUCCUACUUUGGUUAAUUUUAUGGUAAAAACCUAUAAAAACAAAUACAUUUAGACUAUUGGGAACAUAAAUAAUUAUUUUGAGUUAAAUUGUAUAAUAAUUAAGUUGCAAAAAUUUUCAAUUGUGGCUACAGACACAACUUUUUGGUCAGCCAUAUGUUGUUAUUUUCAAUAAUUAUAAAUUUUAGGUAAUUGGACAUAGAUUGGCCAUUGUUCAACUCUCAUUGAAACCAUGAAAUUACACCUCAACAUUCAAUACUAAAAAUGAGCAAAUUCUUAGCCUCGAAUUCAAGAAACUCCCAGCCAUGGGUUGGGCCUUAAAACAACCAUAGAUUAGACUCUUUCCUAGGUUGUUUUGCUUGCCAUGGUGGUGUGCACUGAAGGCCCCUCCUAUAGGAUCUUAGGAGCACAUUAUCUCAAUUUCUUUUCCAUAUCUUUUAUCACUCAUUAGGCUAGUAUAUUAAGUUGGAAUGUGAGAUUGUUUAGUAUUAAAAUACUAUAUUUUGCUGUAAAAAAAGUGCAGCUAUUAAUAGCUUCAAUAAAUAUAAAACAUCUUAUUUUUACUUUGAAGUAAAAAAAUUCAAAUUAUUACAAUUUCAUUAAACAUGAAAAAUCUUGCACACUAAACUAAAAUAAGGUUUUUUUUUCUAAAAAAAAUUUAUAAUUCCUUGUGUGAGAAAAAUCUUUCCAAAGUGAGAAACUCUAAUAUAUAUAUAUAGUGGACACAAUGUGAUGUUAAAUUGUAAAAGACUAAUCACACAUGGUACUUGAGAAUAGUAGUCCCAUUAUAUAUAAUUGUAGCUAAGGUGGCCCCCACUCUUCUUAGAAAACUAAUACACAUUGAUUCAUUGAGCCCUAACCUUCAAAUAUAUAAAACCAAACACAUAUUGGCUAGUUGAACCGUAGCCACCAAACAAUGAUCUAGGAAAGUCUCAAUUCUUGCAUAAGAAGAAGAAGAAGAUACCAAACAUGAGUCUAUCUUUGAAUAAUAGCUUGUGAGAUUGGAUCAAAGAUUUAGCAUAUGGUAAUCUUAUUCAUGUUUAGUUUGUAUUACUUUGGGAUUUCUUUAACUUUCGCUCAUUUGAAAGUAGAUUGAGUCAUAUCUUUAAAUUUUUAUGGUUUCUCUAUUUUCUUAUUCAAAAUCGAAGAAAUUUUUUGCUUAUACAUGGAGCUUCUUUGGAUUUAAUUUUUGGGAAAACAAAACCUUAGAUUCAAAAGUAUUUUUUUAAUGCCUAUGAAAUUAUUAUAAUCUUAAAUUGUCUUCAAUUUUCCCAAAUUUUCACAUAUACAUUUUGUGAACCCUAAAUUGAAAGAAUAGAAAUAGUAAAAUGGGAGUGUCAUUGUGUCAAACAAGAGGGCAUCCAUGUACUUCAUACUCUGAGAGCCAUAAAGUUUUAGUCCCUAUGAAUAAAAUCAAUUAUGCUUUUAAUUUUAUGUGAGGAAUGAAAUUUCUUGGAUUUUUUUCUAGUUUCUCUAAGUUACUACUAUAAAGAGAAAUAGGAGGAUGAAGUCUUCAUUAUUUUUAUUUUUUNNNNNNNNNNNNNNNNNNNNNNNNNNNNNNNNNNNNNNNNNNNNNNNNNNNNNNNNNNNNNNNNNNNNNNNNNNNNNNNNNNNNNNNNNNNNNNNNNNNNNNNNNNNNNNNNNNNNNNNNNNNNNNNNNNNNNNNNNNNNNNNNNNNNNNNNNNNNNNNNNNNNNNNNNNNNNNNNNNNNNNNNNNNNNNNNNNNNNNNNNNNNNNNNNNNNNNNNNNNNNNNNNNNNNNNNNNNNNNNNNNNNNNNNNNNNNNNNNNNNNNNNNNNNNNNNNNNNNNNNNNNNNNNNNNNNNNNNNNNNNNNNNNNNNNNNNNNNNNNNNNNNNNNNNNNNNNNNNNNNNNNNNNNNNNNNNNNNNNNNNNNNNNNNNNNNNNNNNNNNNNNNNNNNNNNNNNNNNNNNNNNNNNNNNNNNNNNNNNNNNNNNNNNNNNNNNNNNNNNNNNNNNNNNNNNNNNNNNNNNNNNNNNNNNNNNNNNNNNNNNNNNNNNNNNNNNNNNNNNNNNNNNNNNNNNNNNNNNNNNNNNNNNNNNNNNNNNNNNNNNNNNNNNNNNNNNNNNNNNNNNNNNNNNNNNNNNNNNNNNNNNNNNNNNNNNNAUUACACCAUGUGUACAUGAAGGUAGGACUAUAGACGGGACAAAAUAAACAAUGAUAAGGCUUAAGUUGGCCUCGGUAUUCGAGGACUACUAUAAAAAAAAAUGACUAUCUGGGUGACAUAUGAGUGUAAAAAAGAAUUACAUAUAUAUAGAUUUACAUUAUCAUAUAAAUAUCACCUCAAUUUGCCAUCUUAGAUUGUUCAUGGCACUUGCUCAUAGGAUAUCUUUGGCUCAUGGGAUAUCUUUUACCAGAAUUGAUAAUCAAUAGCAGUAUAGAAUCUUUACUCUACUACUGGUUCACAUGUGGUAUGAAGGAAGAUACUAUGAUCAAGUUUUUCAUACAAUGUCAUUUUUAUUCCACCUUUUACAUCUAACAAGUGUCAACAAUUAUAUAUUGACAUUUAACAAUCGUUAGUGACAUGAACAUUGGUAAUUUGGUUCUUUGGUAGGUUAAGCCUAAUGAUUUUUUACACAUAAAUUUUAUGAAAUAAGAAAAUUGUUGACAAAAUUGUAAGUUGAUUUAUUUAUACUUUACAAUCUUUAAUAUGCCCUUUGAUUAUUCUUAUAAAGACACAAACACCCUUCUAAACAAUUUAAUAUAUAAUUUUAGAUCAAAAGGUUAGAGUUUUGUAAAUAGACACUAGACAAUAAAUUUUCCAAUAAAAAAAAAACCUUCAAAUCAUUAAUUUCUUCAAUAAAUCUUCCUAUAUUCUUUAACUAUUCAAUAGAUCUUCAAAUAUUCAUCUUUUCUAGAAAUCUUGAAUCUUGAAGGAAUUUGUUCAACAAUUGCAAAUUUUUUUGUUGGUAUUCAAUGUGUGCUUUGAAAUGAGAGGAACCUUUUUACUUAUUGGGUUGAAAACUUUAUUUUGAUAUUAUCUCUUGCUUUCCAAGAGAAAAUCAUUUUAUUUAUUGUGAUAAUUAUCAUUUAUUUUAAUUAUCAUUGUUAAUUGAUUAAGAUAAUUAUAAUUUUUUUGCUUUAUCAAAAUUAAUUGAUUUCUUAUUAUUUUUAAUUUACAAAAUUAUUUUUUUACAAAGGCCUAACUGACAAGUGUUAACAUAUUGUUAGUGAAUUAUUGACAUGCGACUUUUAAUGAGUGGAAAAAAUUUGUAUUUGUACAUACUUUUUUUAACAUUGAUCAUUAUUGGUUAGUGGCCACCAUCUACUCAAACCAAUAGGGAGUUCUUUAUACACCUAAUAAUUUCUUGAAACAUCACAAAUUUAUUUCAAUGUUUAGGUUUAUUUUUUCAACGAUGGCUAAUGCUAAGGUUGGAUUAGUUAGGUUAAGAACAAGGUUAUGUUUCAUAUGUUUAUUUUUAUAGUGAUUUUAGACAGAGAAUUCUUUUGUUUUGUUUUUUUUUUUGUGAGUUUGAUGUAAAUUUUUAUGCUAGUUCCAUUUCACCAAAGUUUUAAAUAUCAACUACCUUGUCAUAUAUAUAUAUAUAUAUAUAUAUAUUUGUCUUCUCUUUCAUAUGGGCUCCAUCUUCUUUAUUGUUGUUUGCAUGAUUUUCAUUUCAUUCUUUGUUUCCAUUCCACUUGGUGCUAUCAUCUUAUUGUCUAAGGUUUGUGUAAGAGUUUUUAAAUUUUCAAAGUAGAGUAUGGUACUCAUCCUUUACAUCAUUUUUAUCCAACUUCUCUAAGAUAAGAGGAGAAUGAUUGGUCAUUUUCAUGGAAAGGUUUUAUUUUAAGUCUUUUCACUUAUAUGAUCUCUCCUUAUUCAUGCUUAUAGAAUUUAAUACAUUAAUGACAUUUCAUUUUCAUUUUAAAAAAAUAUGUAUAGGAAAAAAAGAAAAAAAGAAAACAUACUUAGCAAGCUUGAAAGAACAGUUAAGGUAGAUUGUCUUAGCGGAACGAAACUCACGUGAGUAAAAAAUGGAGUUGUCAGUAUUAUGCCUCUUAAGAAGGUGGUGCAAUUCUCAACCAACUAGUGUUAAGAUUGACUAUGUGAAAGUAGAGUAAGAUUUGGUGUGUAAGAAAGGUUAAAGGGACAUGGAUUUUCUUAUGGGGAACGGGCCCUGCAAAUAGGAACAACACACGCUAAGAUUCGUCUCGUUUACAACACCCUAUCCGAAUUUUCUAGUAUGAGGACAACAUAGUUAAGUGAACUAAGAUAGUACUAUAAUAUCUAAAUCAUUCACCAUCAUUGAGAUAUAUUUAAUUUAUAUUAAUUUAGCCUUCUGAUGAGUUAAAUUGAAUAAUAAUUAAGUUGCCAAAAUUCUCCAUUGUACAUACAAAAACAACUAUUUAGUGAUCCAUAUGUUGUUAUUUUCAUAGUAUGUGUAAUUGGAAAUAGGUUGCCAUUGUUUAGCUCUCAUUGCAACCAUAGAAUCAUAUGUCAACAUUCAAUACUACAAAUGAGAAUAUUAUCAGCCUUGAAUUCAAACAACACUGGAUUGGGACUUGAACCAACCAUAGAGCAAACUUCUUUUUGUGUUGUUUUGUUGCCCAUGGUGGUGUGCACUGAAGGCCCCUCCCAUAGGUGCUUAGAAGCACAUUAUGUCAAUUUUUUUUCCAUAUCUUUUAUCACACAUUAGGCUAGUUUCUUAAAUUGGAGUGUGAGGCUGUUUGGUAUUAAAAUACUUUAUUUUAAUGUUUUUUUUUAUAAAAAAAGUAGAGCUAUUGAUAGCUUCAAUAAACAUAAAAACAUCUUAUUUUUAUUUUGAUCUUAAAAAAAAAAUUGAAUUAUUUAAAUUUUAUUAAACAUGAAACAUCUUACACACAAAACUAAAAUAAGUUUUUUUUUUUAAAUAGGAUUCCUUGUGUGUGAAAAUUCUUUUCAGAGAGAGAAACCUCUAAAAAAAUUAUUAAAAUUCAAGUAAAAUGUCUUAAUGAGCUGACACAAUCCACUUAAAUUGUAAAAGACUAAUCACACAUACUACUUGAGAAUAGUAGUCCUAUUAUAUAUAAUGGUAAUUGGGCGGGCGGCCCCCACUCUUUUUAAACCUAAUACACAUUGAUUCAUUGAACCUUAGCCUUCAAAUAUAAAACCAAACACAUUGGUUACUGGACCCCUAGUCGUCAAAUAAUGAUCUAUGAAAUUCUCAAUUAUCUCAUAAGAAAAAGAAGAUAUUAAACAUGAGUCUAUCUCCGAUUAAUAGCUUGCGGGCUUGGAUCAAAGAUUUAGCAUAUGGUAAUCUUAUUCUUAUUUGAUUUGUAUUACUUUAGGAAUUAUUUAACUUUCACUCAUUUGAAAGUAGAUCAAGUCAUAUCCUUCAAUUUAUAUGGUUCCUCUAUUUUCUUCUUGAGAGUUGAACAAAUUUUGUGCUUAUACAAAGAGCUUUUCUGGAUUUAAUUUUUGGGAAAACAAAACCAUAGAUUGGGAAAUAUUUUUUUUAGUGCCUAAUAAAUUAUUACAAUCUUAAAUUCUCUUCUAUUUUCCAAACUUUAACCAAUACAUUUUGUGAACUCGAAAUUAAAAGAAUAACAUUAGUAUAAUGGGAGUGUUCAUUGUGUCAAACAAGAAGGCCUUCAUGUACUUCAUAUUUGAGAGCCAUAAAGUUCUAAUCACCAUAUUGAAUAAAAUCAAAGAUGCCUUGAAUUUUAUAUGAGCAAUGAAACUUCCUCAAUUUUUUCUAGUUUCUCUAUGCUAUUAGUAUAAAGAGAAAUAAGAGGAUAGAAUCUUCAUUAUUUUCUUAAUUUUUCUUUAGUUUUUCAUAAUUUAAUAUUAUUUGAUGUCGUUAUAAAUCAAUGACCAUCCUUUAUCAUUUUCUUACAUUUUCUUUAGGCUUUCAUAGUUUAAUACUAGUUAGUAUGCCCUUUGAUACAAAACAUUGUGGGAUCAAUGUAAGUCAAAUGUGAGUUUUUGAAUUGAUCCUAAACAUACAUAUAUUAUCCUUACUCUUUAUAUUUCAUGAUUAAUUGAAAAAUGCGAUAUUAAUCGUAAACUUACAUAUACUUCUCCUACAAUUAAUAUUUGGUUAUGGAUUUUGAAAUUUGUUAUUAUUCCAACUCUAAAAUAAAUCAUCAAAUAAAUGUACCUCAAUAUUUUCUCUGGGCUAGAUAAUGAUCAUUAUGUCAUUUUACGAUUAUCAUUGGUAGUUGUUUAUUUUGUUUUUCUGCGUUUUGAUACUUUGUGCAGACACUAGUACCAGGUUUGAGUCUUAGAAAAUUGUGGCCCUGCCAAUCUAAAACUAAGAGAUGGAAAUUUCCCUUGGAGAUAUUUUUCUUAGGGUAAUUUCCAUCUUUAAGAAGAUUAUAGGUUCUCACACCAAGUUCAAGCAUGGUUAGUGUCUACAAAAGAUUAGAUGAAAAUUUGGGGCAACUUUACACAAUUUGGAUAAUAUGGAUUAAUUCAAUAAUAGUUUGAAAUGAAACAAUAAAACCACAAUGUCUACUAUUGGGUGUUUGAGCAUGGACAAAAUUGCUUCUAUGUUUAGACCAUGUGUACAUGAAGGUAGGGCAUUAGAUGGGAUAAUAUAAACAACCAUAAAGCUCAUGUUGGCAUAGGUGUUCGAGGAUUACUGUCAAAACAAUGACUCUAUUCUUGUAUUAAACAUGAAUAUAUAGUUAUGCUUGUAACAUUGUGUCGACAAUAUUAGCACCUAGAAAGUGCUUAUAUAUAUAUAUAUAUAUAUAUAUAUAUAUAUAUAUAUAAUUAUUAUAUUUUAAAAAAUUACAUUAUUUUAUAUGUAUCCCUUGAAUUUUCCAUCUUACAUUAUUCAUGGCACCUCCUCAUAGGAUAGUUUUUGUACUUUGAUGCUUCGUAUUCCUUUGUAAACUACUAGAAGGAAUAUGAAUGACAUGUCUAUAUUAUAAUUAUAUUUCACCAGUAUUGAUGAUUAAUAGCUAUAUAGAACAUUUACUCUACUAUUGGUUCACAUGUGGCAUGAAGGAAAAUCCUAUAAUCUAAUUUUUUAGAUAAUGUCAUUUCCAUUCCACCAUUUACUACUAACAACUAUCAACAACUAUAGACAUUUAAACAAUUUAAUUUUGGAUCAAAAGGUCGGGGUUUCAUAAAUAGACACUGGAUAAUAUAUUCUUUCAAUGAAAAAAAUGAUCAAUUUCUUCAAGAAAUCUUUAGAUGUUAUGCAACUCUUUAAGAGAUCUUCAAAUAUUCAUUGUUUGAAGAAAUCUUGAAUCUUGAUGGAAUCUCUUCAACAACUAUAAAAUUUUUGGCCGAACCCUCUAUGGUUGGAAAUUUUAUUUUAAUAUUAUCUAUUUAUUUCCUAGAUUUAAUCAUUUUCUUUAUUGUGAUAAUUAUAAUUUAUUUUAAUUAUCAUAAUGAAUUAAUUAAGAUAAUUAUAAUAUUCUUUUGCUUUUUCAUAAUUAAUCGAUUUUUUUAUUAUUUUUAAUUUAUUAAUUUUUUUUAGCAAGAUCCAUCUGACAAGUGUCAACUGUUAUGACAUUGAGUCUUUUUUAUAUGUUAGCAAUUUUGUUCCAAUUUAUGUUUGACCAUAGAAGUCUUUUUAGAUAAUGACUUUCUCUCCAUUGAAGAUCAAGGGUUACUUUUCAUCCGAUUAAGAAAUCACACGUACGUCUAAAAAGGUUUGGUUUGUGGCAUAUAAGACUUCUUUGAUCUAUAAAAAGUUUGGUGUCAAUUUUGGACUCAAACUUUUUUUAAAAUGCUUUUUAAAAAAGAAGGGGAAGCUCAUGUGGUUAAUCCCGAUUAAGCAGUCAACUUGCUCAAGUGGCAUGAAACACUUAAGCGGAGUGCUCAAGUGGUCUAAGCCUCCUCAAGCGGUCAUGUCUGUUGAGUUUAGAAACAUAUUUUGAAUGAAUUUCACUCAAACUUUAAUUUAGAAACUUAAGAUACUUGGACUCUUUGACUUGUGCUUAUAUAUACUUGUCUAAUAACCCUUUGAGGGUUAAAGAUUCGGGCUAAGAGAUUAGAAUUGAAAAUAUCUGAGUUUAGAGACCUCUUAUUCUUUAGAGGGACUCUUUGAGAGAAAGCCUUAUUGCCACACCAUUUUCGAUAUCUUUUUCAAGGAUUUGGAUUUUUGAAUUGUUGGUUGAAGACCUAAAUCCCUUUGAAGGUACUAGAUGAUCUAUUAGGGAGCAAUAGAGUGUUGUUGUGUCACAUAAGUAGAUCAAGUUAUAGGUACUAAAGAGAAAGUCUUUAGGGUUAAACGACUAGUUAAAUCUGUGUAACUUGAUUUCGAAUAGUGGAUUUAGAUUGAUAGGUCUUAGACCUUGUGGUUUUUUUUCUCCAUAAGUUUGUGGGGGUUUUCCACAUAAAAAAUCUUAUGCCUCAUUGUCUAUUUCUUUAUAUUUGUUAUUAUGUUUGAAGUGCCUCGAUUAGGUUAAUUUGAUUAAUCUUAAUAUAUUGCAGGGCUUUCCUAAAAAAUGCAUAUCUAUUUAUUCCUGCUUUUUUUCUAGUUGAUAACUUUGAAUAUCUUAGUUUUAUUGGUUAAUUAGUUAUUGAGUUAGAUGAUUUGUUAUCUUGGUGGUUGUGGUGGUUAUACCCAUAACCAAUUAUUGAUUAAUUUAUUGAGAUUAUUGUAGAGUUUGCUAGGUUGGUUAUUCUAGUAGUUAUUAUUAUUAUUAUCCCCAACAUAUCUGAACAUAUAUCGUUAAUCUUUGGAUAUCAAUUAACCAUAAAAAUUAGUUUUUUAUUUGGAGUGAAAUCUUAAGAUAAAGUUUAGACAUAUUUUAUAAAUAAUUUAUUAAUUUUUUUAAAAAUCACCCAUCUACCCCCAUCUGGGUGUUCCCCUAUCAGACUUUUGAUAAUUAUUCAAGUCGUAUUUGAGCAAUACCCAUUUUUCAUCAACAUAGUAUUUGUUAAUUAUUGACAUUUGACUUUUAAUGAGUAGACAAAAUUUCUCUUUAUACAUAUUUCUUUCAACAUUGAUUAUUGUUAGUUAGCGACAACCAUCUACUCAAACUGGCAAGGAGUUCUUCAUACACUUAAUGAUUUCUUGAAACAUCACAAAUUUCCUUCAAUGUUUAGGUUUAUUUUUCAACAAUGGCCAAUGCUAAGGCUAAAUGCUAUGUUUCAUAUGUUUAGUUGUUGUGUUUUUAGAUAAAAAGGUCCUUAUGUUUUUCUGUGAGUUUGAUGUAAAUUUUCGUGCUUGUUCAAUUUCACCAUAGUUCUAAAUAUCAACUACCUUAUUAGAUUUUUUUUUGCUUCUCUUUUAUAUGGGCCCCAUUUUUUUUAUUGUUGUUUCCAUGAUUUUAAUUUCAUUCUUUGUUUCCAUUCAACUUGGUUUCGACAUUGUAUUAUCUAAGGUUUCUACAAGAAUUUUUAAAUUUCCUUAGUACAGUAUGACAUUCAUCCUUUGCAUCAUUUUUAUCACACUUCUGUAAAAUAAGAGGAGAAUGAUCAGUCAUUUUCAAGGAAAGGUUUUAUUUUAAGUCUUUGUACUUAUGUUAUCUCUCCUUAUUCAUGUAUCUACAAUUUAAUACAUUAAUGACACUACAUUUUCAUUUUACAAAAUGUGUAUAGGAAAAAAAAAGAAAAAGAAAAGAAGAAAACAUACUUAGCAAGCUUGAAGGAACACUCAAGGUAGAUUGCCUAAAUGGAAUGAAACUCGCAUAAGAAAAUGGAGUUCUCACUAUUAUGCCUACUAGGAAGGUGGUGCAAUGCUCAACUAAUUAGUGUUAAGGUUGAAUACGUGAAAGUGGAGUCAGAUGUGAUGUUUACUAAAGGUUAAAGAUAAGUGGGUUUUGUAUUAAGAUAGAUAUCAUAACAUCUAAAAUCAUUCUCAAUCAUUGAGAUACACUAACUUAAUUUAUAUUUAUUCAACCUUCCUACUUUGGUUAAUUUUAUGGUAAAAAUCUAUAAAGACAAAUACAUUUAGAAUAUUGGGAACAUAAAUAAAUCUGAUGAGUUAAAUUGAAUAAUAAUUAAGUUACCAAAAUUCUCCAUUGUACAUACAAACACAACUAUUUAGUGAAUCAUAUGUUGUUAUUUUCAUAGUCUAUGUAAUUGGACAUAGGUUUGCCAUUGUUUAGCUCUCAUUGCAACCUUGAAAGCAUGCCUCAACAUUCAAUACAAGAAAUGAGCAUACUCUCAACCUCGAAUUCAAGCAACACCUAACCAUGGAUUGGGCCUUAAACCAACCAUAGAGUGAACUCCUUCUUGUGUUGUUUUGCUACCCAUGGUGGUGUGCAUCGAAGGCCCUUCCCAUAGGUGCUUAGAGGUGCAUUAUCUCAAUUUCUUUUUCAUAUCUUUGAUCAUACAUUAGGCUAGUUUCUUAAGUUGGAGUGUGAGACUAUGGUACUGAAAAUAUUUUAUUUUAAUGUUAAAAAAAAAAAAAAGUAGAGCUAUUGGUAGCUUCAAUAAACAUAACACAUCUUAUUUUUAUUUUGAUGUAAAAAAAAAAAAAAAAGUGAAUUAUUGCAAUUUUAUUAAAGAUGAAUCAUCUUACACACAAAACUAAAAUAAUAGACACAAUCUGGCAUUCAAUUGUAAAAGACUAGUCACACAUACUAUUUAAGAAUAGUAGUCCCCUUAUAUAUAAUGGUAGCUAGGGUGGAUCCCACUCUUUUAAAAAACCUAAUACACAUGGAUUCAUUGAACCCUAUCCUUCAAAUAUAUAAAACCUAACACAUUGAUUAUUUGAACCCUAGCCAUCAAAUAAUGAUCUAUGAAAUUCUCAAUUCUCUCAUAAGAAGAAGAAAAAUACUAAACAUGAGUCUAUCUUCGAUUAAGAGCUUGCGAGGUUGGAUCAAAGAUUUAGCAAAUGGUGAUCUUAUUCUAAUUUGAUUUGUAUUACUUUGGGAUCAAUUUAACUUUCACUCAUUUGAAAGUAGAUUAAGUCAUAUCUUUCAAGUUUUAUGGUUCCUCUAUUUUCUUGUUGAGAGUUGAAGAAAUUUUGUGCUUAUACAAGGAGCUUUUUUUGGAUUUAUUUUUUGGGAAAGCAAAACCAUAGAUUGGGAGGUAUUUUUUUUAAUGCCUAAGAAAUUAUUACAAUCUUAUAUUCUCUCCUGAUUUCCAAACUUUAACCAAUAUAUUUUGUGAGCCCGAAAUUGAAAGAAUAGCAACCAUAAAAUGGGAGUGUCAUUGUGUCAAACAAGAGGGCAUACAUGUACUUCAUAUUUGAGAACCAUAAAGUUCUAAUCACCAUGUUGAAUAAAAUCAAAGAUGCUUUGAAUUUUAUGUGAGCAAUGAACUUCGUCAAUUUUUUCUUGUUUCUCUAUGUUAUUUGUAUAAAGAGAAAUAGGAGGAUAAAGUCUUCAUUAUUUUCUUACUUUUUCUUUAGUUUUUAAUAGUUUAAUAUUAUUUGCUGUCAUUCUAAAUCGAUGAUAUCAGUUAUCAUUUUCUUACAUUUUCUUUAGGCUUUCAUGGUUUAACACUAGUUAGUAUGCCUUUUGAUCCAAAACAUUUAUGGGAUCGAUGUAAGUCAAAUGUGAAUUUUUGAAUUGAUCCUAAACUUACAGAUGCUUUCCCUACUUUUUAUGUUUCAUGAUCAAUUGAAAAUUUUGAUUUUAUUAAUCUUAAACUUACAUAUACUUCUCCUAAAAUUAAUAUUUGACUAUGGAUUUUGAAAUUUGUUAUUAUUCCAACUCUUAAAUAAAUCAUUAAAUAAAUGUACCUCAAUAUUUUAUCCAGGCUAGAUACUUAUCACUAUGUCAUUUUACUAUUGUCAUUUUAAAUGUUAUUAGUUGUUUAUUUUGUUUUUCUUAUGUUUUGAUACUUUGUGCAAAUACUAGUACCAUGUUUGAGUUUUAGAAAGUUGUGGUUUCUUGCAGAUUGCUAUCUCAGGGUAAUUUCCAUCUUUGAGAAGAUUGCAGGUUCUUGCACCGAGUUGAAGCAUGGUUAGGCUCUACAGAAGAUUAGAGGAAGAUUUGGGACAACUUUAUGCAAUUUUGAUAACAUGGAUUAAUUCAAUAAUAGAAAUAGCGAUACAGCUCAAGUUGGCGUAGGUGUUCGAGGAUUACUAUAAGGAAAAUGACUCUAUUCUUGUGUUAAACAUAAAUACAUGGUUAUAAGGAAAAUGACUCAACUAUCAUGUUAUAUUGUUUUUUUUUUUUUUUCUAUUUUUAAUUUUUUAAUUUUUUAAUUUUUUAAUAUUUUAAUUUUUUAAUUUUUUAAUUUUAAUUUUUUGCUUCUCACUCAUACGAGUUUCAUCUUCUUUGUAGUUUUUUUCCAUGAUUUUAAUUUCAUUCUUUGUUUCCAUUUCGUUUGGUGUUGGCAUCUUUUUGUCUAUGGUUGGUGUAAGAUUUGUAAAUUAAUUUCCAAAGUUGAAGACAAUACUCAUCGUUUGCUUCAUUUUGCAUUCCAAUUCUUAAUGAUAAGAGGAGAAAGAAUGGUCAUUUUCAUAGAAAGGUUUUAUUUCAAGUGUUUGCAAUUAUACUCUCUCUCCAUUCAUGCUUCUAAAGUUUAAUACAUUUGAGACAUUUUAUUUUCAUUUUAAAAGUUAGGUAUAGGAAAAAAAGAGAAAAAUAAGAAAACACACUUCGCAAGAUUGAAGGAACAAUCAAGGUAAAUUGCCUUAGUAGAAAGAAACUCAUGUGAGAAGAAAAUGGUGUUGCCAGUAUUAUGGUUGAAUAUGUGAAAGUAUAGCAAGAUACGAUAUUUAAGAAAGGUUAAAGUUAAGUUGGUUUUGUAUUAAGGUAGAUACUACAAUAUCUAAAAAAUCAUUCAUAAUCAUUGAGAUAUAUUUCAUUUGUAUUAAUUCAGCCUUCCUACCUACUCUAGUUAAUUAUAUCAUAAAAACCUAUCAAAAUAAAUAUAUUUAGAUUGUAAGGAAGAUGAAUAAUUUUGAUGAGUUAAAUUGCAUAAUAAUUAAGUUGCCAAAAUUUUCCACUGUAUAGUGAACCAUAUGUUUUUAUUUUCAGUAGUUAUAUAGCCUAUAAAAUUGGAAAUAAGUUGGCCAUUGUUCAACUUUCAUUGCAACCUUGACAUUAUACCUCGACUUUUAAUACUAUAAAUGAGCAAAUUCUCAUCCUCAAAUUCAAAAAAAAAAAUCCUUUCAUGGAUUAGGCCUUAAGCCAGCCAUAAAGUAGACUAAUUCUUUGGUUGUUUUGCUGCUCAUGGUGGUGUGCACCCAAGGCCCCUCCCAUGGGUGCUUGAAAGCACACUAUCAUAACUUCUUUUCCAUAUCUUUGAUUGCAAAUUAAGCUAGUUUGUUAGGUUAGAUUGUGAGACUGUUUGGUAUUAAGCUACUUUAUUUUGAUGUGAAAAAUAAAAUAGUAGAGUUGCUAAUAACUUCAAUAAACAUAAAACAUCUUAUUUUGAUUGGGAUGUAAAAAAAAAUAAAAAUUGCAUUAUUACAAUUUCAUUAAAUAUGAAACAUGUUACACACUAACAUCAUCAAAGAUGAUUAUUUAAUUAUUCAAAUGCUAAAAAAUAAAAAUAAAAAUAAAAUUUAUAAAGAUAGUAAAUAUGCACUUCUAACAUCAUCAAAGAUGAUUAUUUAAUUAUUCAUUUAUUUAUUUUUUCAAUUAUUUAUUAGGAUUACUAAGGGAUUGAAAAGAAGAAAUGGGGAAAGAAGAACAAGAAGAUGAAUAUGCAUUAAUUUGAAUUGGGUUGGUUUAGUCUUUAACCAAACGGAUACCUCUAUAGUCUUAAAAAAUAAAAAAUCAUAAAUUAGGUAGAUAAUUAAAGAAAUUAAAUUAGGUGGAUACAAAUAUAAUUUUUUCUUUAUAAAAAAUCCCAACAUAUAUGCUGAAAUUAUAACUUGUAAUAUUGAAAUAAAAUCAAAUUAUUAUUUCAACCUUAUAAUUUUAAUUUUGGUUCACAUCUAAGCAUAAGAAUUGGAAUUAUCAAAUUCAUUCAUAUUUCCUUGAAUAGAAAUGAAAACAAAAUAUUCAUUAUCAUUCCUUACUUCGCAAAUCAAACAUGUCCCAAUUGUUUUUUAUUUUUCAAAAAAAUAAUUUUCUUCUGGAUUCUUUAACAAAGUUUUAUCAACUCUUUUUUUCUCACGUGGCACCAAUUUAAAACCCAUCUCAACGAGUCAAUUGGGAAUCUGAUGUUGUAACAUCUGCUCCCAACCGUGUAGAUAUUGUCCACUUUGUACCCAAAGUGACCCUCACGACUUUAAAACACAUCUAUAGGUUUAAGAGAAGUCCAUACUUAUAUAGUGCCAGGAACUUUCCCCCUUAUCUGAUGUGGGAUAUCACAAACACCUCCCCAUGCAGACACAACGUCCUCGUUGUGUCCCAUUGGAUUGUAGGGCCAAAUAGACGAACACCCCUACGGGGCCAAACAAACCCCUACAUCGAGGUCGGAGAUCUGCUUUGAUACCAUUUGUAACAACUCACUCCCAACCGUGUAGAUAUUGUCUGCUUUGGAUCCAAAGUGGCCCUCACGACUUUAAAACGCGUUUAUAGGGUUAAAAGAAGUCUAUACUUAUAUAGCGUCAAGAACUUUCCCCUCUAUCCGAUAUGGGAUAUCAUAAAUGUUCUAGUCCACAUUGACGCUAACAUGACAUGAAAAUUUGAAUGAAGAGGAACCCACAUUAUUGAUAUUUUUUAUUUAUUAAUUUUCUAAAUUAAUAUUAAUAUUAUAAAAAUACGAACAUUUAAAAAUUUUAACAACGAAUUAUAAUAUGUUUAAAACUCACAUACAUUUCAAUUUAUUUUAAAAUAAUAUUAAAUUAUAAAAUAUAAAUAAAAAAUAGUUUUUUGCAUGAAUAUUGUAAUGAUAAUUUUGUUAAGACAUGAAUGUAGAUAGUAUAUUAUAAAAACAAAAUCAUAUAAAACAAUGAUAAUAAUAUUUUAAAAUUUGAUAAUGCUUAAUAAUGUUUUAUUUAAAAUGAAUAAUAAAAAUAAAUAUAUUUCCUUUUCUAAAUAUAUAAAUAAAUUAAGUUUUUCAUUAUAUAAUACAAAAUUUUACCUAAUUACUAACAAGGUGUUUUGUACCACUUUGGUUCAAGAAAUUCUUGUAUCAAUCGAAUCAAUUUUUGAAUUUAAAAUUAUUUUUAAAAAUUACUAAAUCUGUUAACAAAUUUAAAGCAUUAAAUUUCAAUUGAUUUACUUAAUGAAAACUUUUGAAAAAAAAUAGUUGCAUACAUACGAGAUAUAAAAAUAGACAUUCCAAACUAGUUUUAAUUUAUGAUUUUUUUUAUAUUAAUUAAUUUGGUUUUUAAAUUGCAAAUUAUUUUUAAAAAUUACUAUAUUCGUUGCAUAUUGAAAUCUUGGUAGCAUUCCGAGUAACUCCUCAACCUAGAAUUCCAUCCAAAGAAGUAGGGAUCGCGAUAGCUAUUGAAUCUUCUACUGGUACAUGGAUAGGUGUGUGGAUUGAUGGACUUACCGGUCUUGAUCGUUACAAAGGACGAUGCUACCACAUAGAGGUAGUUACUAGAGGAGAAAAUCAAUAUAUUGCUUAGGUAGUUUAUCUUUUAGACCUUUUUGAAGAAAACUCUAUUACUAACAUGUUUACAAGUCUCACUUAAUUUAAAGUUUAUUUUUCUCAGAAAAAAAUUUCAAGAAAUAGGGAAAAUUCAUUGGAAGCUGGGUGCAAGUAAACAUGCUCACAUCAAGGUAAAUGCAUAUAUAAAAUGAAAGUUCAGACGUAUACAAUUGAAAAAUACAUUUAUACUAUUCUUUGUUUAUGCAUGUACUACAUGUUGUUCAGAUAUAUACUAUUCUUUGAGAAUGGGAGUGCCUCCAGUACCAUAGAUUCAUUGCAUGAAAUGUACGUAGGCUGAUAGGACAAAGCGAUGGAUGUUAAAGAGCAAAUAUUCAGUGAUUUUGCAAAUUACAGUAAAUCAGUAGUCACCUUUUGCCGAUUACACGUGUUUUUAAAAAUAAUUUUAAAAUGAUAGUUAUGAAUCUAUUCCUUAAAAUACAGCAUUAUUAUAUUUAUAUUAAAAUUAUAUUUUUAAAAGACAAUUUCAUUAUAAAUUUAUAAAUUCUAUUUAUAUUAAAUAUCUUUUGAAAAGAUAAUGGAGGUUCAUAUUAAGGAUAAAAGUAUCGAGAUAUCUCGUUGGAACCACUAAACCAAAUCUCUUAUUGUGUAAAAUUUUGACAUAAAAAUAAUAUAUACUAUGUAAAUUAAUUAAAAUAAAAUUAUUAUAAAUAAAACAAUUUUAAUUAUCGUACUAUGCCUUCCAUAUAAUAUUUUAAUUUAAAACAAGUAUAAAUUUACAAAUAAAAUUAUCACUAUUUUUAAAUAAAAAAAACUUAUUCCAACUAAAUAUAUUAUAAUUUUAAGUUUAACGUGUUUUUAAAUUUGGUACAUUAGUACAAAAUGUCACAAAAUAUAUUAUACAUACACACACAUAUAUAUUAGAGUUUUUCUGCAUAUUUUCAUGAGUUUUGAUUAAUUUUUUAUCCAUUAAUAUUUCCUGAUAUAUUCAUAAAAUCAAGUUAUCAAUAUGUCUCUCAAAACCGAUAUUUUUAUCCUUGUUCAUAUCUAAUUGAUCUAUAAAGAUAUUCCUUAGGAUCGGCUACAUAGAACCGCCUUGUGGUAUGUCCCUCAUUUAAUUGGAAUGAUCAUUACCUUUUACAACUAUUAAUAUCAAAAUGAUUUUAAAAUAUAAUUAUUUGAUUAAAGGAAAUGGAUAAAUCCUUAAUUUGUAAAUUUACUAAAUUUUUUUUUCUAGGGUAAAAGAUAUUCAUUUUUUACAAGAAUACCUUUACUUCUUUUUGUAGAAAUAAUCUUCAUGAAAUAUUGAAAACCUUAAAUUCAAAUAUGGGAGAUUAGAUACAAAUUUGAGAUCAUUUUAUUCCUUUUAAUUGAUUCAUUCUAUUAAAAUCCCAUUUUAAAAAGGUGAUAUGUAAUUUUUUUUAAAGAUGAUUUUAAAAGUAUUGUAUUUUUUAAAAUAUUGUUUUUGUAACAUUUUUUUAAUAAUAUUAUUAAAAUAAAAAAAUCCCUAAAUUUAAUUAUUUUAGAAAAUAAAAAUAAAUAAAUCUUUUGACACAUACAAUGAAAGAAUAAUUUAUAUAAAAUAUUAAAAAUCAUACUCAUUCUUGUUCGUCCAAAAUUUAUUGUUCGCUAUUUUGAAACAAAUAUUUAAAAUAACCUUUUUGUCAUGUAACUUAUCUUUUAUUUAUUUUUAAUUGUGAUUUGUUAGAAGUAAUAAUUUAAAUUUGCAACUUCAAUAAAUUUAAAAACCACAUUGGCUUUAGUACACAUUUAGAAUUUAAAAAGUUGGUUUUUGAAAACAUGGUUUCAAACCAAUUUAAAGAAAAUAAAAAUAAGUUACUUUGAAUAAUAGUUUCAUAAGAUCCUAUAACCUAUAUUUUUGUUUGGUUAGUGGGCCAUUUAGUUUCUUCAAUCCAAUAUAAUGAUAGUGGGCUAUAUAUGUAAUAAGGAAUGCACUAUGACACCUAGCAUAAAUGUAUCAAUUGAAGCAAUGGUGGAUGCAGCUUGUUAGGGAUAGCAAUGCAUAAUGUGUUAACUAAAUCAUGCACAUAUGAACAAAAGAUUUUUAACAUGUGUAGACCCUCAAUUUUGUCCCUUUAGCACAUGUCUUUAAAUUCACUUCCAGUGCUCCACGGCAGUUCCUUGGUGGCCCAUGACUACUCAUACCACUUACCUUUUUCUGAGUCACCUCGGAGAUUUUGGUUGAGGGAUUAUUUGAUCCUUUCUCGUGACCCUUGGCAACCCUAAUUUAGACUUAGGCUUUUGUUAUUCUUUUUAGGAUAACUUUUUUUUUUUAGACACACUUGACCCAUUAGGCACCACCCUAGGCCCACUUAGAUUCACCUAGGCUCAUUUAGGCACAUCUAGGUCCAUUUAGGCACCCUAGGCCCACCUAGAUUCACCUUGACUCGCACUGAGGCACCUUACAGUUUACACACACUCACUUUAGGUCCACGUAGGCAUCCUAGCCCACCUAUGUUACCUUUUAGGUAAUUCCUACGUGACUUGUAUAAUUUGCAUGAUCUGCAUUUUUAACGUUGGCAUGUACUUGAUGUCUUAUUUCUACUUAUUUUAUUUAUUCAUUUACUUAUUUAUUUAUAAUUAUUUGGCUAGUUAUUUGCUUUUAUUUAUUUAUUUUAUAGAAUAUUGCAUGAAAUUGAUGAUUAAUUUUGUAAACUAAUGUCUUAAUUAUUUUUUGUAUACCUAUGAUAGACAUAAUGUUUUUAAUUGCAUAAUUUUAGUUGGUUUUAAUUUUCAAUUUCAUGACUUUUACUGAUUUUAAUUCGUAUUUUAUUUUGGCAUGAGAUUUGAACGCACACAUUGGAGAGGAUCCAUAGGCACGGCUACAAUCUUCCAUGGGCUGCAGUUUUGGAGAUCACAUAGUUGCAUAUCUGGAAGACGGAACAGACUUCCGUGGCAAGAUGCACAGGAAGGAAAGGUGAUGUCCAGAGAAUGAGGAGAAGAAUGCAUAAUCACACUUCCAACAAUGUAUUACUGUCAUAUGGUGUAUUCCUCGAACCCAAAACCCUCUCUCAAUUCCAAACGCGUUCGAGAUUCACUGUUUCUGCAAGUCUCGGUGCAUUUCGUUUUAUUAAAGGUCAUCCUUCCGCACAAUUGCACCCUGAGAUUGACCGACAGUGGAGUGCACGUUUUGGAGCCCUUGGAAUCAGAAGAUAGAUGGGAUCCUUGCCACUUAAAGAUGGCGCACUUCGGAUUGGACCCCAAGCCCACUCUCACAUGGCUUGCAUGGCCACCCCUUUUGUACAUUAUUUUAAAGCCAGCAUGUCUCAGCCCUUAAUUCCUCUUGCAUGUUUUCCAAAAUGGAUUUUUAAAGAUCCAUUCUUUUUUUAAUUUUCUGGGGAAAUGUUGGACAGUUGCAGUGAGGAUUAUCUCCCAGAUUUUUACCAUGUUAGUGAAAGAUCCCACGCACAGCCCACAAUGGAAGAUUCCACGCACAGCCCGCAAUGAAAGAUCUCCAACAGCACACAUCCAAGGAAGGAAGCCUAUAUAGGAGAUAUGGAACCAUGAUCAGUCCACACCAACCAUGAUUCUUAAGGAAAUCAGCCACAAUUGAGGGGCCCACAAAACAUCCAGAUUUUGAUUCCCACAGGCCGCACCAUCCCGAGGGGAUCUCCUCCACGCACCACUCAAUUUUUUUGGAAGGCAUGGCUGCAUCUUAAGCAUGCAUCACGUGGAAAAUAGCAUGAAAAUAGGAAAGAAGAUGGCCACUUUGUGCACAGCACGCAUAUGAUGGGCUGUAAAGGGAGAUUCCUUUUGGUUUUUUUUUAGAAAGAAAAGUCCACUCAUCUAAUCACUUACCAAACAGGGUACAGGGCAGCAUCUUUGAAAAAGUCUCCAAUAUGAACCACACGUAAGCACUUUCCAUAUGUCUAAAUGCACUGAAAAAAAGAAACAAAAUAUUCCAUACAAUGUGCGGCUGCCAUACAAAAAAGGAACGAGCAGAGAGGAAGUGAUCGACACCGAGAGAUAUUAUUUUUUGAGGGAACGAAGAGAGGCCUGAAAGGAAGGAGGAGGCAGCCACCACACAUUCUCCAUUGAUCAUCAGCCCGCGCCACCAGUAACAGCAGGAUAACACCUUGGUUUGCGUAUUGAAGGUUCGGUUUAUGAUUAUUUUUUUUAUUUUAUUGAAAAUUGAUAAUUUCAUGUGUAUUUUAGUUUAUGACUUAUUUUUUUCAUUCUAUGAUUCCAAGUUUCGAUAUUCAUUUACUUGUGUGACGAUAUGAUAGAAUUGAGAAUUCUUGAUUGAUUAAUUUUGAUUCCAAGUUUUGAUUUUCAUUGAGAACUUUGACUAAAUAUAUUAAUUAUUAUAUUCGAUUCGAAGUUUCUUUUUUUCUUAGUUGAUUGAGUUAAAUUUAAGAAUUUGUUUAAUUGUAUGGAUUAUCAUUGUCUUGAUUCCAAGUUUUGAUUUUUCUAGGUUGUUAUGUUUUUAGAAUUAUAGUUUAUUAUUCCUAUUGAACCACUUGAUUAAAUCCAUGUUUUACUUUUUUAACUUUAGUUUUGAUUGAUCUUGUUUAGCUUAUGUGUUUUUAGAAUUUUAGUUUAUUAUUCCUAUUGAACCCGUGUGAUUAACUCCAUGUUUAAAAUUGUUAACUUUAGUCUUUGAUUGACCCUAUUUAGUUUAUGUGUUUUAGAUUUUUAGUUGAUGAGUCUAUUACUUUCUCAUGUCAUUAUAUCCACAUUUUGAGCUUGUUCGUUUUAAUCCUCGAUUGAUCCAAUUUUAUUUUGUGUGUUUUUUAGAGUUUUAGAUAUUUAAUUUAAAAGUUACUUUUCUCAUGUUGUAAGCUUGUUAAUUUUAAUUCUUGAUUGACCUAAUUUUAGUACGUGUGUUUUUUUAGAGUUUUAGUUAAUUAGUUUAAUCAAUGCUCAUGUUUUAAAAAGUUUGUUAAUUUUGGUUUUUGACUGAUCUUGUCCUAGUUUAUAGUUUUUCAAAAUUUUAGUUAAUUAGUUUUAUCCCAUGUUAUUAUACUCAUGAAUUAAAAAUAGUUAAAUUUAGCUUUUCUACUUAGCUGAUGUGUCCUUUUUUAAAUUUUUGGUUAUCAUUUUGCUUAAUCCCUUGUUACUUAGUUUUGUUUUUGUUUUGGAAGUUAUUAAUGUCUAGUUGUUGAUUGAUAUUACCCUAGUUUAUGUGCUUCUAGAAUUCUGAUGGUUAGUUUUUUUAUUAAUAUCUUGUUAAUUUGUUUGAUCUAGAACCCAUUAGUUAGUUGCUUUGAUGAAAUCCCUACAAAAAACCUAUUUUUCAAAAACCCUUUAUUGUUAGUUUGUUCGAUUAUUUGACUUAUAAUUUUUCUAAAAAUUUUCCAAGUGUUCCAUGGUAGUUUAGACUUCUUGAACUUGAAUUUAAGACUUUGUUUGAGUUAAAAAUCACUUUUAAAAUGGAAGAUAUGAAUGAGUCUUUUGGGUGGUUCUGUUUUCACCCAGUUUUGGACACUUAAAAUUUUUUUAUAAACAUAAAUUACUAGAUGACUCUUGAAAAGUAAAUUUUUGUUUGCUUAAUUUUGAUUCAUUACUUUGGUUUAAAAGGUGAGAAUUUUUUGUUUUAUUUUAAUUUUGAUUCAUUAUAUUACAUUGAAAAAUUAAAAUCUUUGUGUAGUUUGGACUUGAUUCCUUGCUUAGUUCGAAAAGUUAGAAUUUUGCUUAGAUCGGUUUUAAUAGAUUUAAUUUUAAAAGUCAGUUUUUUUUAGGAGUCAGCUUUUUAUUUAGUUCAAGUAUUUUAUAAUUUUUAGUCUAUUAUUCUAAUUGAUCCUAUGUAAUAAAGUUUAUGUUUUUAAGUUUAUUUUGAUCAUGUUUUGGUUCAUCUUAUUUAGUUUAGGUACUAAUCUUAUGUUAUUUUGCUCACGUUCUAAAAUUGAUGAUUCUAGUUUUUGAUUAGUUAAUAUGUUUUAGAAUUCUAUGUGCUUGUGUUACUAUAUUCACAUUAUUAUAAUUACAUGUUUAGGUGUUUGGUUGAUUUUAAAUUAGUUCUAGAGUGUUUAUCUCAAUUUAUGUGUUUGAUUGAUCCUUAUAAAUUCCCGAUUAAUAUUUCAUUAGUUUUAUUUGAUCUAAAGUCGUUUGGUUUGUUGCUUUGGUGAAUAUUUAUUAAAUUUGAUUUUUAGAGGCCAUUGGAAAAUCAUGAAGAUUGGCCUCUACCAUCACCAUUAUCAUUUUUGUUAAUUACUAAAAAAAAUUUUACUUUGAGGUUUCAUUUUUGUUUUGUUUGGUGUUUUAUUUUUUCCCAAAUUAAUCCCUUUUAUUUUAAAAUAAAAUACUUUUAUCAAAAAAUCAUUUUAAAAAAAAUCUAUUUCAAAAACUCAUUAGAUUCCUCAGGAUCAAAAUCUUUUUUUUUAUUUUUAAAAAAUAAUAUGCAACCAUAUUUUGUUCGGUUUGCAUCCUUCUCGGUUUCUAACAAAAGGUUUGGUUUUGAACAAAAACACGAAUCAAAGCUUAUGGUCCCAAAUAAUGGGAUAAUUCUGGGCUAAAUUUGUGUAUAUUAAUUUGGGGAAUUGGCGAAACCCCUACAUAAGAAAAUCUUUUCAAAAAUUAUUUUUGUUGCCAUUUUUGUCACUUUUUGAAAUUAUAUCUAUCUUUUUUUUUAGAAAUUGUAUACAAGAUGAGUGUGAUAAUUAUUGUUUUCAUAUAUUUUGACAAUUUCUGCUAUGAUAAUUAGAUAACGAGCAUGCUAGGACUUCUUAUUUUAUUGUUUGUUAUCUAACCUCUCAUGUUUUGUGGAAGCGCAUUAGGAGUUAAAUAUGCUAUCCAGGUACGUUCCCUAAUACCCACUUUCUAAACCCUAUGAAUAUGUAUGCCCAUGCUUGCUAUCCUCUUUAAUUGCCUUGAUAUACAUUUGAUGAUUGUUUGAUUAUCUUUGAUAAAACAAAUGUUGUGUGAUGUAUCUCCAAACUAAUCUCUUAUGUUUUAUGAUAGCGCUUGGGAAGCCGUCCAGGUACGCAUUUUUAACUCUCCUUAAUUGUGAUUUGAUUUUGUUUGAUAUGUUAUAUUUUUUUUGGAAUCACCUAGCCUACUUAGGUAUCCGAGAUCAACCAUUUAAUUGCCACGCUUCCCUUAACUUAGUCAGUAGAGACCUCUUUAGGGCUUAGAGGGGUGCUACCUCCUAGAGGUACCUUCCCAAUAAGUAACCUGAUCCCCGGACCAAGACUUGGGUUUUCAAAGACACGCUUUUCCAAAAAUUAUGGAGUCAUUUUUUUUAGGGUUUUAUUUCUUGUUUUAUUUUCCCUUCAAAAAUAAAAAUAAAAUAAGUGGCGACUCCAACUUUUUUUUAAAAAAAAUCAAUUUUUCACAAAUAAAUAAAAAGCGAGUCUCGCCGAUCGAGUGGGGACGCACGUGAAAAAUGCGGGUCCACAACAUGGUUCAGUGAUUAAUGUGAUCCCUAUGUUCAGGUGAAGUGCAUCAAUACUCAACAAUUAAUCCAUUAAUCAAAAGGAAUAAGAAGAGUUACAAUAGUAAAACUUUCAAAAAAACAUAUUUCAAUUGCAAUCUCACUCUCUAAAAAACAAAACCCUAAAACAUAAAAGGAUUACCAAAACGAGUCUUGAGCCCUAAUCCAUAAGGGAGCAUUUAUAGGGUUGUCCACUAGGCUUAACUAACUUGAGCCAAUCAAGGCUUGGGUCACUUAAUCUAGCACAAAACGAGUUCUAAUUGAUUAAUUAACCACAUAGGGCAUCUAAUUAAUCAAUUAGCUCAACCAAGGACUUUGUUCAUUAUCGCUUGUGUAGUCUUGCAUGAUAACCAAAACACCCUUAUGCAUAAGAAUGAACCUAAAGCCAAUUCAACCCUCAUAAACCAUAUCAUCAUGGUAUAAAAGUUCAAAACGGGGACCACUAGGACCCAUAGGAGUACUAGCUCCCUCAGAAUCCAAUUCUAAAGUUGAUUCAACAUUCUACUAAACAGAAUCAACUACACUCCAAUAUCUUAAAUAAAUAACAAUGUGAUAAAGGUUAGGUCAUUAACCUUAUCCACUGCAUGCAAACUCCUCAUGAACUGGUGUUUGUAAUCUAACAAGGUAGACUAUCACCUAUUAAGAUUACCUCUCAAAUACUUGAGUUACAAAUCUUACUUAUUAUGUGAUUAACAAACAUACUCCAAUUCCAAGGAGCAUAUGUCAAAUUCCACUAAAUGAAUUAUUGUAGUCAUAGAUUUUAUGAUCAUGUGUCCUUUGGAUUACCCAAGGAGACACACCAUCUCAUUACUUCUAUGAGAUAUCAUGGUGCCUCUAUCAAGAAUACUCAUUGCCAUCAACCAUCUUCAAUAGUAACCUAAUAUAUUAGGAUAUAUGACCACUUUAAGGUCUUACCCAUAGGUCAAGGCCUCCCAUUGAUGUUGGCAUAGACUCAAUAUCCUAUCAAGGUUGAGAGUUCAUGUAGUAUGGUAGCUUAGUGAAUCAUGACAAUUGAUUGCCUUACAUCAUGAUUCAUCGUGGGUCUUGUCUAGUGCGCAUCAUAUACACUAGUGGACUUACCAAGGAAAAACCAUCUUGAUGGCCAAGACAAGUCAUCCCUCCAAUUAGGAGGUGGUUUUCAAAUUUGAUUUGAUAAUCAAUUACCGAACCAGUUUUUUGAAGUUGAAUGAGCUUGUUAAACAUAUUUUCGAAUUGGUUAGUAUUAAAAUGAGAGAAAAUUCCUUGCUUGAGAUCUUCCUAAGUAACAUACAUAAGUUCUUCUAAUAUUUGGGACCAAAGUUGGGCUUCACCCUCUAAAUAAAAUGAGGCUAGAGUAACCUUAUAAAAUUCAAUGAUUUCCUGGAAUGAAAAGUACUUUUCUACCUUGCUUACCUAAGUUGUAGGAUCAUCUUGACUAUCAUAAUGGGGAAAAUCAAUCUUAAAGGUCUUAGGAACGUAGUUGUUAAGAGAACCCCAUAUGUCAAAAUUAACACCAUUUCGACCAUUGCCCUUACUUGUAGAAUGCUUUCUAUCAUCCUUACUUUUACCAAAAAUGUGUUGGAUGAAUUGCUCCAUUCUCUUAGUGAUAUGACCCAGUAUCUCCUAUUGACUAAAGGCAAGAGCUGCCAUGGUCUCUUCCAUCUUUUUCAAACGAUCUUGUAGAUCCAUUCCUGGCUCUUAUAAAAAAUUUACGUUGAGGAACUAAAGCAACAAAAAGAAAAAGAAAAAUCAUUAGCUUAUAUGAGGAACUAAUGCCCUUCCCAGGCAGCUCAAAGAUUUGAUAUAAUUGUUCAAUGCCUUUAUUUAGAAUCAUUCAAGUCUUUUACAAUGACUUGCUUCACAUUUACAUGCAUAAAAGUAGGAAACAAUAACUUAAAAUAAACAUGUUCUAACAUGAACAAACACAUCCUCACAUUUACAACUAAUUCAAAUAUUAAAUAGAGAAAAAUAAGGAAUAAAAUAACAACUAGUUCUAAGGCAGCGUAAUAGCUUCCAUGAUUUUAAUUUCAUUCUUUGUUUCCAUUCCUUCUGGUGUUGGCAUCUUAUUGUCUAAGGUUUGUGUAAGAAUUUUACAUUUCCAAAGUAGAGCACGGUGCUCAUUCUUUACAUCAUUCAUCAUUUCCAUCCUAGUUCUCUAAGAUAAGAGGAGAAUGAAACCAUUUUCGUGGAAAGGUUUUUUUUUUUUUUUUUUAAUUUUAAUUUUUAUGUCUUUGCAAUUGGACCAUCUCUACUUUGUCAUGCUUCUAGAAUUCUAUACAUUAACUAAUGACCCUUCAGUAUCAUGUUAAAAAAACGUGUAAAAAAAUAAAAAGAAAACAUAGUUAGCAAGCUUAAAGGAAGAGUAAAGAUAGAUUGCCUCAAUGGAAAGAAACUCAUGUGAUAAGAGAAUAGGCUUCUAGGUAUUUUCCCACUAGCAACCAUGUUGCCUUAAGUGUUGAGUUUGAACAUGUGAAAGGAGACCAAGAUGUGGUCUUUGAGAAAGGUUAAAGAUAAGUUGGUUUUAUUAGUUAAAUUGUAUAAUAAUUAAGUUCCCAAAAAUUUUCAUUGUAGAUACAAACACAACUUUUAAGUGAACCAUAUGUUGUUGUUUUCCAUAGUUAUAUAGAUCUUUUGUCUAUUUAAUUUUGAGACCGUUCACUAGAAUGCCUAUUGAGCUACAUGCUCAAUGAACCAUAUACACAAACCAAUCCUACAAUUACGAUAAAAAAAGAAAAAAAUAUUCAAGUUUAUAAAUGAAUGGGGAUAGAGAUAUAUAAAAUAUACAACUUGAUUACAUGGCAGCUAGUUUACCUUUUGUUGUGUAAGAAUUUCCUUAUUUAGGCAUUUUAGAUUCUAUGACCAAUAUUUUGGAAGCCAUAUAUAAAAAUUCAUGGUAAAAGAAUAAAAAUAGAGUCAAUUUCAUUCAUACAAUACAAGAAACUAAGUUAUAGUGACAUGAUUUUAGUAGGGAUAAAAAAAAAAUUGCAACUAUAUAGUUUAUAUAGUUGCAGUUCCAAAAGGAUCUGUUUCUAUAGUUUUUUUAUGCCAAAAUUUGGUGGAAAAUAAUUUCCCUCUAAUGUUUAUAGGCACAGACGAUAUAUUCCAGCAUCAUUAUAGACUAUAAUGUUGUAGCCAGACAAGUGAGGCAGCCAUAGGAGUUCCACACAUUAGAGAUGGCUGCGGGGUACUUUUAUUCUGCUACCAUAAACCGGUUUUGCAUGGGGAUUCUGCUACCAAAAAUAGAUGGCUCGCAGAAAUAAAAGACCCUAAAAAUACCAUCUCGCUCUUCACAAUCUGAAACCUUUGCCUCCACACUGACAUUCUUUGUUGCUUCACGUUUGAAAUCCCCUCAAAAUCUUCUACUUCCUCUACUUCAACAAAACCAUUAUUGGAUCCUCUUCAUCCACUUCACUGGAAUAAAACACCAUCAAAUCUAGCUUUGAAACCGGUAAUCAAGGUACCUUCUCUUCACAUCAUCUCUGGUCGAUCUCUUUUUUCACUUUUUUCAAAGAGAAUGAUAUAAAACCCUAGCCUAGUCUUCAUCUUAAGCUGGAUUCUCUGAACUUUUGCUUUAGAAGUUGGUUCACUGUGUUAUUUUUUCAUUUAUCCAGAGGUUUUGAAAUUGAAAGUAGUUUGCUACUUGUUUGAAUAUGAUAUUUAAUUUGAAAUUAUUGAUUAUGAAUUGAAAUGGAAGGUUUGGGUUUGUUUAGGUUGCAGGUGUUGAAAUGAUGCAUAGGAAAAAAAUUGCAUAAACUAAUUUCAGUUUACCAAUCAUCUGUUUAAAUGAAAUGGAUGUGGUAUUUGCAUCUUUUUUUUUUUUUAAUCAUUAAUGUGUUCUCAUCGAAGUGUAGUUAAUUGCUAGAUCAGAAAUUCCUGUUUACUUCUAAGGAUGACAACUCAUGACUAAAGGCCAUAGAUUUUGGCUUGUUUGAUUUUGUGAAACAAGGCAUGUUCUUAGCCCUUCAAUCCAUAGAUAUAUGUAUAUUAAACCAGGAAUGUUCUUAGCCCUUCAAUCCAUAGAUAUAUAAGAUUCAUAAGAAAGUUUCUAAUAGAUUCUGUUUUCUCAUGCAUUAAAGGUAUUUCAAGCACCAUUCUUUGGAUCAACUUUGAACUUUUUCCAUCAAACUAAACACAUUUCCUUUUUGUUAUGAAAGACUGCUCAAAAUUGAUGGAGAUAAUUAUCCUGAGGUACAGAGUUUUAAUGUAACACCCUUAGAUUAGUUUAUGAUGAUUGCACAUUUGUUUGACCCCUAAACUGAAUUAUUCAGAUUUCUGAUUAAAUCCAAAUUGUGUACUUGAAUGUCAUACUCCCUUAUCAUAUUUAAACAUCAAUUCUGCAGACACUUUGCAGAAUGUUUAUCAUUAAUGUUGGACCUGGUUUUGAGCUGCCCUGGAACAUGUACAGUGACGAUUUAUGUUUAUCUAAGAACAACUUCCAAGAUUCAUGUGAGUUAAAAGAAGUUAUUUUAAUCUAAUAAAACUAUGACCUCUCUUUGCUACGAACAAAAGUUUUGAGUGAUUGCUUUUUGAAAAUUUUCUUAUGUUCUUGUUUCAAUGGUAUUGUAAUCGGAUUCAUUAGUUGUUAGCAGAUUGAACUCAUAACAUUAGCCAUUGGAUCUCUACUAUCCCAUAAGAAAGAAAAAUAAAGAAUAAAAUUAGCCACCAGACCAUCCAUUGUUUCUGUUGGAGGAAUAUCUAACAUAUUUUUGCACAAACUUGCUGAAAAUAUUCAAGAUGCAUAUGCAGAGGCAACAAAUAUUGCUUAGUAGGUUAAGUGUACCUGCUAAUAUUCCUUAAAUUCAACAAAAAUUUCUGAAAUUCUUUUCAUGAGUGGGUUUUACUUGACCAUACUAACUAGAAAAAUUGUAGCUCUUGUUGGUAGAAAUGGUUGAGGAAAAAGUAGUAUAAUUCCACUCAUGGAAUGGUUUGAUGAUCCUAUAUUAUGUAUUAGAUACACACUAGUUUCCUAUCUUUUGCUUACCUAUUUUCUUUUGCUUUAUAUGACUGUCAUUGGAAUCCUUUUAAAAAAACUUCUCAAAUUUUAAUGUUCCAAUAUCUUCUAGUAUAGGAGAGGUACUUUUGGAUGGAAAAAAUAUUAAAAACCUGAACCUGCCUUACUAUGUUUGAGCAUAAGAGAUGACAUUGCUUAUGGGUGGUCCAAUGCUACUUCUGUUCUUAUUGAAGAAACUGCUAAAAUAGGCAUGCACAUUCAUUUAUCAGCUCUCUUGAGAAAGGAUAUGAAAUAUAGGUAGAAAGUAAACUACACUGGACAUCUUAAGCACACAUUAUGGUCUUAACAAUCAUUUUUUGAUAUUCAUCUAGUUCAAUGCAAUGUAGGUGGGUUAAGUUGGUAUAACAUUGACAAAAGAGCAAAAAAUAAAUCUAUCUGUGUUAGGGUAGUGGUUUCAAAUCCAUCCAUGCUUCUACUUGAUGAAAUCGUUGGUGUCCUUGACUUUGAAGCAGAUAGUGUUGUUUAGGAGGCCAUAGAUAUCCUCAAGUAGGGACGAUCAACAUUAAUCAUUGCUCGACUAAUAAGUCUGGUAAGGAAUGUUGAUUACAUUACAGUGAUGGAGAAGGGCCACUUUGUUGAAAUGGGUACACAUGAUGAAUCGUUAAUAUGCAUAGCUUCUCUAGUGUGCAGAAGCUAUGAAACCUCCUAAAAGAUAUAUUCUUAUCAUAAACUUGUGCUUCUGUAGGACCUAGUGCAGUAUCUUGUACGCUUAUGUAAUGUGUUGAAUUUAGCAGUUUGCAACAAUUAAUCUCGUGUAACAAUUUUUUAUAAAUUGCAAAAAUACAUAUAUGUCAAUUUAUUUAUGUUUUUAAUUAUAAAUGGUGGUUAUUUUUACUUAUUUUUAAUUGGAGUGUUUUCUAUGUCACACGUUGAUCUUGCAAAUAAACAGGUUCUCUUAAAAAGCUCCUAAGAGUGGAAAUUCACACAAUGCAAAAAACCCAUUAGAUAUCAAAGUUAUAUCCUUCAUGACAUUCUUCAUGGUAUGUUAUAUUCAAGUUCUUCAACAAUGCAAAGUUUAUACCAAAUUAGAUAUCAAUUAUUUCUCAGUUUCCAUGAAUGCAGUUUCAUGCUUAGACUUACUUGAAGAGCUCUCUUUACACUAUGAGUAGACGGUUAUAACUAUUGCUUUCUUCUGAUUAGGAUGCAGCUUGAUGUUACAGUCAGGUGAAACCGUAAUUAUUGUUUUAGUUUUGUACUUUACGUAACUUAAUCCAGCAAAAAUCUAUUUGCACAAUAUCAGGAUAUUGUUUGUGUAAUUUUUGUCAAGUAAUAAAGUCCAUGUAUAACUGGACUUCACAUCGUGUGCUUUAAUUGAUCAAAUGUUAUUUCUUCUGUUGAUCAACAACAUAGUCUAGGAGAUUAUCACUAGGCAGAAACAUAGGUAACCACUCUUUUAUAGAACUGUGGAGAUAAUUUUUUUUUGUUCACUUUAAUGCAAACGAUAUGUUUGUGUAUGAUUUAAGUGGUUUGUUUUCUAAAUGCAGAGAGGAAGGGUGUUAAAGUAUGACAACCUGUACAUUACGGAAGAAAUCAUGCAAUUACUACAAACCAUGUGGGGGGGGGGGUAUAACUGAAGUCCAUAGUCAAUGACCACUACCCUAAUGAAUCCUUGUACAGUUGUAUAAGCUCGUGCAGUUGUAUUCCUUAAACAGCUUAUAGUCAUUGACUCUCUUCCUUGAUUUCACUCAUAGUUGUUUUAUCUCUUGUAUAUAUAUGAACAGUUUCAUAUAUUAAUAGAGCAUUACAAUCAUUCACACAAAGUCUUGUAUAUAUAUGGACCGUUGUUCCUAUUGAAAUUUCAAUAAAUUAAACCUACCCUUAUGUAGAUAAUGGAUGACGUUCUAGAUAUAUUAGAAGUAGAGUAAUACUUCUAUCUUUGAUAUUUGAUAGAAAAAUGCUUUCUUUGGAAUUCUUAUACAUUUAGUCAAAAUAUUUCCAUUUUGAUUUAUGGUUGUGAUUUAUCAGGAUUUUGUAUACAUAUAUAUAUAUAUAUAUAUUGAUAUCUAUCUUUAGCUGAGAUUUUGAGUCUCGCAUGUCUACCAUUUCACCACCAAGGCAUCUUGAGAGUGAAUGGUGUUCCAUGAAUAUGAUAUCCAUCUAGUGUGAUGUAUGGAAUAUAUGACAAAGGUGGAGUGUUAGAGUAUUUCUAUUAAUCGGUCAUGUCAUAUAGGCCCAAAUUGGACAUCCAAUUGCUUCGAUUUGAAUUAUUAGGAGGAUGCCUUAUAUACAUUAUAUAAAAAAGAUGGACAAUCAAACCUAUUUCUCAAUUCAAUAGAAGCCCAAAAGGGUGAAUAGGGUCCUAAAUAACGAGAGAUAUGUAAAAAACAGGUCCGAUUAUGCCUAUUCCUAAUCCUAAAUGAAAUGUAACGAUGUAAGGAUUCAUAUGUAAACGUAGUAUCUAUUUAGAUAAGCUCGAAUGACCCCUUCUCAUAAUGAGAAUUUAUAUAACCCUAUUCUGGUCUGAUUUGUUAUGGAAUGAACUUAUAAUCAUGGAACUAACUCAAUCAUCAGAUUAUAGAUUAUAAGUUCAUAACCCUAACCCAUUCCCAUUUUGGGAGAAAUAGAUCUAGUAAUUAUUUGAUUCUAGUUAGUAAGAGGGAUCUUAAACUAAGAAAUAGAUCAUAGAAACUAAAAAAAAGGUAUCUUGAGCAAUUGCAAUUAUCGGGUUCAUUGAUAUUCUUGGUAUAGUAGAUGUUUUCACACAUACAAUCAUACUCAAUUCGAUGGAAUUGUUUGAUCUUAAAAGAGAUCUUAUAUAAUUUCGCACAUGAGGGGUUAUUUCUUGGUUUCAUCCAGUCAUUAAUAACUUGAUUAUUUUUAGAUAAAAGUAGAUAGAAACAACAGAGUAAGGAGUCCUAUUGAAACCAAGAAAUAUAGGUCUUCCUGCCAUCCACACCAAAAUAAAUGGAGUUUUUAAAAAACAACCUGCUAGUGGAGGAAGACCUCCUAGGGAUAAGAGACAUAGGGCUAAAAAGAAAGCCGAAAAAGGAUAUUUCAUGUAUAAUCCUACAUAAUCUCGAAUGUUAUCAGUUCUGGUACAUAGACCAAAUGAUACAAUGCAAGCAAAAGUUCCUAGAUUCAUGUAGAUAUAGAACAACAUAUAAGUUAUCAUGCUUGCAUAUCCACCAUUUGAGUCUCCAACAAUUAUUUCAAUAAUUACAUAUUCGAUUUGACCUAUGGACAAAUAUGCAAGCAUACGUUUCAUGCUUAUUUGAGUAAUAGCAAUGAGAUUCCCCUAUAUCAUGCUAAGAAUAGCUAGGAUUUCCAAAAGAUGUCAUUCAUUUGAUGGGAAAUAAAAAGGAAUAUCGAAAAUUCAAGUGUCUAAAGCAACUGCUUUCGAAGUAAUAGAAAGAAAAGCAAUGACUAGAGUGGGAGAGUCAGAGUCAAAAAGAGGAUUCCUCACUUCUUUCUCUCAUUCAAAACCGUGCAUAAGACUUUUAUCUUGCACAACUCCUAAGUGAUAAAAGAAAGAAGAACUCAUCUUUCUUUUUUUAUUACCUUCCUCGCGUAUGUAUAAGACUGAAUCCCUUUGAUUUCUAAAAAGGAUUACUAAUCCUUAACUUUUAGAGGAAUCCUUCAUCAAUGGUUGUGAAUGACUGAUUUUUUCAAACUUUUCGACCUUGGUUAUGUAGCAGCAAGUAGCAAGAUUGAGAAAUAAAACCAUUUAAUUUGAUUCGUUCUCAAUAACCAUGAGAUGAUCAUCUUAGGGUGAUCCUUACGUUGGCAAGUGCUCCUAUCACACUCGUAGUCUCUAAAGGAUGAGAACCAACUAUGUAGCACCUACAUCAAGAAUUCAAGUAUUGUAUAUGCCAUUAGUAUGAUCCUUUGUAGGAACUACCCAUAAUAACAAACUUACAAAAUGGAUAUGUUUAUCAUAAAGAGAUUUGUUGUUCCUGACCCUGCUUCACCUUGAUUUUUAUUUGAAUAAAAGUUAUGUAUUGGUCCGAGUGGGGAUAACAUUUCUCUUCUACAUGUCCAUGAAGUUUUGAAAAAUCUAAACAUCUCAAAGAUAGAUAGAGAGGUAGGAAUUUAUCGAACGAACCACACUCCUUUGUAUAAGUCAAGAGUCCAUUGAUGAGAAGGGGAUGGGUAAAGCUUAAACCCUAUUCCUACAAUGAUGAAUAUAAGUGCAAUUGAAAUUCCUGGGGAGUUAUACAUUUGUGUAUUGAUAAGACCAUUCACUAUUUCUUGAUGCUCGAUCUCUCCCCCGAAUGAACCAUAUAGCCAAGAGAAACCAUGAAUCAGAAUAGAAGAACUUGCCCCACCUAUGAGUAAAUAUUUCGUAGUAGCCUCACUAGAUCGUACAUCUCUCUUGGUAUAUCCAAAUAAUAGGUAAGAACAUAAACUGAAACAUUCUAGAGCUACAAAAAUAGUUAUUAAAUUGUUAGCAUAGCAUAAAAACAUUCCUCUUAAACUAGUUGUUAAUACGAAUAAGAGAAACUCUAUAAUAGCCAUUUUUGUACAUUCAUUGUACUCUACGGAUAGAGGAAUACAUAGAGUUGAGCAUAGUAAAAUAAGAAAUUGUUCGUUUGGAAAUUUCUCGAAAAGCUAAUCAUAGGUUCUUCUCUCCAUCGGACCAAUAGGGUCAUUAUGCUCAUUACUAAACUUGUUGAAGAGAUGAAAUAUAACCAAGCUAUAUCUUUUUUAUCAGAGGUUGAAUCAAUCAUCAGAAGAAGAAUUAGGCCAAAAAUUAUGAUACAUUUUGGGAAAAUAAAACUUCCAUCGAAGAGAAGAAAAUGAAAGGCUUUCAAAAAAAUUCUCAUAGAAUCAAGAAUGAUGUUUUCAUGCUAUAUAUGCCAGAUCAUAAAUUAGUAAUUGCAUUCAAUCUCCAAAAAAAUCCCAAUUGUUUCUAUUUUUGGAAUGGAAUAUUUAAGGAAUCACCAUGAAUAGGAUCAAACCUUAUUCAAUGUUAUUUACAUGAGAUUCCUCUUUCUUAUUCUUAAGCAAGUCCCUGAGAGGACUUGGUGGAUCCAUGAUUUAUGUUGCAUCUCUUGUUUCCUUUUCGUUUGUUUCGAGAAAUAUAUCGAUCAAUUCCAAUUCUUUUGUUUUCUAUUGAUUCUUUUCUGAUCGAGAUGUAUUGACUGGAUCCUUGGAUCUAUGUGUCUAUAUAGAUUCUGUUCAUGGAUUAAUGAAAAUGUGCAAAAGCUUUAUUUGCCUCUGCCAUUCUAUGAGUCUCUUCCUUUUGGCAUAUGGCAUCGCCACUCCCUUUGGCAACAUCCACUAAUUUAGAACUUAAUUUGAAAGUCAUAUUUUGACCCGAACGUUUUUGGGAUGCUCCUAAUAAUCAAUGAAUGGAAAGUGCUUUUCCUUGUGUGGAUCCUAUUUCAAUGGGAACUUGAUGAGUCAAUCCACCUACACGUCUUGCUUUUAGUCCUAUAUCAAGAGUUACUCCACGUAUUGCUUGAUGUAAAACAUAUAGUGGAUUUGUUUGUCUUUUGUUGAAUUUUUUUCACGGAUCGAUAGAUAAUUUGAUAAGCCAAUGAUUUAUUUUCAUGUUUCGGAAUACAAUUAACCAACACGUUAACUAAUCGAUUAGGAUAAAUUGAAUUGGAUUUCACUUUUUUUUUCUGUAGCACCUCGACAUGACAUGAGCGUGAAAGGGGUUUAAGAAUUAGUUUUCUUUUUAUAAGGUCUAAAAUCAUUUAUUUUGGCUUUUUGACCCCAUAUUGUAGGGUGGAUCUUGAAAGAUAUGAAAGAUCUCCCUCCAAGCCGUACAUACGACUUUCAUCGAAUAUAGCAUUCCAUAGAAUUCUAUAUGUAUCCAUGAGAUCAAGUAUGGAAUUUUGUUUACUCAUUUUACAUUGAGUAUUUGUUUCCCUCCUUUUCCUGCUAGGAUUGGAAAUCCUGUGUUUUACAUAUCCAUACAAUUGAGUCAUUGGGUUUUUGAAAUAGUGUAAAAAGAAGUGCUUCGAAUCAUUGCUAUUUGACUCAAACCUAUUCUAAAAAAGUCGAGGCAUUUCAAAUUGUUUAUUGACAUGGAUAAAAUCAGGGAAAACCUCUGAAAUUAUUUCAAUAUUGGACCUUAGACAUAUAAUAGUUUCUAAUCGAAUCCCUUUAAAAAGAUCUUUUGUCUCAUGGUAGCCUACUUCAGUCCCCUUACGAAACAUUUGUUAUUGGGUUAGUCAUACACUUCACAUGUUUGUUUCUAGCGAUUCACAUGGUAUCAUCAAAUGAUCAAGUCUUGGAUAAGAAUCUACAAUGCACUAGAACACCCUUGUUGACAAUCCUUUACAGCGUUUAGAGUUCCUCGAACAAUGUGAUAUCUCACACCAGGUAUUUUAAUGCCAGAGAUCUAUCUUAUGUCACUGUCAUUUCAAUAGGGUAUUUUCGAAAACUAUGAACAGCAGCCGUAUGCAGUGGCAUAUAUUGGAACCUCCAUGUUGGUAGUAUACAUCCAAAUAGUAUUCAUAAAGGAGUGGCUUCUGAAUACUAUGAAAUCUGGCUCUUCUAAAAAUGAAAAUGAUGAAGGAAUGGUAUAUGAGCUUGAUCUGCCAGUGGAACACAAGGGUGAGCCUGACACUUUUGAACUAGAAAAUCAAACAUCCAUAGUAAAAAAUAUACACAGAGGAGUUAGCAUGAGGGGAUUUGUUAAAUUGGGCUCUUAGCUCGCUCCUAUCUGGCUCAUGACAGAGGUCAGCCAUUAUAUCAUUGUUGGCACUGAAUGUUAUUUUGCAUGUAACUGAAAUCUCAAGCAUAUAUAUCUAUAUAUGUAUGACACAUUUUCUUUUAUCCUUGCAUACAUAUUUGUUUCUCUUCAGUCUCCAUUUCUAGUUGUGGUCAAUUUACAUUAUUUUUACAAUAAUGGAUGCAUGUAGUACUUUACCCAUGCUGCACUUGCAAGAACAAGCAUUGCAACCACAACAUUACUGUCUUCAUCAGCUUCAGUACUUUUCACUCUUCUGCUUGGUGUCCCUUUGGGCCAAGAAUCCAUAAAUGCAGUCACAAUAGUUUAUGUCGUCAUCAGUUUGGCUGGUGUUGCAUUGACCACCCUUGGGCAGACUUGGGCUUCAUAUGAUACCCAGUAAGCAGAUCAUUUAUAUACACACCCAGAAUUAUUUAUUAACCCAAGAGCUUUAUCUAGUUAUAUAAUUGAUAGUUGUUUUUCGAGCAGCUGAUAGCUAAAAUUUGAUGUUUUAGAAAUGGGAAGCAUUCUCUUGUUGGAGAUCUUUUCAGUGCUCUCAGCUUUGACUUAUAUAUGAACUAUGUACCAGUGAAAAUAUUCUCUAACUGUUAUUAAUGAAUAUUUAGUUCAGCUAUGAUGGAUCUUGCUCAUAGCUCAUAUGCAAUAACAACAACAAUAAUAAUAAUACAGUGUUGUUUUAAAAAAUUGUUGGAGAAAGUGGGAGAUAAGAUAGAAGUGUAGAAGAAUACAUAGGAUUAUUCACACUCGUUGGCCUUUGGUGGCUAGGUUCUAGCCGAAGUAAUUAACAAAGGAGGUCUGUAUGCACUAGGUGAUGAUGGUAUCCAAGCCAUGGAAGCCACUCCAUCACGCUUCUGAGGUUUGGCAUCAAUGCAUUGGACGUCCACAAACAAAGUCCUUGAAUUUUUUACAAGAUAAGAAUUUUAUUAAUUUGUGCUAGUUGUUAAUUAGGCAAUAGCUAUUAACUUUUUUUUAGUUUAACAAGAAAGACUUCAAUGAAUCAUCUUGAUAAAAUACAUUAUGAUUUAUGGGGACCUAGACCAAAUAAUUCCACUCAAGGAUACAAGUAUUAUGUUUUGUUUAUUGAUGAUUAUACUUGUUAUACAUGGAUUUAUCCUUUGAAGAAAAAUCAGACUUCUUUGAAUGUUUCUUGAAAUUUCAAAGACUUGUUGAAAAUCAACUCGAGAGGAGCAUUAAAAUUUUUCACAACAAUGGAAGGGGUGAGUUCCAACUUGUUGAGUUUCAAAAUCACUCGAGUCAAUGUGGAAUUUUACAAUAAUUUUCCUAACCAGGAACUCCAAAAUAGAAUAGUAUUGUAGAGAGAAAGCAUAGACAUGUUGUAGAGAUGGGCCUAAUAAGGAUAUAUCAUGCAAACCUACCCGUUAGUCUAUGGGUGGAUGCAUUUUUUAUAGCCACCUAUCUUAUAAAUGGAUUGCCUUCUACAGUUGAAAAUAUGAGAAGUCCUUUUUAUAUGUUAUUCAAACAACAUCCAGAAUACAACGACUUGAGAGAUUUUGGAUCAGUGUUUUCCAUACCUUAGAGAAUAUGAGGAAAACAAAUUCCCACCAAAAACAUAUCCAUGUGUUUUCAUUGAAUAUAACUCUCUACACAAGGGAAAUUGAUACCUGCACCUCUCAACAAAGAGUAUAUAUAUCACGUCAUGUUAUUUUUCAUGAGAAAUUUUUUUUUUAUUCUAAUUCCUCUGAAAACAAAAAAAUCCAUGCAUAUUCUGUUAGAGAUUUUUCAUUCCCAACUUAUGAUGCUCCACUUAAAAUAUUAAAGCUUGUGCAACCUACCAAUACUUCUGAGUCGACAACAACCUUUAAUAAUGGUUGCAAUUCCACAACUUGUCUUGGUAAUGCUCUUGCUAGCCUCUAGAAUGUCACUCCAUGUGGUGACCGAGAAGCUAAUCAUUAUUACUAGACUAUUGCAAGUGCUGAUGUAUGUGCUGAUUCCCCUCGACAUCAUACCCAAUUUGAUGCCUAUGCAAAUUGCUCUCCAUCUUCUGAUUGUGUUGUUUCCCUUCAACAUAAUUCUCAGCUUGAUACUCAUGUAGCCUGCUCUACACAUCCUACCUGUCCUCAAGCUAAUCAUCUUAUAGAGACCUUAAGUGAUUUGUCAUAUUCAAGUAAAUCUUGCAACAACAAUGAGGAUUGUAGUGAUAAAUUUUUUAAUGUGUUUCCUUAUAUCAACAAGAAUCAAGGAGUUGAUCUCUUUCUUCGUGCAAAAUAGAAAAGGACUGACCAAGGAUUUACAAUGAUCACUAGAAACAGACUUAAAAAUGAACCAAGUCUAAAAUCUCAAAUGAUCAUCCUUACUACUACAAGAGGUCACAUUUGCGAGCUAAAAACCUAUCGUGGUGCACUUAAAAUUCCUGACUAAUAUGCUGCAAUGCAGAAGAAUUCACAACAUUAGAUUAGUACCACACCUAGGAUCUUGUUCCUAGGACUUCGGUACAAUUAUAGUGAUGUCCAAAUGGGUUUUUGAGACAAAACUUAAGGAGGAUGGCAUAGUGGACAGAUUAAAGGCUUGGCUUUUGCUCGCGGCUUUACUCAAAUACCAGGUUUGGAUUUCUGUGAAACUUUCAAUCUAGUAAUUAAACAUUCAAGGAUUCAUUUGAACCUCUCACUUUGCAGUCUCUUUAAAAUGGAUUAUCAGGCAGCUAGAUGUCAAUAAUGCCUUUUUACAUGGGUUUCUCAAGGAGUAUGUGGUCAUGGAGUAGCCCAUAGCUUUGAAAAUGAAGACUUUCCCAAUCAUGUAUGUUGUCUUAAUGAUUCUCUCUAUGGUUUGAAACAAACUCUGAGAGCCUAGUUCAAUAAACUCUCUUAGUUCCUUCUCCAUAUGGGUUUUCAUUGUGGUAAAGUAGUCCCAUCCUUAUUCAUCUGAACAUACAGGUCACUCCAUUAUUCUAAUAUUGAUUUACGUGGACGAUGUUAUAGUCAUUGGAAAUGAUACAACCACCAUCAAUAAUCUCAUGCAUACAUUAAGCAAAGAGUUUUCUUUGGAGAACUUGGUGUAAGUUCAUUACUUUCUCAGCUUGGAAGUUCGAAACUUUUAUGGUGGUAUCUUUGUUUCCCAAGCAAAGUUUCUUAGAGACUUACUCAGUGGGAUGAGAAUGCUUGAGUACUUUCACUUAAGCAUGCUCACGGCUAUCAAACCUACGAGUAACCCAGUUGAUGAUCAUCCAGUUGAUCAAACCCUUUAUAGGCAACUUACUGGUUCCUUGCAAUAUACCACGUUUACAAGACAAGGUACUGUCCAUGCAAAAAACAAAGCCUAUCAACAAUUUCAAUCUCCCAUAGAGGCUGACAUGCAAGUUGUGAAAGUAUCUUGAGCUAUCUAAAGGGAACCAUGGAUUAUGGAUUUCACUUUCUUAAAAAACAGUUCCCUUUAUCUAACAGGCUACCAAUGCUGAUUGGGCCAAAUGCACCAUUUACAUGUCCCAUGAAUGAAAACUCCGUGAUCCAGUUUUUCAAACAAUGCCACUUCCACUCUGCCAUUUACAUCUAACAAUUGUCACCAACUAUAAAUAUUUAGCAACCACUGGUGACAUCAAUAUUGGUAAUCUGGUUCUUUGUUAGGCUAGGACUCAAUGAUUUUUAACACAUAAAUUUUCUCAAAUAAGAAAAUUGUUGAUGAAAAUGUAAGUUGAUUUAUUAUACUUAACAAUCAUUAAUAUGCCCCUUGAUUCUUCUAAUAAAAACAAAAACACCAUUUUAAACAAUUUAAUGUUUAAUUUUCAAUCAAAAGGAUGGGAUUUCAUAAAUAGACACUAGAUAAUAAAUUCUUUCAAUGAAAAAACUUUGAAUCAUCAAAUAUUUCUCCUAGAAAUCUUUGAUAUUCUUUAACUCUUUAAGAGAUCUUCAAAUAUUCAUCUUUUCAAGAAAUCUUGAAUCUUGAAGGAAUUUCUUCAACAACUAUAAAAAUUUUUGUCGGUCUUCAAUGUGUGCUUUCAAAUGAGAGGAACCCUCUACUUAUUGGGUUAGAAAUUUUAUUUUGAUGUUAUAUCUUGCUUUCCUAGACAUAAUCAUCCUUUUUAUUGUGAUAAUUGUUAUUUAUUUUAAUUAUUAUAAUUAAUUAAUUAAGAUAAUUAUAAUAUUCUUUUGCAUCAUCACAAUUAACUGAUUUCUUAUUAUUUUUUACACAUUAUUAGUUAAUUAUUGACACGUGACUAUUAAUGAGUGGACAAAAAUUUUCUUUGCACAUAUUUCUUUAAACAUUGAUCAUUGUUAGUUGGUGGUGACAAUCUACUCAAACUAGUAGGGAGUUCUUUAUACACCUAAUGAUUUCUUGAAAUAUCACAAAUUUCUUUUAAUGUUUAGGUUUAUUUUUCAAUAAUGGUCAAUGCUAAGGCUAAGGUUGGGUUAGUUAGGUUAAGAAUAAGUUUAUGUUUCAUAUGUUUAUUUUUGUUGUGAUUUUAGAUAGAGAGGUCCUUAUGUUCUUUUUCUGUGAGUUUGAUGUAAAUUUCUAUGUUUGUUCCAUUUCAUCAUAGUUUUAAAUAUCAUCUACCUUGUUAUAUUCUAUAUAUAUAUUUGGCUUCUCUUUCAUAUGGGCUCCAUCUUCUUUACUAUUGUUUCCAUGAUUUCAAUUUCAUUCUUUGUUUCCAUUUCACUUGUGGUGGCAUCUUAUUGUCUAAGGUUUGUGUAAGAAUUUUUAAAUUUCAUCCUUUGCAUCAUGUUCAUCCUACUUCUCUACAAUAAGAGCAGAAUGAUUGGUUAUUUUCAUGGAAAGGUUUUAUUUUAAGUCUUUGCACUUAUACCAUCUCUCAUUAUUCAUGCUUAUAGAAUUUAAUACAUUACUAGUACUUCAUUUUCAUUUAAAAAAAUAUGUAUAGGAAAAAAAAAGGAAAUAAGAAAAAUACUUAGUAAGAUAGAAGGAACAAUCAAGGUAGACGGUGUUAGCAGAAUGAAAUUCAUGUGAGUAAAAAAUGGAGUUGUCAAUAUUAUGCCCCCUUGGAAGGUGGUGCAAUUCUCAACCAACAAGUGUUAAGGUUGAAUAUGUGAAAGUAGAGCAAGAUGUGGUGUUUAUAAAAGGUUGAAGGUAUGUGGGUUUUGUAUUAAGAUAGAUACUAUAAUAUCUAAAAUCAUUCACAAUCAUUGAGAUAUAUUUAAUUUAUAUUAAUUCAGUCUUCCUACUUUGGUAAAUUAUAUGGUAAAAACCUAUAAAAACAAAUACAUUUAGACUGUUGGGAACAUAAAUCAUUCUUUUGAGUUAAAUUGCAUAAUAAUUAAGUUGCCAAAAUUUUCCAUUGUAGAUACAAACACAAUUGUGGACCCGCAUUUUUCACGUGUGUCCCCACUUAAUGGGCGAGACUCACUUUUAUUGGUGAAAAAUUUAUGUUAAACAUGCUCUAAAAAUAAUUUUUAUUCUCUAAAAAAUAAAUUUAAUAGAUUGAAUAUAUCCAUAAGGGUGUUAACUGAAGAAAUUUGAAACGAAUGAUGGCUUACUGUAUUUACCCUAAAUCUCAAUGGGUGAGAGUGAAAUUAACUCAUAAAAUUAUUGUUCCCAUAAAUAUUUUUAUAUGUUUAACCACAACUCAUUUUCAAUUAGCAUAGAAGGUUUUGGCAUGUUAUACUUGCUAAUCUCAAGGGUGGUUAUGACUUAUCUACAAAGUUUUUCACUUUUGAGUCACCAUGCUAUUAAGGCUGCCAUAUAUUUCAUACAAUCGGUUCAUUUUGGCUUUACAAGGGCAUGAACAAUUGUUGAUUAGUGCAAGUGAAGAAAACAAAGAAUUCGUUAAUCAUGAACAAGCAUUUUCUUCCUAGUGUGGAUGAGGAAGAAAAUGUGGUGCAAAAUUCCAUUUGUAGGUUCACUCCAAUUAAUCACUUCAAUAACCAUGGACCUUGGGAUCAGAAACAAGUUUUUGGUAUUAGAAGCAAGCCAUCUAAGAACAGUCCUAAUGAACAACCAGUCCCACAAUAGAAGUAACAACCUAAAAAAUCAAGUGGUACUCUCAUUUACCAAAUAUGUAAUAAGGCUAAUCACUUUGCUUUGGAUUAUUGGAACAAAAUUUGAUUACUCAUAUCAAUAAGAUAAAAUUCCCCAAACUUUGGCGACUAUGACAUUGAAUAAAGAAAGGGGUGAUCUCAACUUCUAUGUUGAUUCUGGAGUCACAACCCACAUAACAAUCAAUCCUACUAAGAUGUCCCAAGUUGUUCCAUAUAAAGGAAAUGGUGUAAUUUUUGUUAGAAAUGAAGAACCCCUAAGGAUUUCAAUUUUUUUUUUUUUUUGAUAACCGUGGAUGUCCGGGCCAACUUACGCACACCUUGUCUAAUCCCAUGGGGCCCUGAAGUUAACGUCCAGGUAAACCUCUAAUGGCCCUAAGGAUUUCAAAUAUUACAGAGGCUAAAUUAAGAACAAGACAUGGAAACUUGAAUCUUAAUGGUCUUAGUUGUUUUAGAAAUUAACAAAAUGUUUCUAUCCAUUGGAUAACUUAUGAUAAUUCAUGUUCCAUAGAAUUCUCAUCUAGUGGUUUUGUUAUAAAGGACUAACAUCAACAAGUUCUAGCCAAAGGAAUUAACAAAUGAGGUCUGUAUGUACUAGGAAAAUAUGUUAUCCAAGCCAUGGCAGCCACUCACUCCAACAAGGCAUCAUGAGAGGUUUGGCAUCAAUGCAUUGGACAUCCACAAACAAAGCCCUUGAAAUUUUUACAAGAUAAGAAUUUAAUUCAUAUGUCUAGUUGGACUAAAUCUCCUUCGGCUUGUGCUAGUUGUCAAUUAGGCAAGAGGUAUAAACUUUCUUUUGGUUCAACAAGAAAGACUUCUAUGAAUCCUCUUGGUAAAAUACAUUAUGGUUUAUAGGGGCUUGGACCAAAUAAUUCCACUCAAGGACAUAAGUAUUAUUUUGUGUUUAUUGAAGAUUAUGCUUGUUAUACAUGGAUUUAUCCUUUGAAAAAAAAAUAGACUUCUUUGAAUGUUUCUUGAAAUUUCAAAGACUUGUUGAAACUCAACUUGAGAGAAACAUUAAAACUUUUCAAAGUGAUGGAGGGGGUGAGUUCCAACUUGUUGAGUUUUAGUAUCGAUUGAGUGAAUGUGGAAUUUCAAAACAAUUUUCCUAUCUAGGAGCUCCAAAAUAGAAUGGUAUUGCAUAGAGAAAGCAUAGACAUGUUGUAGAGAUGGGCCUAACAAUGAUAUUUCAUGCAAACCUACCCCUCAGACUAUGGGUGGAUGCAUUUUUUACAACCACCUAUCUUAUAAAUCGAUUGUCUUCUACAAUUUAAAAUAUGAGAAGUCCAUUUUAUAUGUUAUUCAAACAACAUCUAGAAUACAACAACUUGAGAAUUUUUGGAUACUAGUGUUUUCCAUACCUUAGAGACUAUAGGAAAAACAAAUUCUCACCAAAGGCAUAUCCAUGUGCUUUCAUUGGAUAUAACUCCCCACACAAGGGAAAUCAAUGCCUACACCUCUUGAUAAAGAGAGUAUACAUAACACGUCUUGUUGUUUUUUAUGAGAAAUUUUUUUUUUGCAUGAUUAUUCCUUUGAAAACAAAAACUCCAUGCAGAUUCUAUUAGAGAUGGAUUCAUUCCCAACUUAUGAUGCUCCACUUAAAAUUUUAAAGGUUGUGCAACCUACCAAUACUUCGGAGUCAACAACAACCCUUAAUAAUGGUUGCAAUUCCAUAACCUAUCUUGGUAAUACUUUUGCUAGCCUCUAGAAUGUCACUCCAUGUGGUGACCCAGAAGUUGAUCACUAUUCCUAGACUAUUGCAAGUGCUGAUGUGUGGGUUAAUUCUCCUCAACAUCAUACCUAGUUUGAUGCUUAUGCAAAUUGUUCUCCAUCUUUUCUUUGUGUUAUUUCCCCUUAACAUAAUUCUCAGCUUGAUACUCAUGCAACUUGCUCUACACCUCCUACUAGUCCUCAAGUUGAUCAUAUUAUAGAGACCUUAAGCGAUUUGUCAUCUUCAAGCAUAUCUUGUAGCUACAAUGAGGAUUGUAAUGACAAACUUUUUAAUGUGUUUCCUCAUAUCAACAAGAAUCGGGGAGUUGAUAUCUUUCUUCCUACAAAAGAGAAAAGAACUAACCAAGGAUGUACAAUGAUCAUUAGAAACAGAUUUAAAAAUGACCCAAGUCUAAAUCUCAAAUUAUCAUCCUUGCUACUACAAGAGGUCACAUAUGCGAGCUAAAAACCUAUUGUGUUGCACUUAAAAUUCCUCACUAAUAUGAUGCAAUGCAAGAGGAAGCCACAGAAUUAGAUCAGAAUCACACCUAGGAUCUUGUUCCUAGGCUUUCCAAUGCAAAUAUAGUGGAGUCCAAAUGGAUUUUUAAGACAAAAUUUAAGGAGGAUGGAAUAGUAGAUUGAUUAAAGGCUUAACGGAUUGCUCAUGACUUUACUCAAGCACCAAGUUUGGAUUUCUAUGAAACUUUCAAUUCAAUUAUCAAACAUACAAUGAUUUGCUUGAUCCCUCACUUGCAGUGACUUUGAAAUGGACUAUGAGGCAACUAGACGUCAAUAAUGACUUUUUACAUGGUUUCUCAAGGUGUUCAUGGAGCACCCCCUCGGCUUUGUUAAUGAAGACUUUCUCAAUCAUGUAUGUUGGCUUAAUCAUUCUCUUUAUGGUUUGAAACAAACUCCGAGAGCCUGGUUCGAUACAGUUUCUCAGUUCCUUCUCUAUAUGGGUUUUUGUUGUGGCAAAGUAGAGCUAUCGUUAUUCAUCCAAACACAUAUGUCACUUUAUUAUUCUAAUAUUAUUUACGUGGAUGAUGUUAUAAUCACCAAAAAUGAUACAACCACCAUUGAUAAUCUCAUUCAUGCAUUAAGCAAAGAGUUCUCUUUGAAGGACUUGGGAUAACUUCAUUACUUUCUCAACUUGGAAGUUUGAAACUUUUCAAGUGGUAUGUUUGUUUCCCAGACAAAGUAUCUUAGAGACUUAGUGUGGGAUGAAAAUGAUUGAGUGCUCUCACUUAAACAUGAUCAUGGCUAUCAAACCUACAGCUACCCAAAUUGAUGAUUAUCCAGUUGAUCGAACCCUUUAUAGACAACUUGUUAGUUCCUUGCAAUUUCUCACAUUUACAAGACUAGGUAUUGUCCAUGAAGUAAACAAAGCUUGUCAAUAAUUUCAAGUUCCCACAGAGGUUGACAUGCAAGUUGUGAAAAGUAUCUUGAGAUAUCUAAAGGGAACCAUGGACUAUGGACUUUGCUUUCUCCAACAAGUUCCCUUUGUUUAAUAGGCUAUUACAAUGCUGAUUGGGUUGGAUGCCCCAUGAAGGAAAACUCUAUGAUCCAAUUUUUUAGACAAUGCCACUUCCACUAUGCCAUUUACAUUUAACAACUAUUAACAACUAUAGACAUUUAGCAGCCAUUGGUGACAUCAACACUGGUAAUCUCGUUCUUUAGUAGGGUAUGACUUAAUGAUUUUUAACACAAAAAAUUUCUCAACUAAGAAAAUUAUUGACAAAAUUCUAAGUUGAUUUAUUUAAACUUUACAAUCUUUAAUAUGCACUUUGAUUUUUCUAAUAAAGACACAAACAUCGUUUUAGACAAUUUAAUGUUUGAUUUUGGAUCAAAAAGUCAUGAUUUCAUAGAUAAUAAAUUCUUUCAAUGAAAAAAAAUAUCCGAAUCAUCAAUUUCUUCAAGAAAUCUUCAUAUAUUUUUUAACUUUCUAAGAGAUCUUCAAAUAUUCAUAUUGUCAAGAAAUCUUGAAUCUUGAAGGAGUUUCUUCAACAACUGUAAAAAAUGUUGUCGACGUUCAAUGAGUGCUUUGAAAUGAGAGGAACCCUCUACUUAUUGGGUUGGAAUUUUAUUUUGAUAUUAUCUCUUGUUUUCCUAGAGAUAAUCAUCUUAUUUAUUACAAUAAUUAUUAUUUAUUUUAAUUAUCAUAAUUAAUUAAUUAAGAUAAUUAUAAUGUUGUUUUGCUUUAUCAUAAUUAAUUGUUUUUUAUUAUUUUUAAAUUAUCAAAUCAUUUUUUUUUGCAAGACCCAUAUGACAAGUGUCAACAUGUUAUUAGUUAAUUAUUGACAUGUGACUUUUAAUGAAUGGACAAAAUUUAUCUUUGUGCAUAUUUUUUUCGACAUUGAUCAUUGUUAGUUACUGGCAACCACUUACUCAAAUCGGUAGAAAGUUCUUUAUACACCUAAUGACAAGGUAUAUAAGCUCAAAGUGGGAACCACUAGGGCCCAUAGGAAUACUGGCUCCCUUGGAAUCUAAUUCUAAAGUUGAUUCAACACCCCACUACAAAGAAUCAACUAAACUCAAUAUCCUAUGUAAAUAACAAUGAGACACCAAGUGCUCAGGUUCGUGACUUGCUAUCUAUUGUGUUCAGUCUCCCCAUGAACUGGUGUUUGUAGUCUAACAAGGUGAAAGUUAUUAGCCUUUCAGGACUACCUCUACCAUCCUUAAGUUACAAAUCCUCCUAUUGUGUGUUUAAUUGACAUAUCUUAGCUCUUAAAGGGCUUAUGUCAAGUUCCACUUAAGGAACUACUAUGACCAUAGUUUACAUAAACAUAUCUCCUUAGGAUCACCUAAAAUAACACACUAUCUCAAUCCUAAGAGAUAUCAAGGUACCUUUAUUGAGAAUACCUAUUGUUAGUGGCUUCUAUCAAUAGUGACCCAAUCCAUAGGGAAUAUAUGAUCAACUUACGAUCUCACCCGUAACUCAAAGUCAUUGCUAACUUCAACAUAAGUUCAAUAUUCUCUUAAGGUUGAGAAACAACACAAUGAAGCAGCUUGGUGGAUUCAUGACUACUUGAUAGCCUUAAGUCAUAACUCACCAUAGGUCUUGUCCAAUGUGCAACCAUACACACUAGUGUACUCACCAUGGGAAACCCAUCCCAAUAGCCAAGACUAGUCAUCCCUUCAAUUUGGAGAUGGUGCACUAUAGUCUCUAAUGGGUUGCCUAAGCCCAUGAACCGACUGUGAACAAGUCAUCUAUUUGCAAGGAACCCAUGACUUAGAUUUUCUGUGCAACUCUUAAUGCACCUAAAUAACGUACAAUGAAAAAGAUGUAGACAUUCGCUCAUAAAGUAUAACACAUGGAAUAAGAAUAGAUAAAAGUGAAACUAGAAUAUCAUUAAAUAAAUAAUAAAUUCCAAAUUCAUUACAUCAUGUCAUGCUUCUAAGGGCUCUAUUCUAACACCAAAAUGCUCGUAAAGUAUAAUGCAUGGAAUAAGGACAGAUAAAAGUAAACUUGGAACAUCAUUAAAUAAAUAAUGCAUUCCUAAUUUAUUACAUUAAGUCAUGCUUUUAAGGGCUUUAUCUUAACAUUCUCUCACUAGCCCUUAAAACAUCAUGUUAUCAAAGCAGACAGAUACUCAUCUGAAACCUAUGUUAUCCCUGUGAUCAUCAAAGACUCUCCCAAUCAAUGUCAAGGUAAAAGGAUUUGUUAGGUUCUCUACAAAAGGUAUCUAUCGAACUGUCACAUCACCCCUCUAAUAGAUCUCAAGAGUCUAAAACACAAGCACAUAAUCCCUCAUUCUCCAAAGAUACUUGAGUAUAUGCUUUACAAUUGUCUAGUGUUUUAGACUUAGAUUUGACUGAUAUCUACUUAUAAUAUCCACAACAAAGAAAAUAUCCGGUUAGCACAUAGCAUCGCAUACAUAAGGCUACCCAUUAGAAAGACAUAAGGUACCCCUUAAGUGCAAUCUUUCUCCUUUGAUGUCUAAGGACAUUGAUUUUGAGAAAGGCUAACUCCAAACCUAAAGGGCAACAACCCUUCUUAGAGUCCUGCAUUAUACACUUAACCAAAUGCUUAUCGAUGUAGAUGAUAUAGUGUAAUUUCAUUAUUCUUGCAGUCCAAAAGAACCUUAAACCCAAGAAUAUAUUGUGUUCCAUCUAGAUUUCCAUCUAUAAUUGAGUAGACAAAUUGAUCUUGAUUGCUGAUAAUAUCUCUACUUCAUUCCCGAUGAGUAGAUUGUCAUCCAUCUACAAGAUCUUAGAGCACCACUAUGCUUUCCUAAACCUUCUUGUACACAUAAGGCCCUUUGCGAUGAAAAUGUCUAGUUGCAUAAAAAAAUGCUAAAAUCAAGACAAUCGUUCAAGAACGCUAUCUCAACAUCCUAUUGUCAUAUCUCAUAAAUGAGAUAAACUACAAUGGAUAGGAGUACUUUAAUGGAUUUUAGUAUGGCUACUAGUGAAAAGGUAUCCUAUAGUCAAAACAAUGUUUCAAACUAUAACCUUUAGCUACAACCUAGCCACAUAAAACUCAACCUUUCCUUCUACUUCUUUGUUUCUCUUAUAGACUAACUCACACCUAUGGGUUUUAUCAUUUCUGGAGUUUCUAUAGAAAUCCAAACUAUGUUAUAAUACAAAGAUUCUAAUUAUAGCUUCAAAGCUCCUUGCUAAGUUAUGAGCACCAACACGCUCAUUGCUUCAUAAUACAUGGUGUAUAAACCUCCCACUAUGAUGAGUCACUCAUAUACUAGAAGUAAUGGGAAUGAUAUCUCACUGGAUCCAUAGUAUCUUGUGUAAAACUAGGACUAUCCUUUAAGUUUCAGUUGUGUGUCAGUGUAUGAAUUAGUGGAGAAAUGCCAGUCAUGCAAUGCUUAGGUUAGUGGAGAUUUAAUGGUCAUAUUAUGAAAAUUUCCAUGGCUACAUACAGUGAAGAACAUAUGUUGCACAAGGUAAAGUGAACCUUCCUUUUACUUGCUAAAAAUGGAGAUCUAAUAUGGUUAAAUUUUUAAUUGUCGAAAGUGGAGAACUCAUGUGGCUGCAAUGCAUGAGAAUUCAAGUCGUGUAGUGUAUGCAAUUUAGUGAUAUGUAAUGGAAUUCAAUUGUGGUUGAGUUAUGGCUUUUUAGGGCUGAAAAUUUACAAUGAUAUGGACUGAAAUUCGGUGAAGUAUUAUGGAGAAAUGAGCUGAAUAUUGUGGUUGAAUUAAGGAGAAAUGUGGUUGAAUUUGUUAGAACAUUAAGUCUUGUUUAUUUGUUGCCAAUUUUGUUUCAAUUAAUAUUUGGUCAUAGAAAUCUUUUUAGAUAGAAACUUGCUCUCCAUUGAAGAUCAAUGGUUGUUGUUCGUCCAAUUGAGAAGUCACAAGUACAUCUAAAAAGGUUUGGCUUGUGGCAUAUAAGACUUGUUUGAGAUAUAAAAGGAUUCUAUAUCAUUUUUUGACUUAAAAUGUUUUUAAAAUAUUUUUAAAAUAUUUUUUCAAGAAGUAGGGAUUGAUUACUACUCAAAAAGUACUUUUUUAUAGUUUGAAACUAACUAUUUAAAACACUUUUGAGUAGUAGUUAAUACCUUUUAACUCAAUUGGCACAUUAAGGAACCUAGCAAGGGUUACUAAUCAGUUUUUGGCAAGUUUUGGUGUUUUUGGUAGCUAUUAAUCAUUGAAACAACCCAAGAAUGAGGGAGAAUUUUGUGAAAUCCAUGGCAACGCAAGUUAAAGCUCAAAUACAUGAAGAAUCCAAGCUUUGGAGCACUUCAUAGCCCUUUGCCAAGCCAAUCAGAGAUGCAAGGAAGAAAACUAGAGGAAAAAAUCCAACAACCAGCAUUUUCGCAUGGUUGUGUGAAAUUUCGCACACCAUGCGAAACCACUUAAGGCAGCCAAAGAAUUUCACACACCAUGCGAAAUUUCGCAUGGUAUGCGAAAUUUCGCAUGGUAUGCGAAAUCUUCCUGUGCACUGACUCCGUUAGAUUUUUAUCUCCAGAUAUUUUGUGUAAUUUCCUAUUUUCUCCUUGUAAUCAACUUAGAUAUUUUUUAUAAUAUUUUUUUUUAUAUAUUUGGUGUGUGUAGCAUAUUUUGAUAUAGACACACAAGGAUGUAAUCAAAGAACACUUGUAAAUUCCCUGUAGUAAGAAAUUUACAGAGCUUUUGCUCUACAUUUCCUUCUCAUUUUGUAUUCACUCUUCUUUCUAGCCAAACAACCUCUGAGGAUGAUUUCUCAGGGGAUGAGUGGCUAGGUUUUAUGUUUCUUGGAGUAAUGGAAGCUAGGUGAAGGACCGAAAUGCAAAGAUGGGAGUUGUCCUUGCUUUAAAUGAAAGUAGUUGUUAACCAUUAAUGGUUUUUAUUUUAGGGUUUAGCUUUAUAUCCCUUAAAAGCACCUUGAAUGGCCAAUACUUCGUAAGCUUUUCAGAUUCUAUGGAUGCUUAUUAAUAGAUCCAUGGAUGUCUAUUAGUUAUCAUUUACGAGCCAUUGGAAGGUGGUUCAAGGUGAGAGUCUUUAGUGUUUGAAGCCAUUAAUGGGAAGCAACUAUUAUUUUUCAUGAACCCUUUGGAUCAAAUCUUAAUUGCUAAAUAUAAAACUGGUUCGGGAGAUAACCAUCCUUUAUGUUAUUGUCCCCAACGCGAGGAGAAGAUCCGGAAUCUCCCCCUUUGUCUAAGGGACCCGAUCCUAGUGAGCUAAAGCUCCAAGAGACCUUUUCUUUGUAGUUAACUUCACUUAUUAUUUUUGCUUAACUUAAAAUCAAUCUUUGCAAUCACAAUUCCAUUUUCUUUAAAAGCUAAUUUUCAUAAGGAUAAACACCAUUUUAUUUCCUUCACUAAAGUCAACUGUACGAUGAAAACCCAUCCCUGUGGAUGAUCCUAGAGCCACUAUACUAUGUUAGCUAUGCUACCCUAGUGUGGGGAGAUUUAGGUUUUAUAAAUUUUGUUGAUAACACCCGUAUGAGCCAGAAUCAAAUGGCAUGACUAUAAUGGGGACGAAUUAGGGACUGCUCAAGCAGUUAUCCCACUCAAAUGAUCAGCCCACUCAAAUGGUCAUGUCAGUCCUGUCAAGUUUAGAAAUGUAUUUUGAAUAAAUUUCACUCAAACUCUAAUUUAGAAACUUGAGAUACCUAAACUCUUAUGGAUUUUGCCUAUCAAUACCUCUCUUGUAACCCUUUAUGGGUUAAAGAUUCAGGCUAAGAGAUCGUAGAGAUCUUAGAUAUUAGAGACCUCUCAUUCUUAAGAGAAGGACUCCUUGUGAAGAAAACCUAAUUGCCACCAUAUUCAUGAUCUCUCAUUCAAGGAUUUGAAUCUUUGAAUCACGGGUUAAAGACUUUAAUCCCUUUGGUGUUACCAAAAGAUCUACUAGGAAGCAAUAAGGAGUUGCUAGGUAGCAGACGUGGAUCAAGUUGUAGGUUCUGGAAAGUAAGUCUUUAAGUUAAAGCAGCCACAUAAAUUUGUGUAACUUGAUUUUGAAUAAUGGAUUUGGAUCGAUAGGUCUUAGACCUCAUGUUUUUUUAUCUCCACUGUUUGUAAGGGUUUUCCAUGUAAAAUCUUGUACCUCUUACAUAUCAUUUUAUUACUACUUAUAUUUUGGUUGAUAAUAUUAAUUAUAUUGAAUUGAUUGGAUAGUUUGCUUUUGAGUUUGUUGGGUUAGUAAUCUUGGUGGUUGUAGUGGUUAAACCUAUAACCAAUUACUGUUAUCCCUAACUUCUCUUCGAAUGUCUUUUGAUUAAUUUGUUGGGUUGUUACUGAGUUUGUUAGGUUGGUUAUUUUGGAUAAUUUUAUUAUUCCUCACAUAUCUCAAUAGAUAUUUUUGAUAUUGACAAUUAUAUUAUCCCUAACAAAUUGCAAGGUAUCCCUAAAAGUUAAAAAUCAUAUUUGUAUAUACCUAAAGUUCUAAGUAUAAUCAUUUAUUUAUUUGUGAUAUCCCCAAUAUCUCUCAAGGUAAAAAGUUGGUUAUAAUUUAUAAAUAUUUAUUUAAAUUUUUAAAUCACCCAUUCACCCCCUCCUCCGUGUUCCCUAUUGGACUUCUGGUCUUCAUUUUAAUGGUAUUAUGGACCCGCAUUUCUCACGUGUGCCCUCACUUGAUCGGCGAGACUUGCUUUUAUAGUAUGAAAAUUUUAGUUUUGGAAAAGUCAGAGUCGCCACUUAUUUUAUUUUAUUUAAUUUUAAAAGGGCAAAUAAAACAAGAAAGAAAACCCUAAAGAAACGACUCCAUAGUUUUUGGAAAAUCGUGUCUUUGAAAAACCCAAGUCUAGGUCCGAUGAUCAGGUUACCUAUUGGGAAGGUACCUUUAAAAGGUAGCGCCCUUCUAAGCCCUACAAAGAUCUCUACUGACUAAGCUGAGGGAAAUGUGGCAAUUAAUUGAUUAACUGAAGAUACCUAGGUAGACUAAGGUGAUUUUAAAAAAUAGCAUGCCAAACAAGAUCAAAUCACAAUAAAGGAGAGUUAGGAUGCAUACUCGAAUUGCUUCUCAAGCGCUAUCAUAAAACAUCAUAGUUAAUAUAGAAAUAUAGCACACAACAUGUAUUUACUUAUAGUGAAUCAAGCAUACAUCUAAGCACCUAAGGAUCACAUCAAUCAUAAAUAAGGCUCACAACAACAUGCAUAUUCAUGGAAUCCCGAAAAGUAGUGAUAAAGAGCAUACUUGGAUAACAUGCAUAAUUUAUAAGAUUCCUCAAAAAAAAAAAAAAGGCUAGAGUGGUUAGGACAAGUAUAUAUAUUAUAUAACACCUUUAUUAUGUCUAAUAUACAGUGCCAAAGCCAAAAUUCAGCUAAGAUAAAUCAAAUGACUCCAAAAAUAAUAACAAUUCAAGCAAGUACUGAGUCAUUAACAUGCAUAUAGUAAAGGGAGCAUCACAAAAAUAAUUUCUAAAAAAUGUCUUGGAGUGGAUUUUAAUCACAAAAAAAUUUCUAGAAACAACUCCUACACGUCUAGAACAAGAUACCAAAAUCCAAACACUCAUUCAAAUGUCAAAUUGCAGCAAAGACGCCCAAAAGUUCCAAAAGGUCCAGAUUAGGUAAAAAAAAAUAGGGGCAUGCAUAAUUUUUUUUUUAAAAAAAUAAUAAAACAUCAGAUAAAAUCAUACAAAAAAUCACACACAUUUUUCAAGGUGUCUAUAUCAUAGGAAAAAUAAAUUCAGGGUUUGAUAGUAUUCAAAAAUAUUUUUAAAAUGCUCCAACUAAUCAUAUAUCUAGAUUCCAUCAUGCAUAGUAGGUACGGAUUUAAAAAAAUCACAUCUCCCUCAAAAAGGCACAUUUUUCAAUAUUUCAUGUAUCUAAUAUAAAUUUCAAGAAGCCUAGAAUUUAGAAAAAAAAAUUUUAAAAGUCGUAUGGUAUUUUAUUUUUGCAAAAAGAUCUCGGUUGUCCAAAACUGGGUGAAAAUGGAGCCCCCCUAAAGACUCAUUUAUAUCUUCUAUUCUAGAAUUGCUUUCUAACUCAAACGAAAUUUUAAAUUCAAGUUCAAGAAGUGAGGAAAAUCAUACAAGUUUCAUAAAAUUUUUAAAACAUUCUAAAGUUAAAACAAAUUUUAAAUCUAAAGGGUCAGUGGUUGAGUGAAAACUGGCAACAAGGAAGAGUUUUGAAAAAAUUUCUUAUGUAGGGGUUCCAUCAAGUCCCCAUUCAAUUUCCAUAAGUUUUACCUGUGUAUCCCCAUUAGUUUGGGAGCACAAGUCCAAACCUAUGUGUAUAAAAACCAAAUUUCUGAAAAACCAACAAAGGAGAAAUGCAACUUAAAUGAAAUUAGUUACAUUAUUUUAAUAGAAAGGGUGUUCUUUGCCUAAAGCUAGAAUGAAUGUUUUCUAAAACCUUUUAUUGGUGAUUUAAAUGCUUUUGAAAAUGACUUUAAGGGAAGUAAAAAAAAGGACCCAAUGGUUUGUUAAAUCCCAUACAAUAGGCACAAAAUAGAGAUUUUUGAUUUCUAACUUGAGAGGGUUUUGAAAAUAAAAGAAAAGCUAAAUUGGAUCCUCUUUUUAGCUACCUUUUAUUUGGGAUCAAGGAGCCAAACUUAUGAUGGAAAAAUUCAUUUUUGGAAAAAGAAAAUUUGAUUCAACUCAAAAUGUCAAUUUAAUAAAGAAAACAUUUUCUAAAAGAAGGUUCAAACUCAAGAAUUCCCUAAGGUGCCUAUAAAAUAAGUGUCAAAGAUAAAAAAACUAACAAUUGAAUCAAAUAUAAGGAAGCCAACAUCAACAAUUAUGUAUUAAACUUUGGAAAGUAAAGAAUUAAAUGAGAACCAAUCAAACUAAAUAAAAUUAUCAACUUGAACAUGCAAGGAUUUUUGGUUAAAAUUAAAAUUAUAGACAACCUUAACAACUGGCAAGAAUCAAUCAAACUAAUAAAUUAAUCCUAAAGACAUCACAUGAAUUUAAAAAAUAAGAACAUAAGAUAUUAAAGACAUGAGACCAAUUAAGAACAUUAACAACUAAGGCAAUUGUGUGGAUUAAAUUCAGAACAGAAUAAUCUAAAACUCAGGGAUUAAAUAAAAUUAUCCGAACUAACAAAAAAAAAAAAAAAACAAUUGAGAACAUGGCAUGGAUUUUAUCUAAAACCAAUAAUUAUAAUUUAGUAAUUAAUAGGAACCAAUCGGAUCAACAAUUUAUCAAUUUAAUGACAUGACAAGGAUUUUACAAAAAUGAAAUUUUAAAAUUCCAAAAUUAUUAAGAAUUAGAUGGAAGCACCCAAAAUAAAAUUUAUCAACAUUCUAAAUAACACAUGUACAUGGAUAGGGCAAAAAUCGAAACUAAACUAGACCCAAAAUUUUUCGAUUUAAACUCAAACCUCCCUAAUUUAAUCUAAAAAGUUCGAAACUGAAACUAAGUAAGCCAAACUCUAUCAAACUGACACAAUAAAUCAAAGCCUCAACCAAUGACGAUCAACACAUUUUUUUUAUGUAAUAAAUCAAGAUUUAAAUAGAACAGAAUUCCAACUUACCUUUCCAAGCAAUGGCGUGGAUUGUGUAUUUCUUAAAAUGGCAGUUGUGCAGAUGAAGAUUGGAUGAGUGGCAAUCUAGAUGGAUUGUCUGUGGCUUUGUAACAUGGAGAAAGAGAAACCCAACAACCUAAAUCUCUUCCAAAACAUGGACUGAUUUCACCCCGAACACUAGCCUGAAUCUCUUCGAAAACACGGACUGAUUUCACCCCGAACAGCAACCUGAAUCUCUUCCAAAACACGGACUAAUUUCACCCCGAACACUAGCCUGAAUCUCUUCGAAAACACGGAUUGAUUUCACCCCGAAUAGCAGUCUGAAUAUCUUCUAAAACACGGACUGAUUUUUACCCUGAACAACAUCUUGAAUCUCCUCCAAAAACAGACUGAUUUCACCUCGAACAGUAGCCCGAAUCUUUUCCAAAAAUCGGACCGAUUUCACCCCGAACAACAGCCUGAAUCUCCUCCAAAAAAUGGAUUGAUUUCACUCCAAACAGCAGACCGAUCUAUUCCAAAAACUAGACUGAUUUCACCCCGAAUAGCAGCCUGAACCUCCUCUAAAAACCGGAUUGAUUUCACCCCGAAUAGUAGCCCGAAUCUCUUCCCAAAAUCAAACUAAUUUUUACCCUGAAGAGCAGCCAGAAUCACCUCCAAAAUCAGACUGAUUUUACCCCAAUGGCAGCCCGAAUCUCUUCAAAAAAUCAAACUGAUUUUUACCCCGAACAACAGCCUAAAUCGUCUCCAAAAAUCGGACUGAUUUCACCCUGAACAUCAGCCCGAAUCUCUUCCAAAAACUGGACUGAUUUUUACCCCGAACAACAACUUGAAUCACCUCUAAAAACUGGACUGAUUUUACCCCGAACGGUAGCCUCAAUCUCUUCCAAAAUCGGACUGAUUUUUACCCCAAACAGCAGCUUUAAUCACCUCAAAAAAACCAGAUAGAUUUUACCCCGAAUAGUAGCCUGAAUCUCUUCCAAAAUCGGACUAAUUUUUACCCCUAAUAGCAACCUAAAUUGCCUCUAAAACACAGACUAAUUUUUCCGCGAACAGCAGUCUGAAUCUCUUCCAAAAACCGGAUUGAUUUCUACCCCAAACAACAGCCUGCAUCGCCUCCAUAAACCGAACUGAUUUUACCCGGAACAGUAGUCCGAAUCUCUUCUAAAACUGGACUAAUUUUUAUCCGGAACAGCAGCCUGAAUUGCCUUCAAAACAUGGACUGAUUUUUCUUGAAUAGCAGCCUGAAUCUCUAUCUAAAAAACGUAGCCUCACCUCUCAAAAAAAUCUUCUAUGCCUCCUCUUUCACAUGGACUCAUUCUCUUUUUUUCUUUUCUUUAAUUUUUUUUUUCCAGACCAACGUGAUUCCCCCCUCCCAAAAAAAACUAGUCAACCCUCUUACCUUUUUCUCUCAUCUCUUUCAUUUUUUUCUCAUUUCCUUCCUUUCAUGCAACUGACCUUUUUUUUUUUUUUUUUUUGCUGUCAAUCUUCUUCUUGUUUUGGUGCUGCCCCCUACUUCCUUUCUGGAUGCGUGUUUGUUAAUGUUUCCUUACGUGCAGCUGCAAACCCUCCCUUAAUGGUGUGUUUUUCUCUUUUCUUUCAGACCACCAUUUUCCUUUUCAAAUCAAUCCCACUCACUCAGGCUCCAUCUUCCUUUUCUGGUGAGUUUUUCUUUUCUCUCUUCCUCUCUCUCUCCAAUUACUAGCGGGCUGUCACAAUUUUCUUUUCCAAAAUGAUCCAUUCCUUUCCCAUGCAUGCUCCAUUUCUUUCCCAUAUGGAGCACGUGGAAUCCUAUGCAAAACCAAUAAUAAAAAUAAUAAAAGGGAAAUAAAAAUACAAAUAAAAGAAAACUAAGGGUUAAAAUAAUAAUAAAAAAACGUGUAACUAAGAAUUAAAAAAAAAUCCAAAAUAUGCAAUUUUAAACGAAAUUUAAAAUAUAGAUCACAUGCAAAACUAAAAUGAAUUACCAACUUAAACAACUUUCUAUCAAAAUAAAUUAAUAAAUAGAUAAAUAAGAAUGAAAUCAAUAUAAUCAUUAAGCUCAUGCAAUUUUCUAAAAAUAAGUAAAUAAAUGAAUAAAACUAAUAAAUUGAGAGAUAAAAAAAAUAAAAAAUCAAACACAUGCAAGCCAUACGAGCUAUGCAACCAUGCAAGCCAUGCAAACCAUGCAUCCAUGUAAAAAAUAAUCUAAAUGGGUCAAGGGUGCCUAAGUGGGCCUAAGGUGAUGCCUAAUGGGCCAAGUGUGCCUAAAUGGGCCUAGGGUGCCUAAGUAGGCCUAGGGUGCUUAAAUGGGCCUAGGGUGCUUAAAUGGGUCUAGGGUACUUAAGUGGGCCUAGGGUGCCUAAAUAGGCCUAAGGUGCCUAAAUGGACCUAGGAUGCCUAAUUGGGCCUAAGGUGCCUAAAUGGGCCUAGGGUGUCCAAAUGGGCCUAGGAUGCCUAUGUGGGCCUAGGAUGGUGCCUAAUGGUCCAAGUGUGCCUAAAUGGGCUUAGGGUACCUAAAUGGGCCUAGGGUGCCUAAAUGGGCGUAGGAUGCCUAUGUGGGCCUAGGAUGGUACCUGAUGGGCCAAGGGUGCCUAAAUGGGCCUAGGGUCCUAAGUGGGCCUAGGGUCCUAAGUGGGCCUAAUGUCAUAGGAUGCUUCAAAUGAGCCUCCUCAUGGGUUUAUAUAAAGCCCAGGAAGCUUCUGGAGACUCCUGGAGCCAUCUACACUAAGCCAUUGGAGGGAAAAGUGUGGAAGGUUCUAGUGAUGCCUAGAAAUGUCCAUACAACUCUAAACUAUGGUGGAAGGCAUGAGAGGAGUCCAAGGCUUUCUAGAGAAUUCUAGAAAUCUCUUGUACAUAGGGUUGUACAUAGAAUUGUGUAGGGUAUUCUAGAAUCUUCUUGAUUUGUAAGGAACCCUCCAAGGUUCCAGAGAGUUCCAUUGGUGCCUAUAAAUAGGUGAGGGCCUCAUUUGGCCAAGGCACCACCCAAAUCACUUCCUAACCAAGCAAGUGAGCUUCCAAGCACUUGUAAAGGCUUCUUUGAGUUAAUAAGAGCUUCCAUUAUUUAAAGAGUUGCCUACUAAGCUUCUUAAGCCUUUGAGUCGUGAGCGCCUUAGCCUAGCAAGCUAAGCAUUGGGGAGCAAGGCUGACUUAGCAAGAUCAAGAGUCUUGACUUGCCUAAGUGCCGCACGAGCUUAGUGAACGACUAAGUCUGUGACACUAAGGUGCCUAAGUGGGCCUAAGGUGCCUAAGUAGGCCUAGGGUGCCUAAAUGGACCUAGGAUGCCUAAUUGGGCCAAAGGUGCCUAAAUGGGCCUAAGAUGCCUAUGUGGGCCUAGGAUGGUGCCUAAUGGGCCAAGUGUGCCUAAAUGGGCCCAAUGUACCUAAAUGGGCCUAGGGUGCCUAAAUGGGCCUAGGGUAUUUAAAUUUGCCUAGGAUGCCUAUGUCAGCCUAGGAUGGUGCCUAAUAGGCCAAAUGUGCCUAAAUGAGCCUAGGGUGCCUAAAUGGGCCUAGGUGCCGAAAUGGGCCUAAGGUGGUGCCAAGAGUAUCUAAGUGAGCCUAAGUCUAAAUUAAGGAUGCCAAGGGUCAAAACGGGGUUAGAUAGAUCCCUCAACCAAAGUCCCUAAGGUGACUUAGAAAAUAUAGACUACACGAGUAGUAAUGAGCCACCAGAGAAUUGUUGUAAAGUACUAAACGAACACACAAUAGGGCAUGUGCUAGUAGGACAAAAUGGAGGGUCUACAGGUAUUUAAGCAAUACCCAUUUUUUUCAGAAUUUGUGGAAGAAAAUGUGAGAAAUGUGUAUGCAUAUGAAGACUUGUAAUGGCUGAAUUUCAAGGGAGAAAUGAGCUGAAUAUGGUGGUUGUGCAUGCAUAAUUAAUGGCUGAAUUUUAUGGUAAAAGAAUGGUGUUUCGGUGGCUGCAUGUGCAUGAAUAUGGAGGCUGAAUUUUAUGGAAAAAAGAAUGGUGUUUUGGUGGUUGAUAUGAGCAUGAAUUUGGAGGCUGGUUUUGCGGUAAAAUAAUUGGGUUUCAGUGGCUUUAAUGGGAAGGCUUGAGGUUCAAUUCCUUAAUGUUGUUUAAUGUGAAUAUUAUGACUGCAUAUAGAGACUUCUCAUGGCUUGUGGCAUAAAAGACUUGUUUGAGAUAUAAAAGGAUUCUAUAUCAUUUUUUGACUUAAAAUGUUUUUAAAAUAUUUUUAAAAUAUUUUUUCAAGAAGUAGGGAUUGAUUACUACUCAAAAAGUACUUUUUUAUAAUUUGAAACUAACUGUUUAAAACACUUUUGAGUAGUAGUUAAUACCUUUUAACUCAAUUGGCACAUUAAGGAACUUAGCAAGGGUUACUAAUCAGUUUUUGGCAAGUUUUGGUGUUUUUGGUAGCUAUUAAUCAUUGAAACAACCCAAGAAUGAGGGAGAAUUUUGUGAAAUCCAUGGCAACGCAAGUUAAAGCUCAAAUACAUGAAGAAUCCAAGCUUUGGAGCACUUCAUAGCCCUUUGCCAAGCCAAUCAGAGAUGCAAGGAAGAAAACUGGAGGAAAAAAUCCAACAACCAGCAUUUUCGCAUGGUUGUGUGAAAUUUCGCACACCAUGCGAAACCACUUAAGGCAGCCAAAGAAUUUCGCACACCAUGCGAAAUUUCGCAUGGUAUGCGAAAUCUUCAUGUGCACCGACUCCGUUAGAUUUUUAUCUCCAGAUAUUUUGUGUAAUUUCCUAUUUUCUCCUUGUAAUCAAUUUAGAUAUUUUUUAUAAUAUUUUUUUUUAUAUAUUUGGUGUGUGUAACAUAUUUUGAUAUAGACACACAAGGAUGUAAUCAAAGAACACUUGUAAAUUCCCUGUAGUAAGAAAUAUACAGAGCUUUUGCUCUACAUUUCCUUCUUAUUUUGUUUUCACUCUUCUUUCUAGCCAAACAACCUUGAGGAUGAUUUCUCAGGGGAUGAGUGGCUAGGUUUUAUGUUUCUUGGAGUAAUGGAAGCUAGGUGAAGGACCCAAAUGCAAAGAUGGGAGUUGUCCUUGCUUUAAAUGAAAGUAGUUGUUAACCAUUAAUGGUUUUUAUUUUAGGGUUUAGCUUUAAAUCCCUUAAAAGCACCUUGAAUGGCCAAUACUUCGUAAGCUUUUCAGAUUCUAUGGAUGCUUAUUAAUAGAUCCAUGGAUGUCUAUUAGUUAUCAUUUACGAGCCAUUGGAAGGUGGUUCAAGGUGAGAGUCUUUAGUGUUUGAAGCCAUUAAUGGGAAGCAACUAUUAUUUUUCAUGAACCCUUUAGAUCAAAUCUUAAUUGCUAAAUAUAAAACUGGUUCGGGAGAUAACCAUCCUUUAUGUUAUUGUCCCUAACGCGAGGAGAAGAUCCGGAAUCUCCCCCUUUGUCUAAGGGACCCGAUCCUAGUGAGCUAAAGCUCCAAGAGACCUUUUCUUUGUAGUUAACUUCACUUAUUAUUUUUGCUUAACUUAAAAUCAAUCUUUGCAAUCACAAUUCCAUUUUCUUUAAAAGCUAAUUUUCAUAAGGAAAAACACCAUUUUAUUUCCUUCACUAAAGUCAACUGUACGAUGAAAACCCAUCCCUGUGGAUGAUCCUAGAGCCACUAUACUAUGUUAGCUAUGCUACCCUAGUGUGGGGUGAUUUAGGUUUUAUAAAUUUUGUUGAUAACACCCGUAUGAGCCAGAAUCAAAUGGCAUGACUAUAAUGGGGACGAAUUAGGGACUGCUCAAGCAGUUAUCCCACUCAAAUGAUCAGCCCACUCAAAUGGUCAUGUCAGUCAUGUCAAGUUUAGAAAUGUAUUUUGAAAAUUUCACUCAAACUCUAAUUUAGAAACUUGAAAUACCUAAACUCUUAUGGAUUUUGCCUAUCAAUACCUCUCUUGUAACCCUUUGUGGGUUAAAGAUUCAGGCUAAGAGAUCGUAGAGAUCUUAGAUAUUAGAGACCUCUCAUUCUUAAGAGAAGGACUCCUUGUGAAGAAAACCUAAUUGCCACCAUAUUCAUGAUCUCUCAUUCAAGGAUUUGAAUCUUUGAAUCACGGGUUAAAGACUUUAAUCCCUUUGGUGUUACCAAAAGAUCUACUAGGAAGCAAUAAGGAGUUGCUAGGUAGCAGACGUGGAUCAAGUUGUAGGUUCUGGAGAGUAAGUCUUUAGGUUAAAGCGGCCACAUAAAUUUGUGUAACUUGAUUUUGAAUAAUGGAUUUGGAUCGAUAGGUCUUAGACCUCAUGUUUUUUUAUCUCCACUGUUUGUAAGGGUUUUCCAUGUAAAAUCUUGUACCUCUUACAUAUCAUUUUAUUACUACUUAUAUUUUGGUUGAUAAUAUUAAUUAUAUUGAAUUGAUUGGAUAGUUUGCUUUUGAGUUUGUUGGGUUAGUAAUCUUGGUGGUUGUAGUGGUUAAACCUAUAACCAAUUACUGUUAUCCCUAACUUCUCUUCGAAUGUCUUUUGAUUGAUUUGUUGGGUUGUUACUGAGUUUGUUAGGUUGGUUAUUUUGGAUAAUUUUAUUAUUCCUAACAUAUCUCAAUAGAUAUUUUUGAUAUUGACAAUUAUAUUAUCCCUAACAAAUUGCAAGGUAUCCCUAAAAGUUAAAAAUCAUAUUUGUAUAUACCUAAAGUUCUAAGUAUAAUCAUUUAUUUAUUUGUGACAUCCCCAAUAUCUCUCAAGGAAAAAAGUUGGUUAUAAUUUAUAAAUAUUUAUUUAAAUUUUUAAAUCACCCAUUCACCCCCUCCUCCGUGUUCCCUAUUGGACUUCUGGUCUUAAUUUUAGUGGUAUUAUGGACCCGCAUUUCUCACGUGUGCCCUCACUUGAUCGGCGAGACUCGCUUUUAUAGUAUGAAAAUUUUAGUUUUGGAAAAGUCGGAGUCGCCACUUAUUUUAUUUUAUUUAAUUUUAAAAGGGCAAAUAAAACAAGAAAGAAAACCCUAAAGAAACGACUCCAUAGUUUUUGGAAAAUCGUGUCUUUGAAAAACCCAAGUCUAGGUCCGAUGAUCAGGUUACCUAUUGGGAAGGUACCUCUAAAAGGUAGCGCCCUUCUAAGCCCUACAAAGGUCUCUACUGACUAAGCUGGGGGAAAUGUGGCAAUUAAUUGAUUAACUGAAGAUACCUAGGUAGACUAAGGUGAUUUUAAAAAAUAGCAUGCCAAACAAGAUCAAAUCACAAUAAAGGAGAGUUAGGAUGCAUACUCGAAUUGCUUCUCAAGCGCUAUCAUAAAACAUCAUAGUUAAUAUAGAAAUAUAGCACACAACAUGUAUUUACUUAUAGUGAAUCAAGCAUACAUCUAAGCACCUAAGGAUCACAUCAAUCAUAAAUAAGGCUCACAACAACAUGCAUGUUCAUGGAAUCCCGAAAAGUAGUGAUAGAGAGCAUACUUGGAUAACAUGCAUAAUUUAUAAGAUUCCUCAAAAAAAAAAAAAAGGCUAGAGUGGUUAGGACAAGUAUAUAUAUUAUAUAACACCUUUAUUAUGUCUAAUAUACAGUGCCAAAGCCAAAAUUCAGCUAAGAUAAAUCAAAUGACUCCAAAAAUAAUAACAAUUCAAGCAAGUACUGAGUCAUUAACAUGCAUAUAGUAAAGGGAGCAUCACAAAAAUAAUUUCUAAAAAAUGUCUUGGAGUGGAUUUUAAUCACAAAAAAAUUUCUAGAAACAACUCCUACACGUCUAGAACAAGAUACCAAAAUCCAAACACUCAUUCAAAUGUCAAAUUGCAGCAAAGACGCCCAAAAGUUCCAAAAGGUCCAGAUUAGGUAAAAAAAAUAGGGGCAUGCAUAAUUUUUUUUUUAAAAAAAUAAUAAAACAUCAGAUAAAAUCAUACAAAAAAUCACACACAUUUUUCAAGGUGUCUAUAUCAUAGGAAAAAUAAAUUCAGGGUUGGAUAGUAUUCAAAAAUAUUUUUAAAAUGCUCCAACUAAUCAUAUAUCUAGAUUCCAUCAUGCAUAGUAGGUACGGAUUUAAAAAAAUCACAUCUCCCUCAAAAAGGCACAUUUUUCAAUAUUUCAUGUAUCUAAUAUAAAUUUCAAGAAGCCUAGAAUUUAGAAAAAAAAUUUUAAAAGUCGUAUGGUAUUUUAUUUUUGCAAAAAGAUAUCAGUUGUCCAAAACUGGGUGAAAAUGGAGCCCCCCUAAAGACUCAUUUAUAUCUUCUAUUCUAGAAUUGCUUUCUAACUCAAACGAAAUUUUAAAUUCAAGUUCAAGAAGUGAGGAAAAUCAUACAAGUUUCAUAAAAUUUUUAAAACAUUCUAAAGUUAAAACAAAUUUUAAAUCUAAAGGGUCAGUGGUUGAGUGAAAACUGGCAACAAGGAAGAGUUUUGAAAAAAUUUCUUGUGUAGGGGUUCCAUCAAGUCCCCAUUCAAUUUCCAUAAGUUUUACCUGUGUAUCCCCAUUAGUUUGGGAGCACAAGUCCAAACCUAUGUGUAUAAAAACCAAAUUUCUGAAAAACCAACAAAGGAGAAAUGCAACUUAAAUGAAAUUAGUUACAUUAUUUUAAUAGAAAGGGUGUUCUUUGCCUAAAGCUAGAAUGAAUGUUUUCUAAAACCUUUUAUUGGUGAUUUAAAUGCUUUUGAAAAUGACUUUAAGGGAAGUAAAAAAAAAGGACCCAAUGGUUUGUUAAAUACCAUACAAUAGGCACAAAAUAGAGAUUUUUGAUUUCUAACUUGAGAGGGUUUUGAAAAUAAAAGAAAAGCUAAAUUGGAUCCUCUUUUUAGCUACCUUUUAUUUGGGAUCAAGGAGCCAAACUUAUGAUGGAAAAAUUCAUUUUUGGAAAAAGAAAAUUUGAUUCAACUCAAAAUUUCAAUUUAAUAAAGAAAACAUUUUCUAAAAGAAGGUUCAAACUCAAGAAUUCCCUAAGGUGCCUAUAAAAUAAGUGUCAAAGAUAAAAAAAACUAACAAUUGAAUCAAAUAUAAGGAAGCCAACAUCAACAAUUAUGUAUUAAACUUUGGAAAGUAAGGAAUUAAAUGAGAACCAAUCAAACUAAAUAAAAUUAUCAACUUGAACAUGAAAGGAUUUUUGGUUAAAAUUAAAAUUAUAGACAACCUUAACAACUGGCAAGAAUCAAUCAAACUAAUAAAUUAAUCCUAAAGACAUCACAUGAAUUUAAAAAAUAAGAACAUAAGAUACUAAAGACAUGAGACCAAUUAAGAACAUUAACAACUAAGGCAAUUGUGUGGAUUAAAUUAAGAACAAAAUAAUCUAAAACUCAGGGAUUAAAUAAAAUUAUCCGAACUAACAAAAAAAAAAAAAACAAUUGAGAACAUGGCAUGGAUUUUAUCUAAAACCAAUAAUUAUAAUUUAGUAAUUAAUAGGAACCAAUCGGAUCAACAAUUUAUCAAUUUAAUGACAUGACAAGGAUUUUACAAAAAUGAAAAUUUAAAAUUCCAAAAAUAUUAAGAAUUAGAUGGAAGCACCCAAAAUAAAAUUUAUCAACAUUCUAAAUAACACAUGUACAUGGAUAGGGCCAAAAUCGAAACUAAACUAGACCCAAACUUUUUCGAUUUAAACUCAAACCUCUCUAAUUUAAUCUAAGAAGUUCGAAACUGAAACUAAGUAAGCCAUACUCUAUCAAACUGACACAAUAAAUCAAAGCCUCAACCCAAUGACGAUCAACACAUUUUUUUUGUUAUGUAAUAAACAAGAUUUAAAUAGAACAGAAUUCCAACUUACCUUUCCAAGCAAUGGCGUGGAUUGUGUCUUUCUUAAAAUGGCAGUUGUGCAGAUGAAGAUUGAAUGAGUGGCAAUCUAGAUGGAUUGUCUGUGGCUUUGUAACAUGGAGAAAGAGAAACCCAACAGCCUAAAUCUCUUCCAAAACAUGGACUGAUUUCACCCCGAACACUAGCCUGAAUCUCUUCGAAAACACGGACUGAUUUCAUCCCGAACAACAACCUGAAUCUCUUCCAAAACAUGGACUAAUUUCACCUCGAACACUAGCCUGAAUCUCUUAGAAAACACGGAUUGAUUUCACCCCGAAUAGCAAUCUGAAUCUCUUCCAAAACACGGACUGAUUUUUACCCUGAACAACAUCUUGAAUCUCCUCCAAAAACCAGACUGAUUUCACCUCGAAUAGUAGCCCGAAUCUCUUCCAAAAAUCGGACCGAUUUCACCCCGAACAACAGCCUGAAUCUCCUCCAAAAAAUGGAUUGAUUUCACCCCAAACAACAGAUCGAUCUAUUCCAAAAACUAGACUGAUUUCACCCCGAAUAGCAGCCCGAAUCUCUUCCAAAAAUCAAACUAAUUUUUACCCUGAAGAGCAGCCUGAAUCGCCUCCAAAAUCGGACUGAUUUUACCUCGAAUGGCAGCCUGAAUCUCUUCAAAAAAUCAGAUUGAUUUUUACCCCGAACAACAGCCUAAAUCGUCUCCAAAAAUCGGACUGAUUUCACCCUGAACAUCAGCCCGAAUCUCUUCCAAAAACUGGACUGAUUUUUACCCCGAACAGCAACUUGAAUCGCCUCUAAAAACUGGAUUGAUUUUACCCCGAAUGGCAGCCUCAAUCUCUUCCAAAAUUGGACUAAUUUUUACCCCAAACAGCAACUUGAAUCACCUCAAAAAAACCAGAUAGAUUUUACCCUGAAUAGCAGCCUGAAUCUCUUCCAAAACCGGACUAAUUUUUACCCCUAAUAGCAACCUAAAUUGCCUCCAAAACACAGACUAAUUUUUCCGCGAACAGUAGUCUGAAUCUCUUCCAAAAAUCGGAUUGAUUUCUACCCCGAACAACAGCCUGAAUCGCCUCCAUAAACCGAACUGAUUUUACCCAAAACAGUAGUCCGAAUCUCUUCCAAAACUGGACUAAUUUUUAUCAGGAACAACAGCCUAAAUUGCCUCCAAAACAUGGACUGGUUUUUCUUGAACAGCAGCCUGAAUCUCUCUCUAAAAAACGCAGCCUCACCUCUCAAAAAAAUCUUCUAUGCCUCCUCUUUCACAUGGACUCAUUCUCUUUUUUUCUUUUCUUUAAUUUUUUUUUUUUCCAGACCAACGUGAUUCCCCCCUCCCAAAAAAAAACUAGUCAACCCUCUUACCUUUUUCUCUCAUCUCUUUCAUUUUCUUCUCAUUUCCUUCCUUUCAUGCAACUGACCUUUUUUUUUUUUUUUGGUGUCAAUCUUCUUCUUGUUUUGGUGCUGCCCCCUACUUCCUUUCUGGAUGCGUGUUUGUCAAUGUUUCCUUACGUGCAGCUGCAAACCCUCCCUUAAUGGUGUGUUUUUCCCUUUUCUUUCAGACCACCAUUUUCCUUUUCAAAUCAAUCCCACUCACUCAAGCUCCAUCUUCCUUUUCUGGUUGAUUACUACCCAAAAAGUGUUAUUUUACACCUUUAAUUCAUUAUGUUUUAAGCACUUUUGUGUAGUAGUUCUCCAUCUUUAUUCCAAUUGGCAUGUUAAGGACCUAGCAAUGACUUCUAAUCAUAUUUGUGGCUAGUUUUAGUGUUUUGACAGCUUUUUGAAUCAUUAAGACAAGCCAAGUAAAGGAGAGAAGCAAAGAGGAAAAACAAGCAAAGUGAAGAAAAUAGAGGACAGCAGCUGUAGUCUUCCUUCACGCUUUUUGAGCACUUCCCGAAGUCCAUUUUCUACAUGCUAUAUACCAUUUCAAAGCUCAGGAAGUCAAGAAUCCAAUGCUUCAAACUGUGUACGAUUUGAAGCUGAAAUGAGGAAGAUAUGGCCUUUGGAAGACAACUGCAUCACCUUGAGAAAAUUUCGCAAGGAGAUUUUCUUCAUGGUGCGAAAUUUGGACCCUUCAUCUUUCCCAUUUCGAAAAUGCCUUUGAAAUCCUCUAUUUCUCCACGCACGCACCACCGACUUCCCAGAUAUUUUUAGCUUGAUAUUUUCUCAUGUAAAUUCCUUUUGUAACCUUAUAUUCAGCCGACAUAAGGCUUUAUCUUGUAAUUUUGCUAUAUAUAGAGGUGCACAACACCUCCACAAUAUAUUGGGGGAUCGAUCCUCUGUACAUUAACUUAGAAAUAUAUAAAGCUCUGUUUUUCUCUCUUCUCCUGUUCUUCCCCAUUUCUAUUUUCUUAGUAGUCAAACAGCCUCUGAGGGCUUUUCCUCAGAGGAUGAUUGGCUAAAACUUUUAGUUUCUCAAAGUAUGGAUGUUAUGUGAUGGCUUGGAUGCAAUCCCAUGGAAAUUUCUCGCACCUGGAAGGUAAGGUAGUCGUUUUUCAUUAAUGGUUCAUUAAUGCAAAGUUUGGUUUUUAUUUCCUUUGGACAACUUCCAACGGCCAAUACUUGAUAAGCUUUUGGAUUUCUAUCCAUUAGUUAUCUCCUACGAUCUAUUGGAAGGUGAGGUUUUCAAUUCCAAGUUUUGCAUUAAUCCGUUAGAACCAAUUUCAAUGGCCAUUGAAAGGUGAGUUUAUCACUUGGAAUGACUUUGAGUUGCCAAUAUUUGGUAAGCUUUUGGCUUUAGACCAUUAGUUAUCUCUUACGAGCCAUUCAAAGGAAGUCUAAGGUGAAUAACCAUUGAUGAAAUUCACUACCAUUUGUUUUGCCAUUUUAAAGGAUUAAAACUUGAUUUGCUAAAUCCAUACCGGUUCGGGAAGCAAGCAUCACCAUAGUUGCAACCCCAACGCGAGGAGCCUAUCCUGAGAUUUCCAAUUUGCAUAAGAGCUAGAGCAUAGCUAUCCUAUCUUUGAGAAACUUGUUUUUACACCCUUUCAUUUUAGUCUUUAAUGUUAGCUUAGAUUAGUUUAAAUCUUAAACAUUUAUAUCUUCUUUUAAAGCUAACAUCCAUAAGAAAAUCACCUAUUUUCCUAAUUUGAAUAUCACUAGUGUUUGCAAAAACCCUUCCUAGUGAACGAUCCUAGAACCACUAUGCUAUAGUAGCUUGGCUACUUUAGUAAUAGUAUUUAAGGUAUAAAUUUUGUUGAUACGCCUUUAAAGCUAAGCUACCAUGAGUCGCAUCACUGGUGAGUUUUUCUUUUCUCUCUUCCUCUCUCUCUCCAAUCACCAGUGGGCUGUCACAAUUUUCUUUUCCAAAAUGAUCCAUUCCUUUCCCAUGCAUGCUCCAUUUCUUUCCCAUAUGGAGCACGUGGAAUCCUAUGCAAAACCAAUAAUAAAAAUAAUAAAAGGGAAAUAAAAAUACAAAUAAAAGAAAACUAAGGGUUAAAAUAAUAAUAAAAAAACGUGUAACUAAGAAUUAAAAAAAAAUCCAAAAUAUGCAAUUUUAAACGAAAUUUAAAAUAUAGAUCACAUGCAAAACUAAAAUGAAUUACCAACUUAAACAACUUUCUAUAAAAAUAAAUUAAUAAAUAGAUAAAUAAGAAUGAAAUCAAUAUAAUCAUUAAGCUCAUGCAAUUUUCUAAAAAUAAGUAAAUAAAUGAAUAAAACUAAUAAAUUGAGAGAUAAAAAAAAUAAAAAAUCAAACACAUGCAAGCCAUACGAGCUAUGCAACCAUGCAAGCCAUGCAAACCAUGCAUCCAUGUAAAAAAUAAUCUAAAUGGGUCUAGGGUGCCUAAGUGGGCCUAAGGUGAUGCCUAAUGGGCCAAGUGUGCCUAAAUGGGCCUAGGGUGCCUAAGUAGGCCUAGGGUGCUGAAAUGGGCCUAGGGUGCCUAAAUGGGUCUAAGGUACUUAAGUGGGCCUAGGGUGCCUAAAUAGGCCUAAGGUGCCUAAAUGGACCUAGGAUGCCUAAUUGGGCCUAAGGUGCCUAAAUGGGCCUAGGGUGUCUAAAUGGGCCUAGGAUGCCUAUGUGGGCCUAGGAUAGUGCCUAAUGGUCCAAGUGUGCCUAAAUGGGCUUAGGGUACGUAAAUGGGCCUAGGGUGCCUAAAUGGGCGUAGGAUGCCUAUGUGGGCCUAGGAUGGUGCCUGAUGGGCCAAGGGUGCCUGAUGGGCCAAGGGUGCCUAAAUGGGCCAAGGGGGCCUAAGUGGGCUUAGGGUUCCUAAGUGGGCCUAGGGUGCCUAAAUGGGCGUAAGGUGCCUAAAUGGGCCUAGGGUGCCUAAGUGGGCCUAGGGUCCUAAGUGGGCCUAAUGUCAUAGGAUGCUUCAAAUGAGCCUCCUCAUGGGUUUAUAUAAAGCCCAAGAAGCUUCUGGAGACUCCUAGAGCCAUCUACACUAAGCCAUUGGAGGGAAGAGUGUGGAAGGUUCUAGUGAUGCCUAGAAAUGUCCAUACAUCUCUAAACUAUGGUGGAAGGCAUGAGAGGAGUCCAAGGCUUUCUAGAGAAUUCUAGAAAUCUCUUGUACAUAGGGUUGUACAUAGAAUUGUGUAGGGUAUUCUAGAAUCUUCUUGAUUUGUAAGGAACCCUCCAAGGUUCCAGAGAGUUCCAUUGGUGCCUAUAAAUAGGUGAGGGCCUCAUUUGGCCAAGGCACCACCAAAAUCACUUCCUAACCAAACAAGUGAGCUUCCAAGCACUUGUAAAGGCUUCUUUGAGUUAAUAAGAGCUUCCAUUAUUUAAAGAGUUGUCUACUAAGCUUCUUAAGCCUUUGAGUCGUGAGCGCCUUAGCCUAGCAAGCUAAGCAUUGGGGAGCAAGGCUGACUUAGCAAGAUCAAGAGUCUUGACUUGCCUAAGUGCCGCACGAGCUUAGUGAACGACUAAGUCUAUGACACUAAGGUGCUUAAGUGGGCCUAAGGUGCCUAAGUGGGCCUAGGGUGCCUAAAUGGACCUAGGAUGCCUAAUUGGGCCUAAGGUGCCUAAAUGGGCCUAAGAUGUCUAUGUAGGCCUAGGAUGGUGCCUAAUGGGCCAAGUGUGCCUAAAUGGGCCCAAGGUGCCUAAAUGGGCCUAGGGUACCUAAAUGGGCCUAGGAUGCCUAUGUCGGCCUAGGAUGGUGCCUAAUAGGCCAAAUGUGCCUAAAUGAGCCUAGGGUGCCUAAAUGGGCCUAGGUGCUGAAAUGGGCCUAAGGUGGUGCCAAGAGUAUCUAAGUGAGCCUAAGUCUAAAUUAAGGAUGCCAAGGGUCAAAACGGGGUUAGAUAGAUCCCUCAACUAAAGUCCCUAAGGUGACUUAGAAAAUAUAGACUACACGAGUAGUAAUGGGCCACCAGAGAAUUGUUGUAAAGUACUAAACGAACACACAAUAGGGCAUGUGCUAGUAGGACAAAAUGGAGGGUCUACAGGUAUUUAAGCAAUACCCAUUUUUUUUUCAGAAUUUGUGGAAGAAAAUGUGAGAAAUGUGUAUGGAUAUGAAGACUUGUAAUGGCUGAAUUUCAAGGGAGAAAUGAGCUGAAUAUGGUGGUUGUGCAUGCAUAAUUAAUGGCUGAAUUUUAUGGUAAAAGAAUGGUGUUUCGGUGGCUGCAUGUGCAUGAAUAUGGAGGCUGAAUUUUAUGGAAAAAAGAAUGGUGUUUUGGUGGUUGAUAUGAGCAUGAAUUUGGAGGCUGGUUUUGCAGUAAAAUAAUUGGGUUUCGGUGGCUUUAAUGGGAAGGCUUGAGGUUCAAUUCCUUAAUGUUGUUUAAUGUGAAUAUUAUGAUUGCAUAUAGAGACUUCUCAUGGCUUGAUUUUCAAUGGAGAAGACAAUAGUAACUAGCAAUUUGGAUAUCACUUUGCAUCAUCGGAAUUGGAGGUAAGUGUUUAAGACUUUGUUUUUUAUUAUUAUUCUCAAUCUCCAUCUUCUUCUUCUCUUAUUUUGCAUCAUUUGGAUAUGAAACUUUGUCAUGAUAUGUGUGGAUGUAUAGGUCGCACAGAUUGUUGAUCAAUUGAUGAUGAUGAUAUAUUGAUUUUAUGUUGAUGCUUGUUAAGUGAUAAUUGUAUGAUUAGAACUGAUUCUUCUUUAAUUUUUUAUUUUUUUAUUUUACCUAAGUAAGUCAUUGGAUAAACACAUGAAAAUUGGCUUUUAUAUGAAUGUAAAUCCAUUCUCUUUGAUUUUGUGUUUUUGGCUAAUGGAUGCUUAUAGCUCACCUUUCAUGAUACACACACUUGACAUUAAUAGAUGAUCACAAGUUUAGGCUUGAUUAGGCACUUUCUAAGGAUAUUUUUGUAUCAUAACUUGGCACCUAAAAUAGAUCACUAAUGGUCUUGUAUACAACUACACUUUAGGUUAACCUUUGGAUUCACAUUAGUUCACAAGUAAGUUCACAUUCACAUGCUUUCACUUCUUUUGAUUAUUUGGUGUUUGAUAUCUCAUGGGUUUUAAUGCUUUUAAAAAAAAUUUCAACCCUUUCCAUAAAUAAAUCAAUCCUUCAACCUCAUUCAAAAUUCAUGAUUAUGUCAUUAGGUGUGAAAAUGUAUUUUUCAAAAGUCAUGCUACCAAUUUCAAUCGGUACGCAUCUUUCCAUUAAUUUUUAAAUGAAUUUCAAUUUUGAAAUACAUGAAAUAAAUUCAUGACUCCACAUAAAUGGGGUAAUUCCUUACCUUGGUGAGCUUAUCCAUGAUUAGAUGAGGUUAAGAAAGUAUGGAUAAUUUUCAUGGACAUUAAUUUGGGAAGUGGUAAAUCCCUACAUUCAAGUUCUUCAAAAACAAAUAUUUUACUCUCUUUGGGUAUUUUGUUGAACCUUUGGAUGAAAAAUUAAAUUCAGAUUAUUUAAGUCCUUCCUAAAAUUUUUCUAAUAACUAAAUGAUGUUAUAGACUUUCUAAAUGUGCUAAUAUAAUUUUUUUUGAGUUCAAAAUUGUUUUCAAUUUAUAGAUAUAAAUCAAUCUUUCCACAUAUUCAUUUUCACUAUGUUAUGGACACUAGGAAUUUUUUUCUAAAAUUAAAUUAUUUAAUGACUUCCUUAAUUCCUUUUGAUAUUUUUCCUUUAAUCUAGACUUCUUGAAUUUAAUCUUAGGUACCUAAAACACUCAAAACGGAUUUCCCAAGUAGGAGAUAUAAUUUUUUUUUUCUCCUAAUGGUUCUUUUCAAGAGUUAAGGGGGUGUUUAUUUAAUUUAAAUAUGUUAUGUGUGUGAUCAUACUUUAUGCCUAUUUUUCAUGAAAAUUAGACAUAUUGAAUAGGUUGUACAAAAUUGUUUAGGAUUUUCAAGCAUCUCUGAGUCAGUAAAAUAAUUUAACUUUUGCAUGUCAUGGAAAUACGCUUUGUUCUGGACCAAUUGGGAGUUUAUAAAAACUAGUAUUAAAAAAAACAUAAUUAAAUAAUUUUACCUUUUAGGUUGUAAUCUAGACACAUAGAAGAGAUUGCCUAAUUUUUUUCAUAAUGAAAUUACACUUCUAGAUAAUUAGUAGAGACCUAUUUUAGGACUUAGAGGGUUGCUACUUUAUAGUACCUUCUUGAUAUGUAACCAAACCCCUAGACUUGGAUUCAAUUUUUAAAGACAUGUUUUUCCAAAUAAGGAGUCAUUUUUAGUAUUUUAUUUCUUAUUUUGUUUUUCCUUUAAAAUAUAGAAAAAAAUAAGUGGUAACUCCAAUUUUUACAAAAUAAGUUUUGCAUUAAAAAGCAAAUCUCACCAUUGAACAAGAAUGUACGUGACAAAUGCAAGUCUGCACUAUGGUAUACCAUUAGAUUAGUUUUGGUUCCACCCACAAAUAUGUAAGGAACAUCUAAGGCUACCUGCUUCCGUAAGUUUCACUAUGUUGGGCAUUGUAUUAACAAUGUAACAAUUUUUAUUUAUUUAUAAUAUAUGCACAUUUAUUGAAAAAUAUAUAUGCUUUAAGACUUUAUGAAAAAUAACACAUGUGAUACAAGUUUAUUCACUCCUUUUAUUAAAUAUUUUUAGGUAUACUUAGAUUUUGGGAAUAAGUGACAUGUGUAUGAAAGGUGCAAAAGCCUCUUUAUUUCUUUAGCUAAGAGACUAAUUUAAUUAGAUAUUUUUUGUAUUAAUGGUUCACUUUACUACGUACUACUUUUUAGGGGAUUUGUCAUAAUUUAAUUUAUGGAUUUUUGUAUGAAAAGAUAAAUUGCAAUUAAGUUAGAACUUUUUUGUUAGCUUAAUUACUACUUCUCAUGUCAAACCACACAUGUGAAAUGAUUGUGGCGUCCUAACCUCCGGGAUGGGUCACAUCAUUGGCUUACAUUUCCAUGAGAAGGGUUAUGAUAAAUUAGCAAUGAUGCUUCAUGCUAACGUGCCUUCAAAUUUUUAGGUUGAUGUUUUCCUUGUUGCACCAUAUCUCAUCAACAAGAUACCUUCCACAACUUUGAACUUCGACACCUACAUUAAAAGUAAAUAUUUCUCAAAAGGUAUAGCAAACACAAAUUCACCCAGAAGACAUACCCUUUUUGUCUUCCUAGCCUAUUGCUCUGUUCAAAAGAGAUAAAUGCUUGCAUGUAUCCCCAAACAAAUAGAGUUUAUGAAGACAUGUUUCUACUUGCAAACACUAAUGCUGUGCAUGGAAAUCCAUAGCUCAGUUCCUUUCCUAAAAGGAUGAAUGGCUCACACCACCGGGCGAAAUAAGUAUUCAACAGCACUCGAGCCUUCAAGCCAAAUACAGUGUCAUAUUGCCUACUAUUGACAUAACACCUAUCACUAGUAAUCUCCACCCUCCUACAUUUAGGUUGUAAACUUUUUUAAAGAGAUCCUAAACUAAAUUAAAUUGCUUAAUUCUUAAAAUCCAUGUAGAUUCUCUUUAAUUUACAGCAUGGAUGUAAUAAGUCUAACAGGCCCUUCCUCUUUUGUCAUUCUCUUUAGCUCCUGUUCAAACCUUUCCAUGACUGGCGGAGGCAGGCAUAUAGGUAUAACAUUCCCUUCUUCUCCUUUGCUGUUCCUGAACCGCAUACAGAAGCUAAUAUUAGAUAAAGCCCUAGCAACCCCACCAUAGACUGGCUUCCCCCACCCGAAGUCGAUCUCUCCAAUCCCGGCACGUGUGACAUCUGAAAUAAGAUAGUUCCCCGGCUGCGUAAAUGAGGGACGGCCCUUGAUGACCAUAUGAUCUGCCACUGAUUUCACAUACUCUUGGCUCAUUUCCGCCUUGGCUUUCUUCAGUAACCUUAUCGCAUAUUCCAAUGGGUUUUUACAUAGCAUUCCAGCCUUAGUAAUUGAAGCUGGAUACACAAAAGCAUUUCCGUAGUAUCCUGGAGGCAGAUCGAAACCGCGCUUGCCUCGCAUAUUGAUUAAGCAUGAAAUGCGAACAACUUCAUCAGGGUCUACUGCAAAUGCAAUUGUGCGGCAUCUCCAUACAUACGCUAUUAGAACCUCAAACGUCGAGCAGGCACCGAGGCUUGCAGGAAGUCGGUUCCUAAGUGCUCUUAUCUCCUUGGGGCCAAAGAAGAAUGAUCGAUGAACCAAAUUAUUUUCGUCCAUGGUCAUUAGUGUGCCCUUGGUAUUGGUUACCUCCUCGUAUUCAUGAUGUAUACGGGUAAUUCGUGGCGGAUUUCGGGCAUUUAACAGCUCUCUUUGCCAUAUGGGCAGCAGAGAUGGCACAGACAGACCUUGAGCCAUCUCGCUUAUGGCGUCGAGGAAUUGGACCAAGCCAGGACCAUCACUCAUUGUGUGGUUUAGGCGCAAUGCAAAUAUAAAUCCUCCACACCUCAAUCGGGUCACCUACGUUGUACCAAGAUUUAUUUAUAAAUGUAUGCUUUAGCAACAUCCAAUGAUUUGUCUUAUUAAACUUAACAUUUAUUACUUAAUAACUUAAGUUUAUUAAUUUAAAUUGUUAACUUAAAUCUUAUUAUCUAAAUAUUAGGUUAUUUGAUAAAAUUUAUUUCAAAUCAUCAAAUUGACAUAUUUACCCUCCUUAAUUUUGAUUAAUAUUUAUUCUAAUUGACUUUAAUUUAUAUUUAUUUUCAUUAAUUUUAAGUAAUAAAUAUAUUUAUAAAACAUUCAUAUUUAUAUUAUUGUAGAUAUCUAAAAAUAACUAUAAAAUAUUUAUUAUAAAAAGUGGUUUCAAAAAGUUAUUUUUAGUAUUCCAGAAAACUAAAUGUUUUGACUUUUUCUAUUCCAUUAAAAAUUAAAAAAUAAGUAAUAAGUAAAAAAAAAUUAAAAACAAAUCAUCUAAAAUGUGAAAGUAAAUUACAUUUAACAUUAAGUUAAAUAAAUAAAUAAAAACAAAUACCACUUUAGUUAAAUAAGUUAUUUUAUCAAAUAUCAUUGAUGAUGGAGAAUAUUUACCUGAAUUAAGAUAAGAGGAGAACCAAGAAUUCCCCCAGAGCCAGGGACAUCAUACAGAAGCUCCUCGAAGCAGGGACACAUUGGUUGAAUUGCAUCACCAAGAUUCUCAAGUGUGGUAUCGGCAUCGGCUUCAAUGAACAAGACCCCUUCACCGGUGCAGUCCACCAUGAGUUUUCUAUUAUCCCCUUCAAUCAGCCUGCCUGCAAAUGGGUAGUAGUAAACAAGCGCCUUGCCUAGAGCUUCUUUAAUGACCUUUGCAGGGUCUUUUCCUUUCAUUAAAGGAUUGUUCGGGUAAAACAUUAUCACAGGAAUUUGAAAGCGAAGGCCUUCUUGAUCAUCUAAAUCAGAAAGCUGCUUCACCUCUCGUGGGGUAGGGUUUGUAGGCCGAACAAACUCUGGAGCACGCCGUUUAACCGAGAAUACUAGAGGAGACGAUGAUGAUGCCAUGUCCUUCCAGGCUAGGAGUUUGUUGAUAGAAUAUAGAAAAAAUGAUAAAGAGAAAAUUGAAGGAGUUUAUGUGAUGGUCUGCUUUGAGAAGAAGGUAGCUGAUAUUUAUAGCCUAUUGCUGCACUCCAAUAACGCGGCGGAGCAUCUUUCUCAGCCUACGACACGGUUCAGAUAAGAGGUAGACUUUUAGUUGUGUUUCACCUGUUUUUUUUCUCUCCAGGCCCCACUAUCUUAAUGCACCUAAAAUAUCAUUACUACUCUUUUCUUCUGCACCACACCUUUUUUUGUCUUCUUUUCUCAUAUUUUUUUUUCAUCUCUUCAACAAAAGUCUAAAUUCAAAGCUUAUUCUCCCAGGUUUGUUUGUGAUCCAAAAAGUGUUUAAAUUAAGUUCAAAGUACAUUUCAACCUCUUUUGUAGAUUUUAGUUUAUGUUCAUAUACAUUAUAAUAAUGUUUGUUUUAUAUAAAUGUAUUUUAAAGGCUAUUAAUUAUUUAUAAAACUAUUAACAAAUGUUUAUUAUAAAAAUAGUUAGGGAAGAUUUAGGAAUUAUUUAGAAAAUAUUUAUUAUAAGGGCUAUCCAUUGGCUUAAUUAUGUGUUUGUUUCACGACCCCCUUAAAAGCCAUGGUCCUUUCCUCUACGUUAUGUCUCUUUCAAUGUCAGCACGAAAAUAGUUAGGGAAGAUUUAGGAAUUAUUUAGAAAAUAUUUAUUAUAAGGGCUAUCCAUUGGCUUAAUUAUGUGUUUGUUUCACGACCCCCUUAAAAGCCAUGGUCCUUUCCUCUACGUUAUGUCUCUUUCAAUGUCAGCACGGUCCCCUCCUAUCAUAAAAUCACUAGAAAUUAUUGUACUCCAUUGUGCAAUACAUGUCCUUCUCUCUCUCUCUCCCCCUCUCUCUCUCUCUCUUUCUCUUUGUACACAUACAAAAUUUCAGUUAAUUAAAUUAUUAUUAAAUUCCUCUUUAAAAUUUUGAUUUCUUGGUGAAAUUUGAAAGACUACAAAAUUAAAUUUUACAAAACAAAAACAAAUAUGUCAAUUGAAGUUCAAAAGAGAAUUAUAAAUAAAUAUUUUUUUAUAGGUAAAUUUCUUGAACAAAAGAAACAAAUAUUUUUAUUAAAAUAAAAAAAAGAAUUAAAAAUAAAUAAAUAUUCUUUUGUUAGCAAAUCUCUUUAAUAUGGAAGAUAAGUUUCUAAAAUCAAAAUGUCAAAUUCUUUGAAUUAAACAAAUUCAAUCUUGGGAAGUCCAAAUUUAAUUCUCUAACUUCACCAAUAAAUAAUAAUGACUUCCUUCAAUGGAGGGAAUCAAUAAAAUAAUUUCAUACAAGGAAAAAUGUCUUCACAAAAAAAAAAAAUGUUUCAUAAAAUUUCUUUGUAAGUUCGAGAAAUUAUAAAAGCAUUAUAAAUGUGAUCUUGUCUUUUGACAAAGUCAUUUGGGAAUAAGUCAUUUUAAACCCUAAAUUGAUUUUCAAAGCAAAGAAACACUUCAUCAUUGUCUAUUAAAUUAUGAUCAAAGUAAAGGAAUGAGAGAAAAAAAAUAUUCUUUUGUAAAGAAUAUUAUCUAAGAGUUUGUACCCCACAAUUAUUUUAAUAAAAACAAUUGUUAGCAUAUUUUUUCUAUUAUUUUAAUUGUUUCACAAGACUUCAAACAAUUUGUACGUAUAAAUUUAUGGCAAGGAAAGUUGAUAGAAUUUUCUUUUGGUUUAGUUUUUUAGGAAAAUGUUGAGAACUAUAAAAAUUAAAGGCAUGUUUGAUAAGUGUUUUCAAAAACAAUUUUGAAAAAUGGUUUUUGAGAAUGAUUUUUAAAAAUUAUUCUUUGAUUUUUAUAGAACAAAAGUUUAUUUGAAAACUUAAAAUGUUUUCAACCUGUUCUUAAUAUUUUUAAACAUGUUUUAAAAAUAAUUUUUAUAUUUAGUAUUUUAUUUUUAAUCAUUCUACAUAUUUGUAUAAUUAUUUCUUAAAAUAAUCCUUAAAAAACAAGUUAAAACAAUAGAAAACUACAAAAAAAUGUUAUCUAAAAAUACUUUAUUUUCUAUUUUUUUUAAAAAAAAAAUUUGAUUAUCUAAUAUGUUUUCUGUGUUUUUUUUUUAACAACAAAAUACUAUUCUAAAAAAUAUUUCCAAUUAAGCACUAAAUCUUUUAGAAUACCCUGUCCCCAAACUUUCAUCACCCUUUUUAUAAGAAAAAUGGGAAGAAAUUCUUUUAACAUUUUCCUUUAUUCUUACAUUUUUUUCCACGUUAUCCAUAGAUAAUAAAAUCAUUUCCCUUACCAUUUUUAGCUUCUUAAAAGAAUAAAUAGUACAUAUAACAAAUGCUCGCUCAAUGGUUCCCAAUCUUUUCUCACUUUCUUUCAUUGGUAAAUGAGGAAAAUUGGUUAUGCAAUGCAUUAAAUUUAGCAGUUUGCAACAAUAUAUUAAUCUUGUAUAAUAUAUAUUUUUUUUUAUAAAUUGCAAAAAUAUAUAUGUCAAUUUAUUUAUAUUUUUUCUUAGAAACCAAAUGGUGAUUAUUCUUACUUUAUUUAUUUUUAUAUAUUUUUAAUUGGAGUGUUUUCUAUGUCACAUGUUGAUCUUGCAAAUCAUCAGGUUCUCUUAAAAAGCUCCUCAUAUUUGGAAAUCCACACACUGCAAAAAACCAUUAGAUAUCAAAGUUAUACUCUUCAUGACAUUCUUCAUGGUAAGUUAUAUUCAAAUUCAACAACAUAAAGUUUAUACCAAAUUAGAUAUGAAAGUAAAUUACAUUCGGUAUUAAGUUAAAAAUAAAUAAAUACUAUCUAAAUUAAUUAUUUUAACUUGAUAAUUAAAGUCAAAAAUAAUUUUAAGUUAUAAUAGUAAGUUAUUUAAUCAAAUAUCAUUUUUCGGUUAUUUAUUACAAAUGUUUUAAAAUAUUUAUUACGAUUACUAAGACAUUGAAAAGAAAAAAUGGGGGAAGAAAACCAAGAAGAUGAGUAUGCAUUAAUUUGAAAUGGGGUGUUUAGUCUUUCUAAUGGAUAUUUGUAUUAAAAAAAAUGAUACCUAAAGAAAUUAAAUUAGGUGGAUACAAAUAUAAAUUAAAAAAAAAAGGAAAAUCCCAAGAUAUAUGCUGAAAUUAUAACUUGUAAUAAAUGUCAAAAUCACCCUUAUGCUCAUUUUGUUCAAAAGUCUAUAAAGUAAUCUAAUUAUCUAUUUUACCUAAAAUUAGUUAGUGAGUUGUACCCAUCAAAAUUGUAAACAAACCUCGAUUUGUUUCAUGAUAUUCAAGUAUAAAAAUAUCAUUUUCUUUAAUAUUAUUUUUCUUCUUUGAAUAUUUUUUAAAAAAUCAAAAUUAUUUUUUUAUAUUUGAACUUCAUUGAAAAUGUGAAGAAAUAAUAAUAAUAAUAAAAAUGAAGAAAAAUUCUAAAAAUUGUCUUCCUCAUUUUUCUUAUACUCAAACGUGGAAUCCGAGUGUCAUAUCAUAUUGAGUUUGUGGAAGCUAACCCACUUACACAGCCCGAGAACCCAUCAGUAGUUGUCAUACCCAUUAAAAGCCAUGGUCCUUGCCUCUACGUUAUGUCUCUUCCAAUGUCAACAUUGUCCCCUCCUAUCAUAAAAUCACCAGAAAUUAUUGUACUCCAUCGUGCAAUAAAUUCCCUCUUGAUGGUCCAUAUAUAUUCAACAUGUGACAUACAAUUCAAAUGUACACAUACAAAAUUUUAUUUAAUUAAAUUAUUAUUAAAUUCCUCUUUAAAAUUAUGAUUUCUUAAUUCAACAAAAUUCAAGUUUAAUAAGUGAUGGUCCAUAUAUAUUGAACAUGUGACAUAUAAUUCAAAAAAGGAUACUUAGUGAAAUUUGAAAGACUGGAAAAUUAAGUCUUACAAAAAGAAACAAAUAUGUCAAUUGAAGUUCUAAAGAGAAUUAUAAUUAAAUAUUUUCCUGUUGAUAAAUUUUUUGAACAAAUUAAAAGAAACAAAUCUUCUAAUUAAAAUAAAAAGAAUUAAAAAUAAAUAAAUAUUCUCUUAUUAGCAAAUCUCUUUAAUAUAGAUAUCAAGUUUCUAAAAUCAAAAAGUCAAAUUCUUUGAAUUAAACAAAUUAAAUUUUGAGGAGUCUAAAUUUAAUUCUCUAACUUCACCAAUAAAUAAUAAUGACUUUCUUCAAUGAAGGGGAUCGGCAAAACAAUUUCAUACAGGAAAAAAGUCUUCGCAAAAAGAAAAAGGUUUCAUAAAAUUUCUUUGUAAGUUUGAGAAAUUAUAAAAGCACUAUACAUGUGAUCUUUGCCUUUCAACAAAGUAAUUUGGGAAUAAGUCACUCUAAGCCCUUAAUUGAUUUUCAAAACAAAUAAAACACUUCGUCAUUGUCUAUUAGAUUGUGAUGAAAGUAAAGGAAUGAGAAGAAAAAUAUUCUUUUGUAAAUAAUAUUAUCAAUGAGUUUGUACCCCACAACUAUUUUAAUAAAAAUAAUUGUUAGCAUAUUUUUUCCAUUAUUUUACUUGUUUAGCAAGACUUCACACAAUUUGUACUUAUAAAUUUAUGGCAUGCUCGAUGGGACAUCUUUGUCUCUCAUCCCUUUUGCUAAAAAAAUUGAUCAUUAUUAAUGCUAUGACAUCCAAAAAGAUUCAAAUUGUGCAUGUCAAUAAAGAGUAAUGACAAGAUUGUCAUUGCUUAAUCAACACACAACACUACUACAAGCCUUAUGACUCAUAACAAAGCAAAAUCAACUACUGUAGUUUCAGCAAAGUAAGCAAGUGAAAAUAUUUGUUUGUUAAGUACUAAUGCCAUUCAAUAUGUUAUAUAAGUGACCAAGCAUUGGUCUCACUACCUUUAUUAUCAAUUUGUCCCAGUCAAGAUUGGGUUUGCAUUCCCUAGUAGAUCUUCCAUAAACAACUAAUUUCAAUGGGGGUCCCCAUCAAAAUUCCACUUAGUUCUAAACUCUUUCACCUUACAUUUUUUGAAAAAAUUACAUUCAAGCCUUCUAGUGUGGAUAGUUACUCUCAUCAAAACAUGAUGGAUUAUUAAUGUAAGAACCCACCUUUGUUUAUUCCAUACUGGUUUAGCAGGAUUGAGAGAAAAAAAUCAAAAUUGUUAUUUAAUAGCUUACUCUAAUACUAAUUAAAAAACCGCUUAUCUAGUAGGGUAACACUAGAAGAGGGUGAAUGGAUGAUUUCUAAAGAUUGUUGUAUAGGAAUUGAAAUCUUAACCCAAUUUAAAUAAUGAGUGGGAAUUAAGCCAAAUUAAAGCAAUUGAGUCCUGUAGGAGAUUAUGAGUAGGGAAUAGAACAUACACAAAACAGACAAAUGAUUUUACAUGGGAAACGUCUACACCAAUUGUGGAGAUAAAAACCAUAGUGUUGAGGACCUCCAAUCUAACAAUCCACCAUAUGAGAUCAAGAUACAAAAAUUUACCUUGUUACUUAUUCUAAAGACUUACUCUCUAGUACCUAUAUCGUGAUCCAUGUCCCCGGCAUAACACCUCCAAUGCUCUAGUGGAUUCACCUUAGCCUCCUUCCAACAACCCGAAAAAUGAAUCAACUAACCUUGAGAGUUUAGUGCCAAGAAUGAUAGGGCAAUAAUAUAUAUAUAUAUAUAUAUAUAUAGAUUAUGAAACCUAAAGGAUUGAAAUAGGAUUAUUGAUUAAAAAAUAAACCAUGAAUUUCCAACAAGAAACACUACUAAAGCAUGGCAAAAUCAAAACAACAGCUCAAGUGGACCUAACCAUCGCUCAAGCACCUUGAGCAUUCAAGCACUUAUUUAAACAUUUGAGCGGUGGCUCCAGCACUCGAGCAAUUUAGCUAGUGUUUGAGUGGUCCUGUUUUAUCAAAAGUAAAAAAUAAAAAAUUUUAAACCAAUUUUGAGAAACUAAUCCAAUUCAUGCCUUAACCUAACUUGUCUCUAACAAACAUUUUCAAACUUACCUAUGACAGUCUAGUUGAAUGAUCAACAACCUCGAGUCUUCAAUGGAGAGUAAGUCACAUCUAAAAGGAUUCCUAUGCCAUAAUGAAAAGGAAUAAAAUUGUCAAUAUAUAAAACUGUCAUAGCAUACGCAUUAAGAACUUGAGUUUUCAAGUAUAAAAUAGACAAGGGUGAAAUUCUAGUGGACUUGGAUUAUUUCCAAAAUAUCAAAUUUUAGGUACACUAGAGUGCUUCCAACACUAGAAAAAAUUAGAAACUUUACCGAACACAAUUUUGGAAACUCGACCUUGGAACGUUUAAGCAUUGGAUAAGUGCACUUGAGCACUUCCAACACUUGAAUGCCUCUUGCUAAUGUUCAACCACAACAAUUGAGUGCCCAAUGCAUUAAGUGUUACAUCUGAGUGCUCGAGGCAUUGAGUGUCAGAUCUAGCCUAUCUAGGUGCUUGAGCACUCAAUCUCAAGUCCGUUUUUAAUUAACGUUUAAAAGCAUUCAAUCUAUUAUUCCCUAGAGUCUAUUUUAUGUCGGAUGUUAAAAGUCAUCAUCCUUUCAUAGCUCUCUAUACUUACCCUAUGUUAUUCCUUGUUGACUCUAUAGGCUCCUCGAAUCUUCAACGGAAUGUAAGAGGAAAAUAUAAAAAGUCCUAAACUGGAAUGAAUAGAAAAAAAAAUCCCAAUCUAAUGCACUAACAAAAUGCAAAAAUGCUAAGGAAAAACAAUUUUGUUAUAUUGGUUUACUAUAAAAUAAAAUUUAAAAAAAAACAUAAAAGAAAAUUAAAUAUAAUUAAAACGAGUUAAAAACUUUUGCCUUUUUAAAUUAUUUAAUCUUUGUAUAAAAAGAGUAAAAAUAAGUUAAAUGAGUUUAAAGUAGUAUAUAAAAAUAAUAUAUUUAAUUUUAAAUUUAUUUAUUAUUUUCCUUCACUGUUUUUUCUUCUUUUUUUUUUUCCCUCUAUUUUCUUUCUCUUAAAUUUUCUAACAACUAAACAUAGUCUAAUAGUAUCUAUGGAAUUUCUAUACCUUUCUUUUUCUUAAUCACUUAGUAGCACAAUUAUUAUCUCGAUCACAGGAAUAAUGGCAGCCGCUGAUGAGGUCUUUUUAUGUUUUGAAUUUGCAAUCCAUUUUAAUUAUCUUGUUUUCUUCGUUCCUUUGGGGAAGAAAAUUGUAGGAGAAAUAUAAAAACAAGAAGGUAAGGAAAAUUUAUAAAUUUUUCUUUUAUUUGGUUAGAUACGAAAAAGAAAAUUAAAUUAUUGACCGAUAUAUUUACCCUUGAAUUUCAUCUUUUGUUAAAGAAAAAGGCAGGGAGGAAAAUCUUUUAACAUCAUUCCUUCUCUUUUCCUUAACAUUUUUUUCACUUUUUUUUUACCAUAAUUGCUCAAGGAAAAUUAUUUGGCAAAAGUGUGUUUCCAUGCAUUUAAAUUAAAAAAAAAUCAUAAAUAGGAACCCAACUUUAUAAAGUACAAAUUUCAAGCAGUUGUCUAAAAAUAAUUAGCAUUUCAUGGUCUUGGUCAAAGGUACUACCUAUAACCAUUAAAGUAUACUACCUUUUAAUGAUAUAUAUGUAUAUAUAUAUAUAUACACUAUCUUUGACCAUUCAGAUAUACUAAGCUUUAAUGAUAGAUGUACUAUUUGUUGAGAUAUUAGGAAUGUUUAGACAUUAGGAAAGUUGAGAUAUUAGGAAUGUUGAGAUAUUAGGAUAUUAGUUGUUCUUUCCUUAUAUAAUUCAUUCCUUGUAUCAUUCUUUCCCAUUCUUAGAAUGAUGAUUACCCUUUAUAUAUACUCUGUACAUGAACGAAUGAAAUAAUUAAUGAAAAACUAUCAUUCAUCCAUUUGAAGACUAUCUUUUAUCAUCUUAAGCAUUACCUUUGACCAUCUUAGGUACUACCUUUGAUUGGUGAAUAUAUAAAAUUUGAAUUUUUUUUAAAAGGUUCCUAUUUUAUGAUUAUUUUCAUACAAGUGCAUGGAAAUCCAGGAGAUUCCUUCCAUUAGUGGAAACUUAUGGGACAAGUCACUACCUUCUAACAAUUUUAUGGUUGUUGUAUUGUGAAGGCAAGCAAAAUAUGCCCAAGUAGUCUUGGUAUUGGUUGGUUAGAGUUGGUGUAAAAAUAAAAAGAGUUCUUUACUAUCAAUAAAGCUUGUUUUCUCUUUAGGCCCAUCUAAUUCCUUUAUCCCUUUCUUGAAUUGUUUCUCGAUUUGUUUAGAAAAGAAACGAGAGAGUAUUUCCCAUUGUUAAACUAGUACCAUAUAAGAUUAAGUUAGUUCCGCUUUGGUUGUGAAGUGCUGCCUCACUUUUUCCAAAUUUUUUUCCUCAUUUUUUCCUUAAUAUCCUUAAUACUUUAUAGGAAGUAUGAUAGAUAAUUUAAACCACUUAGUGGUAAGUCAAAAGGAAACAAAACAACCGCUCAAGUUCAGGCACAAGUCAAUAACCCUGGAUUAGAAAUAAGAUGUGUAUGAAACACUGUACAAAGUCUGUUGACUUUUUGUUCCUAAUUUCUAUAAAUACAAGAAAUGACUGAAAAAGAUAGCUCAUCUAGGGACUUCUAUGACGGAAGAGUCAAAUUUUAAUAGACUUAUACAAAGUUCUAAUUUUAUAGUAUUUUAUCAUUAUACAAUUAUAAUUGAAAUAGAAUAUUUCUUUUAAAAUUAUUUAAUCUUUAUAUAAAAGCGUUAAAUAAGUGAAAAAACUUUGAAGUAAUAAUUAAAAUAAUUUAUUGACUUUAAAAUUAUUUUUUAUUUUUCUUAACUUUUUCUUUCUUUUACUUUUCCUUAUUAUUUUCUUUUAUUUGCAUAUUUUUUUCUAACUUUUCAAGAAUUAAAUAUGGCCUAAGUUUCCAUAGAUAAAAUGCAUUAAUCAAAUAUAGGUAAAUAAAAAACAAAAAGAUACACUUCACUUGAUUUUUUUAAGACUCAAUUAAGUUGUUGAUUGAAAGGGUGUAUGGUAAAACUUAAUACUUACAACUUAAAGACUUUGAUUUUAAGUUACGUUAUACUUAAGUGGUUGACUUAAAGCUUAUUAUCUAAUUUUUAUUUUAAGUAUUAAAGAUGUUUGAUAAAAUUAAUUUAAAACUUAUUUUAAAGCAUCAAAAUGACAUAUUUUUCAUCAUAAAUUAUAACUAGGGCAUAGGAGGUCGAGUAACAAUGGAGGUCAUGGAAUAGCAAAAGAGAUCAUGAAGGUAUUAAGGACAAAUGGUCGGGAUAAAAAAAAAAAAAAAAAAAAAAGUAAAAUGAAGAUGUGGCCUUCUGAAAAAAUGAAUUAUUUUUAUUUAUUACUUAAAGUUAUUUUUUACUUAAGUCAUAUUAUUAAGUUAUUUUACAACAUAUACUUAAUAUAGUUAACGACUUAAAUUAAGUUAUUAAGUCAUUUUAAAUUAUUAAAUUGAUUUACCAAACACUCAUUAAGUUAAAAUAGUUUUAAAAUAUUUUUUAAUAUUAGUUAGAAAGUUAUCAAUAUUUUAGAUCAUUUUUUAUAUUCAUUUUAUCUUCUUUAUUUUUAUCAAAAAGUACUUUUUGGAAGCCAAACGUAACCUUUAUCUAUCUAUUAACAAACAAUAUUCAAAUGAAAUCUUUAAAUGUGAUGUUUUUUAACCCCUUCUCAAUAAUAUUCACAUGCUGCAUAGUGGUGUAAAGGAGGACAAAAAGUGUACCAGUUGUAUCUUGUGGCCUGAAUCACUUUACUUUCUUAAAAGAACAUGUGAAACACAACAAAAAAUUUGUCCUUCGUCCGGGCUGAAACCAAAUAUUAUACCUAAUCUAAAAGUAGUAUUAUUUGUAGAAUAUUUACAUAAUCACAUAAAGUAAUCAUACAUGAUUAAAGGAUACUAACAUAGAAAAUCACUAUAAAGAACAUACCUGUUUGAGCCAUCAUAAUAAAACAAGUGAUUGAUUGUUGCAACCAAGUCUUCCCCUCUAUGAUCUUGAUAACAACUAUUAUGGCUUUAUGGGAAAACAGAAAGACCCUUUAUCUAGAUUAGAGAGGGGACUUAGCAUAACUCAAUAUUGGGUUCUCAUUGGGCCCUCCCAUAAUGGGCUUCAAUGAGAUCCAUAGCCUACACUUGCCACUCAACUGAGCUUCUACUCAAAAGACGCAAAACCCAAUCCAAAUAUGAUCACUAGUUAAUUGGGCUCAUUAUAUAAUAGACUAUCCAUUAACCCAUUUUUUUCAAAUACAAAUUAUUCAAUUAGUGUUAGCCCAUAUAAAAAUUUUCCAACAUUCUCCCACUUGGGCUACAUUAAUUGUUUUUUGAGGAUUCAUUAAAUUCAUUUUGAAAAUAAGACUCUCGGGUUAGGUACAGAAAAGUUUAUUUUGUGUGGCCAUACUUUUUUUAAAGAAAUGAUAGUCUCUAAGUAACAUCUUGAUAAACUUAUCUAGUCCAACAUGGUCUUAAUAUUUGACUAUGAUGGUCUAUAUGUUAAUCUCAACAAACAUAAUGACCCUUAUAGUCACGAAUAUUUAUAACCAUAUCGACAUGGAUCGUAAACCCAAUAGUGUAGUAAGAAAUCAAUGGCAACAUGUGAUCAUCAUCUAUAUGCAUUGUUUCUUAUCAGUCCUCAUUACAAUUUAUCGGCAAAAUGAAAUUGUAAUUGCAAUUUCUCAACAAAAUGAAAUUGCUGCAAUUUCUAAACAAUAUGAAAUUGCUUGACUUUAACAAGUCAUAUGUCACCAACAGUGCACCACAAGAUCUUAAAAUAGUGGUAUUUGUGACAUCCAAUAGUAUACAACUAUAAUUCUUAAGGUUCAAUAUCUUAAGAUACCAUGUUGUAUGAAAUUCAAUUACGACAUGCUAUAAUAUAAUACUUAAUAAUGAUGAUCAUAAUAAAAAGAUUUUAAUUUUGCAAGUCGCAUAACAAUAAUGAUUAAUGUUUACACAAAACAAUAAUUGAAAUAAGGGAAAUCACAAAAGCUCCCACUAAACCAAAGAAUCAAAAGAUUUAAUGACACCCAUAUUCACAACAUGUUCCUUGAACGUUAUAGGCUUUAAACCUUUGGUUAGAGGAUCAGCUAGCAUGGACUCAGUUCUUAUGUGCUCAAUUACAAUAUCUCCUUUCUUCACUAAGUCCUUAACUGUAAGGUACUUGAUUUCUAUAUCCUUAGAACUCGUAUUGAUCUUAUUGUUCUUGGAGUAGAACACAACUGCAUUAUUGUCUCAAUAAAUCACAAUGGGUCGAAAGAUGGAAUCAACAACUUGCAACUUUGAAAUCAGAUUUCUUAGCCAAACAACUUGAGAUGAUGCACCAUAACAAGCUACAAACUCAGCAUAAAUGAUUGAGGAUGCAAUUAGGCUCUAUUUGACAAUUUUCCAUGAAAUGGCUCUACCAACUAACAUAAAAAUGUAUCCUAAAGUAGAUUUGUGAUCAUCAGAACAACUGCCCAAAUAAGAAUCUGAGCAUACAACUACCUCAAGAUUAUCCACCCUCCUAUACACAAGCAUAAAAUCCUUCGUUCUUUAUAGAUAUCUCAUGACUUUCUUUGCAGCAACCCAAUGAUCAUGUCUAGGGUUCGAUAAAUAUCUACCAAGAACAUUAACAAUGAAGGUGAUAUAAGGUCUCAUACAUACUUGUGCAUACAUCAAGCUACCAACAACACUAGCAUAAGGAAUAGUCUUUAUGGCAUCCUUUUCCAAAUCAAUCUUUGGACACUGUUCAUUACUGAGUUUAUCUUCCUUCACAAUAGGUACAUCACCAAUUUUGCAUGUCUGCAUAUUUAAUCUUUUAAGCACACGAUUGAUAUAGGCUCUCUGAGAUAGCCUAAGAAGGUUUUGAGAUCUAUCACGAUAAAUCUCAAUACCCAACAUAAAAUAUGCUUCUCUGAGAUCUUUCAUGUUAAAAUUAGUAGACAAAAUACGCUUGGUAUCAUUCAAGAGAUUCACAUCGCUACUAGUAAGUAGAAUAUCAUCGAUAUAGAGAACCAUGAAAAUGUACUUGCUCCCACUGACUUUCAUGUAAAGGCCCUAAUCAAACUUGUUCUCUAUAAAACCAAAAGACGUCACAAUUUUGUCAAAUUUCAAGUACCACUAAUGAGAAGCUUGCUUGAGACCAUAAAUUGACCUUUUCAAUCUGCAUACCAUGUUCUCUUUCCCAUUUGCCUUAAAUUCUUUAGGUUGUGACAUGUAGACUUCCUCACUCAAAUCACCAUUGAGAAAAGUUGUCUUAACAUCCAUGUGAUGAAGCUCUAAGUCAAAAUGAGCUACUAACGCCAUAAUUAGCCUAAAGGAAUCUUUGGUAGAGACUAGUGAGAAAGUCUUUGUGAAAUCAAUGCCCUCUCACCGUGUAUACCCUUUAGCAACCAAUCCAGCCUUGUAUCUUUCAACAUUUCCUUUGUUGUCUCUUUUGGUCUUGAAUACCCAUUUGCAUCCAAUGAGUUUAUAUCAUUUGGGAAGAUCAACAAGUUCCCAAACAUCAUUUGUUUGACAUAGACUGCAUCUCAUCUCUCAUGGCAAUCAACCAUUCAUUUGCCUUAUCACUAUUGAGAGCUUCACGAUAAGUAGUAGGGUUCACUUUUUUUCCAAUGUCAUAGUCUCCCUCUUCGAGGCAAACAUAAUAAUCAUUCAAAAAGGCAGACCUUCUAGUUCUUUGCGAUUUCCUCAUUUCCACAGGAGGAAUCUCAUUUACAAUAGGGGUUAUUUCGACAGUGGGGAAAUUGACAAUAGCAACUCCUUGCUGAAUCCCAGAAUCAAAAGCUCCAACAUCAAGGUUGAUGUCUGAGACUGACAAAGGUAAAGAAAUAACAUCCAUGGGUUCCACUCUUUCAUUGGAUUGAGAGGGUAUACUAUCAACAACAUCUAACUCUAAAAACUUUGCCACUUGAGGCUCAACAACUCUAGUGCCAUGAGUUGAACAAUAAAACUUGUAUCCUUUUAAGUGACUAAGAUACGUAAUAAAGUAGUACCUAGUAGUUCUUGAAUUUGUCUUCUUUAAAGAAGGAUAAUAGAUUUUCACCUUAGUUGGACAUCCCCGUACUUUAAAAGGAUUCAAACUAGGUUUUCUGCCUGUCCAUAGUUCAAAUAGUGUUUUAGGCACAGACUUACUAGGAACACGGUUCAGAAUGUAGGUUGUUGUUUUAAUGGCUUCACCCCAUAAGUAUUCUGGCAAAUUUGAUUUACUCAUCAUGCUCAUUUUCAUUUCCAUAAGAGUGCGGUUACACUUUUCUGCCAUGCCAUUUUGUUCAGGACUACCAGGCAUAGUAUACUAAGCAACAAUACCAUUAUCUUGUAAGUACCUUGCAAAAAGUCCCUUUUGUUGUCCAGCGUCACUAUGCUUCCCAUAAUACUCACCACCUUGAUCAGAUCUUACAAUCUUGAUGACUUUUCCUAGUUGUUUCUCAACUUCAGUUCGGAAGACUUUGAACAUUUCAAGAGCAUCUGCCUUUUCUUUUAUCAAAUAUACAUAGUCAUAUCAGGAGAAAUCAUCAAUGAAUGUAAUGAAGUACUUGUUGCCACACAAGGUAGUAGAGUAAGGCCCACUAAUGUCUGUAUGAACAAUCUCCAACAAAUUUUGACUACGAGUUAUACCCUUUUUCUUAGUCUUUGUCAAUUUUCCUUUCACACAAUCAGCACAAAUUUCUAAGUCAUCAGAAUCAAGGCGAGGAAGAAUCCCAUAACUAAUUAAGCGUUCUACUCGUUCUUUAGAUAUGUGCCUCAAACACUUAUGCCAUAACAAUGAAGAUCUUUUCUUAGUCAAAGGUCUUUUAGCAACACUGUUUUCAACAUUGUAAGAACAAGCAGAUAACAACGACAAUCUAUAAAGCCCGUCAGACAAAACACCAUUGCCAAUCACUUUAGAGUCAUAAAUCACCUCAACUCUUUUAUUUGCAAAAGUGAAACUAUAUCCAGCUUUGUCGAGUACUGAAAGGGAAAUUAAAUUCCUUCUAAACCAAGGUACACAAAAAACAUUGUCCAAAACAAGUUGAAAACCAGAAUCUAAUUCUAAAACAACAAUCCGAAUAUGCUCAACAUCAAUCUCGAUGUCACUUCCAACUUUAAACUUUGACUCUUUUUCACUUGGCUUCCUCAAAUUUCUUAUCCCCUAUAAAAAAGUUGCAACAUGAACAAUAGCACCACUGUCAAGCCACCAUGAAUCUAAAGGAAUAUUAACUAAAUUAGAUUCAAAACAGACAUAGGCAGAUAACAUACCCUGUUCCUUCUUUUUCUUCUCUAGCCAAUUCUUAAACUUAAAGCAAUCGACCCUCUUGUGACCUUUUUUGUUGCAGUGAUAACACUUCAGGUUUGUGUUAUUGGCAUUUCCAUUUCCAUUUUUCUGUUUCUCACUCCCACUCUUCUUGAAAUUCUUGCUUUUCUUAUGACUAUGGAAAUUGGGCUUUCUAGCCUUUUCAACUCUCUUAUGAUUAUUUGGUUUUCCAAGAGCAACAAGAUGAGCAUAUUCAUUCUUUUCUCUUUUUAGCUUUUCUUCCUCGGCCACACACUUAGUGAUCAGGUCAUUCACACCCUAAGACUAAUUUAGGGUGUUGUAUGUAGUCUUGAUUUGGCUUAAAGAAGAUGGUAGAGUAUUGAGGGCUUGAUGAAUAAUAAACUUAUGGGGAAUGGGAAUGUCUAGUGCUUUCAAUUUAGUUUGAAGAUGCACCAUUUUUAGGAUAUACUCACGAACCCCUUUCAUAUCAUUAUACCUCAUAUUCAUCAAUUCAUCCAUAAAAUACCCAGCUUCGACAUUGUUAGAUGUCUGGUAUCUAUUUCUCACAUCAACGAGAAAUUCCUUAGCAUUGUUGUUCUCAGGUAUUCCUCCAAGGAGAUGCUUAGCAAUGGACCUCUUGAUUGAAAUGAGACUCAAACGGUUCGAUCUUUCCCAUUUCGUAUAAUGAGCUCUCAUAGCUUCAGUGCUUUCAUUAGUAGGCUUAAGAGGUUCAUCUUCACAGAGAGCCAUGUUCAAGUCCAUCAUUCCUAAAAAAAACUCUAUGUUUGAUCUCGAUCUCUUAUAGUUUGACCCACUUAGAAUUUCAAUUGUAGCAUUAUUGUUGUUCACAACAAAGGAAACUGAUUGACAAAAAUUUGCAACUAGAUCAAUUAUGGGCAAUAGGUAAAAUGCUUAAAUAAGCAUAAGAAAUACAAUAUAAGAAUCAAUUGUAUUAUCAUAAACUCCCCUUUGGGCAGAGUCCAUAAUAAACAACUAUUCUCUAAGUAUGAUGAUCAACAAAUAAUUCAUUAAAGUUUAUUUUCUUUGGGCAAACAAAUUUAUCAAAUUAUUUAUCUCAUUCAAUAUCCUCAUGUUGUUAAAUUAAUUUGCACAAUAACCCCAUUUGGGGAGGCGAUUGUACAAAUUAAUCUAAAAUUUUCCCCAUCAACAAAAUAGGAACUCAUAAACUUGCAAAUUUUGAUGGUUAAAUCACUUUGGUGAAAUAACCUCAACAAUUCACAUGCAACGUUCCAAAAUUGGGUAAAUUUAAAAACAAUAAUGCCUAACAACAAUAGUGCAUAUUAGUGAUAUAUAUGCAUAUGAUCAAACAAGAUGAAGUACGUCACAAAAUGUACUUUCAAUGAUCAAUGAUCAAUUAUAGUUGCAAGAAUUUGAACAACAAUUUUUAUUUUUUUAUUACACUUUAAACUAAUUAUUUAACUAGUUUAUGUGAUUUAGACCAAGUAGGAGAGUAUGCUUGAAAGAGUUUCACUCUAGAGAGAGUGAGUACUACACUCCUAUUCCAUAUAUAUUAGCAUAAUUUCUGAUAAAUUCUCAACAAAAAAUUAUACCAAAGAAUAAAUUUAAGCUAAUUAAAUCACAUAAAUAAAUAAUAAUUAUUUAAUAAAUAUUUUUGACCCCCCAAAAAUAAAAUAAUAUAACCAAAAAAUAGAUGAUAAAAAAACAAGCGCAUAGGAAAAAACGGGGCUCAAAACAGACAUCGGAUGAGGUUACACGCGUCUCACACACUUGACCCGCAAGUGGGGAAUGUGCGGCACAUGUGGCACGUUUGGCAUGUGCUAGAGGUUAUCUUCAACCUCCAGCAGCGGGUCAAAAAACCUGCUCGGGUUAAAUGACCCGGUUGCUACCCAGCUUACAAACAAUUGUAAAAAGAAUGUUUUUCGAUCGGGAUCUCGAGGGGUUUUAAACUUUAGGUUGUUUCUAACACUCUAAGUCAUUUAAUCAUCAGAAAACAACUUAAAGAUCUCCAUAAUUGAUUAACAAAAUUCAGUUUUUAUACCUCCAUAGACAAGAUCGAAAAAUUCUAUUUCAAAACCUAUUUCGACCUCAUUUUACAUGUAUUUUUACCUUAACAAUAUAAGAAAUCUCUCUACAACAAUUAAUUAAACAAAAAACUUCUCAAUCUUGCUCAAUUUAAAAAAAAUAUAAAACGAAUUUUCUAGGGUUCAUACCCAUAUUUUCGAAUUUUCAAUUUUCAUCAAAUUGAGCCAAAAAAACCGAAAUUGAUGCUACAUAUCAACUAUAAUAUAUGUAAACAACAAAAUCCAAGAGUUUAAUUCGAGUAAAACACAAUAAUUUGAACAAAUAAAUUUUUUCUUGAAUCUUUAAACAAGAAAAUUCAGAAAAUUUAAAAACUUAAUUACUGCCAAUUUAAACAACGAAAUUGCAAAUAUAAUAUACCAUAUUGAAGUUUGUGACAAGAGGAACAAAAGGCCUAAAGUUUCACAAUCAAAAUAAACCAAAAAACCAUACACAGUCAUGGAUCACAGAUUCGGCUCCAAAAAUAAAAUAAAAUAAGAAACUAAAAAUUUUAUUUUCAAUUUCCAAUUGUAGAUCCUAAAUCAUGUAAAUCUAGCUUUGAUACCACAUGUAGAAUAUUUACAUAAUCACAUAAAUUAAUCAUACAUGAUUAAAGGAUACUAACAAUAGAAAAUCACUAUAAAGAACAUACCUAUUUGAGCCAUCACAAUAAAACAAGUGAUUGAUUGUUGCAACCAAGUAUUCCUUUCUAUGAUCUUGAUAACAACUAUGGUGGUUUUAUGGGAAAACAAAAAGACCCUUUAUCUAGAUUAGAGAUGGGACUUAGUAUAACUCAAUAUUGGGUUCUCAUUGGGUCCUCCCAUAAUGGGCUUCAAUGAGACCCAUAUGCUACACUUGCCACUCAACUGAGCUUCUACUUAAAAGAAGUAAAACCCAAUCCAAAUAUGAUCACUAGUUAAUUAGGCUCAUUAUAUGAUAGAAUAUCCAUUAACCCAUUUUUUUGCAAAUACAAAUUAUUCAAUCAAUGUUAGCCAAUAUAAAAAUUUUCCAACAUUAUUCACUAGGAACGUGUUGUUCAUUUGUACAUGUAUGUGUGGAUGUCAUGGGAAAUGUGUUGUUCAUCCUAAUAUGUACAGGUGCAUGCAUAUUCAAAAGAUUUAGCAAAGAACAAAUAAUCUUUCAUUUUGCUCAAAAUUAAAAGAGUUUCUACCAUUUAGUUCAUUUUUAUCCAAAUAUUUAAAUCUUUUUGUAAGGAAAAAUGUGAAGAAAAGAAAAUAAGGAGAAAAUUAGAAAAACAAAAAAAUCAAAGUUAAUAAAUUAUUUUUUAUAUACUGAUUGACAUUCAUUUAAUUAUAUAAAGAUUAAAUAAUUUAAAAGCGUAUAAGUUAUCGGGAGCCAAAUUUGACAAAAAUGCAGUAGCUUUUAAAUUAUUGUUUUUUUGUCAAAACCCUUGGCGUGCCCUUAUAUAAACAAUAGGGACUUGUAGCUAGGUCAAUCUUUAUCGUAAAUUAAGCAAUACUUAAUGUUCUAAGAUAAAGGAAAAAAUAAAUAAAUGUGAAAACAAACCCUUCUAACCAUAAAUGUUCCAUAAUAGCAAUUCUCCAUAGCUUGUAAUUGCCAAUUAGAAUCAAAUAACAACUCUCAAUUGCCAAAAAGAUGAAUACAAAUAAACUCAUUACAAGAGUAUAGAUCAUCUCAAGCCUUUUGAUGAUAGAAUAUAUGUGUCAUGCCCCAAGUUCUUUUUAAGGACGUGAUGGUCAUCUUAUAACUAAAAAAAUCACCAAUUACCAAAUUCUUAUUCAGAAUAGUAAAAUAUAUUAUAAUCCUCAAAAUUUAACUUUAAAAAAACUAAUACAUCAACCACUUUGCUAUUGUCCUAACAACUUCAAACCCAAAUGGUUCAAACAGUAAUUAAUUUCUAACAUUUAAACACUUGCCAAAAAUAAAGCUUAAACUAAAAUCCUAAUAAAAAAACAAAUUUCCAAUCUAACCAUCACUCUUUACCCAAACCGAGAGUACCUGGAAAAAAAUAUCAAUGGAAGAGCAUGAGUUCAAGCCCAAUAAGAAAUAUUAAUACAGUUUCAUGAAUCAAACAUUUUUUAUUAUGAUAACAAAUAGGAAAUAUAGUGUACAAUCUUUUUUAUAAAAACUUUGAAUUCAAACAUGCUAAAGCAUCCAAAACUUUUCAAUUAAACAUUUUCAUAUUUAUAUCAAUAGCAAUUUCAUAUCAAAUCCAAAUGAAAUGCAUUCAAAAUAUUUUUACUCUAGUUAUCAAAUAACAAAUAGUAUCUAAUUAGGUAGGACUUUAUUGCCCAAUUAGGUGAAACUUUACAAAUAGGAUACUAUCCUCAAAUUUGUUCUUUUUAAGGUGGAUGGAACCAAACACUACUAGUAACCUCUAACCAAACCCCUAGAGACUAGGGUUUAAAACAAUUACAUUCUCCACCAAGAAAUGUAAAGGUUAAUUAGCAAUUAUAGCUCAUUAACUAAAGUGAAAAAGGUCAACAAUUAUAACUCAUUAACUAGGGCAAAAAAUGUCAACAAUAUAACCCUUUGACUAGGGCAAAAUAAACCAAAGUCAAACACUUUGUUUCAUUUAUUUAAACGUAUAAAAACAUAAUAUCUUCAUUUUUUUAUUAUAAACAAAAGAAAAUAUUCUUACAUAUUUUCAUGCAAAAUAUAAUUGAUCCUUGCAUAAAAACAAAAAUAACAUUUUACAUAAUUCAAAAUAACAUAUAAAAAUAAAUUAUUUUAUUUUAGAAAAUCUAUAUUAAUUUCUCCUACCUCAAAAAGCACUCAAAACCCUUAAAGAAUUUAUUGUUGAAGAAUCUAAUUUUCACCUGAAAAUAACAUAAGAAAUAACAACUAUUACUAUUAGCUAUUUAUCUAAAAUUAAAGGUUUGACAAUCUAUAGACCCCAAAAUUUGUCCAAAUUUUAUUUUUACAUUAAUUUUGAGCUCAAUUUUGUCUUUAGAUUUUAAAUCCUGAUUACAUAUGAUAUUUUUGACCCACUCACUAUCUAAUUAUUAUUAUUAUUAUUAUUAUUAUUAUCAUUUUUCUUUUUCUUUUCUCUCUUCUCUCUCCUCUCUCUUCCUACCUUCCCCCAACUACCCCACCCACUCUCUCUCUCCUCCCAUACCCCUCAUUCCCAUGACCCAUACCUCCUCUCUCAUCUCUUCCCAAUUCUCUCUCCUCUCAUGUUUGUUUUUUCUUUUGAUUUUUGGUUCCCAUUUUAUUUUUUUUUGGCAAUGGUCGGCUCCCCAUCUAGGUUUUUCUCUUCAUCUUCUUUCUGACAUCACUCCACUCACAACCCAACUCCCCCACAUGGUAGUGGUGGGCCCCUUGAUUCUCUCAAUUUCUCUUCUUUUUCCCUUAUUUUCUCCAUUUUUUGCUCCACACGGUCAAUCAGGACCCCCCCCCCCCCUCCCCAGAUUUUUUUCUUCCCCAUUUUUUUUUCUUCUAGGUUUUUCUCCCUCCAAAGACCCAUGACCACUUUCCUCAGGUCCUCCGCUCUCUUCUCUCUUCUUUCUUCUUUUUUCUUUUCCUUUCAUUUUGUUCCACAUUUUUUUUUCUUUUCGAAUUUUUUUCCUUCCAUUUUCUUUUUCUCAUUUUUUUUCCUCCCUCUCUCUCUCCAUCCGCCACCCUCAUUGCCAUUGUUGACCACCACCAGCCUCUGCCGGCUAGCAAUCCAACCAUCCAUAGUUCUUAAAAACAAAAUGGGUAAAUUUCAUUUUUACUUUAUUCUCAUUUUCACUUUUUCAUCUUUAUUUAUUUUAUUUUUUUGGUUUGCAUAGUAAUUGAUUUGGACUUAGGCCUAUUGCUUAUUGGUUAUUUGUUUGGGUUUAUUGGAUUGGGUUUGAGAUAUUAUUUCCUUUGGCCAUGUGUAUUAUUAAUGUGAGUUUGUUAAUUGAUAUGAAUUUUGGGCUCACAAUGUUGGUGAGAUUUGUUGGAUGACUUGAAUAUUUGAUAUGGGCUUGGCCAAUUUGAACUAUUUAAUUUGGACAUGGGACAAUUGUAGGCUUGAAUAUUAAAUUAGGCUUGAAUUAUGGGAUAUUAAGUUUAGGCCUAGUGGAAUUUAUUUUAAUUUAUCAUGUUUUGGAUUUGAUUAAUUGAGCAUAUAUUUUGGCUAUUAAUUUGGAAAUUUUGGAUUAGGGCUUAUGGCAUGUGAGAUAUUUUUGUUGGGCUAUAUUUUCUAAUUUAGGUCCAUUUUUAUUGGCAAAAAUUUAUUGGACCAAUUUGAAGUUUGAAUUUGGGAUUGAAUAAUUAUUUUGGACUCUACAUAUUUUUGGAUAUUUACAUUUGGGUUAUUUUUGUUUUUGCAUGUCUACAAUUUUGUUGGUUGAAUACGAAUUUAUGACAUGUGGAGUACAAAAUUUCAUGGAAGAAAGUGAGACUCGAAAAGUUGUAGGAAGACAUUGAACUUGUUGUAAGCUUGUUUGGGUACACAUUUUAUUUCCCACUUUUAUUUUAUUUUAUUUUUAUUAGUUUUUGUAAAUAUUUAUUAAUAUAUAUUUACUUGUUGUGUACAGAAUUAGAUGUCGAACAAACCAGAAAUUUUGUUUAAAUAAGAUGAAUACUUCAGUAAAUAUGUUUUAAUUAAAUAAUAAUUUUAAAAUAUUUUUCUUAAUAAAAGAAAGUUUUUUUAUUAAUAAAAAUUCAGAAAAAUGCUUUUAGAAAAAUAAAAAUAAAAACUUUAAUAGAAUUUGAAAAUUUAUUUUUAAUAAUAAUUGUCCAAAAAUUUCUUUGUUUAAUAAAAAUUUGCCAAAAAUUAUUUUGUAAAUAAAGUUGUCCCAAAAAUUAUUUUUUAAUAAAAUUGUCCAAAAAAUGUCUUUUUUUAAAUGAAUUAUUUUUCCUUAAUUAAAAUGGGAUUAAAAGUAUUUUUUUAGAAAUAUAGGAUUUAAAUAUUUUUUUCUUUUUAAUUAAAAUUCCUUUUGCAAAUAAAGUUGUCUUUUUAAAUAAUUUUUAUAAAUCACUUUUCUUAAAUGAAAACAAAUUGAAAUAUUUUUGUAAAUAAAAUUGUAAAAAUUCAUUCAUUUUUUUUUUUUUUUGUAAAAGCAAGUAAAAAUAAUUUUUGUUGCCAAAUUGAAAGUUUGUAAUAAAUUCUUUUGAUACAAUAAGUGUAAAUAACAUUUUUUGAAAAUUAAAUACAAAUGAAAUUGAAUCAAAUCACUUGAAGAAAAUGUUUUGUAAAUAAAUAAAUUGAAAUCACUUAUUCAAAAUUGUUUUUAAUAAAAUCCUUUGAAAUUCUUGAAAAUUAUUUUUUUAUAUCUUUUUUUAUUUAGUUCAAUAAAUCAUUUUGCAUAAUUCUCUUAUUAUUUAUUUUGUAUAUUCUUGUGAUUAGAUUUCAUCUUUAUUUGUGUAUAUAUUGAUUUUCAUUAUGACUUGUACAUACUCAUUUGCAUGAUUAUUUUUCUCGAUAUCCAUAAUUAAUUAACUAAUUGCCACAAUUUUCUUAAUUCGUUUAGUAGAGGUCAUACAUAUACGGGCUUAGAGGGAUGCUACGACUCACCACCGUACCUUACCAAUAGGUAACCUAACCCUUGGAUCCAGAUUAUGUUUUUGCAUACAUGUCUUUUCCUAAUAAGGAGUCAUACAUGAUUUUCUUUCUUAUUUUGUUUUCCCUUUAAAAAAAUUAAAUAAGUGGCGACUCCAGGUCUUUUUCUAAAAGUCAAUUUUUUUUCACAAAUAAAUGAAAAGUAAGUUUCGCCAUUCGAGUGGGGACGCACAUGAAAAACAUAGGUUCACAAAAUGGUGACUCUACUAGGGAAUUUGAGGGUCAAACUUAAACUCGAGUUAAGAAAAAUGUGGCAUUUGAUUGGUCGAUCAAUGGAUACCCUUCUCUACAUGUCUUUGUAUGAUUGGGUGUUGAUUACACAUUGAGAGCUUUGAUAUAUUUAUUUGUGAUGCAUGUUUGGUUAUUAUUGUUCAUUGGAGAUGUUCACGUGUUGAUUAUAUCGAUUGAUUCUCUUACCUACUUUUGCAUAGUGACUCUUCUUAUUGUAUGAUUAUCUUACUUUCCUUGACAUGUAUAUUCUCAUUUUUGUAUAUCUCGUUCACAUUGGUGUGAUUGAUUCUCUUUAUUUUAGAUUGAUUACUACUCAAAAAGUGCUAUUUGAUAGCUUGUAAUUAACUCUUUUAAACACUUUUGAGUAGUAGUUAUCACCUUUUAACUCAAUUAACAUAUUAAGGACCCUUGCAAUCAAUUCUAAUCAAAUUGUGUUAAGUUUUGGUGUUUUGAUAGCUUUUUGAUCACCAAAGCAAUCCGAGAUUGAGGAGAGUUCUUUGGAAUCCAUGACAAAAGAUGUCCGGACAGGGCGUCCGGACACACCAUCGGAGGGUGGCGGGAAGUGAGCUGUGGCAGGCUGUCGGAAUGACGUAGUAAGGCUUGUGCACUUUAGCCAAUGAUCCGGACAACAUAUCCAGAUAGGAUAUGCUAUCGUCCGGGGUGUGAUGAUCGCGAGUGCCGUGUGCUUAUCCUUGAGGGAGUCCGGAUAGGGGAGCGCGCCGACAUUCCACUCGGAUGUCUCACAUCUGGAAAUCUGCUCCGCCGACAUUCCACCCGAAUGUCUUACAUCAGGAAAUCUACUCCACCGACAUUCCACCCGGAUGUCUUACAUCCUGAAAUCUGCUCCGCCGACAUUCCACCCGGAUGUCUCACAUCCGGAAAUCUACUCUGCCGACAUUCCACCCGGAUGUCUCACAUCCGGAAUUCUUCUCCGCCGCCAUUCCAUCCGGAUAUUUCGCAUCCGGCGCUUGACGCCGGAUAGGAGAGGAGGGCGUUUCAACUUCCCCGGUCAAACAUAUCCGAAUCCUUUGAUAGCGCUUACCCGGAGAGUUUUGCAGCCAUUUUGCACAGUGCCGCGGUGUUCUCCUGAAGCUUCCCGAUAUGUCUGACCGACAUUUUAAGAUAUUUUUCUGCACAAUGCCGCGGUGUUCUCCUGAAGCUUCCAGAUAUGUGCGACCGACAUUUUGAGAUAUUUUGCUUUAGAUAUUUGAUGUCUAAAUCCCCAAACUCUCAUUGUAACCCACCAAUUAUAGGAUUCCUUAGUCUUUAAGUAAGAACAAAGGGUAAAUAACCCCUUAUAUAUAGUUUGUAAUUUCCUUUACAAAAGACAUCGAUCAUAAAUCGAUCAAAUAGAGAUUAAUCCUUUGUACAGUUUUGGAAGGAAGUAAAAUACAGAGCACUUGCUCUACUUUUCAUAUAUAUUUUUGUUUUCUCGUUCUUUUUAUUUCUAGCCAAUCAAACUCUGAGGAUUUUUCCUCAGAGGACGAGAGGCUAGACUUUUUGUCUCUUGGAGUGAAGAAAGCCAGGUAAGUUUCCAAACACAAGAAUUGGAAGUUUUGUUGUUUUAGUUUUUAAUGAAGAGAAAGUGUAACCCGUUAAUGGUUUUUAUCUUUUUAGUUAACUUAAAACGCCUUUAAAUCACCUGGGUCAACACUUGAUAAGGCAAGUGAUCUCCAUCCAUUGAGAUGCACUAGUUUAUCUCUUGUGAGCCUUUGGGAGGUGGUUUAAAGGUAGGAUUUUCUAGAAUAGACAACACUUGGUAAGCUUUUGGACUCCAAGGAGACAUCCAUUAGUUAUCUCUUGCGAGCUUUUGACGGGUAAUCCAAGGUUAAAGAUCACCUUGAAUGGCAAGUGCUAGGUGAGAGGUAUGAGCCAUCGCAAGAUGCAUCAGUGAGAGGGAUUUAGUGUUUGAACCCAUUAAAGGGAAGCAUCUGUACCACACCGGUUCGAGAAAUAACUAUAUGUUAAAUCCCUAAUGCGAGGAAAAGAAACAAGUGACCGGAACUUCCUUUUUGUACAAGGAACCUGAGUCUAGUGAUCUAAACUCCAAGAAACACUUUUCUUUGUAAGUAAAAUUAGUUACUAUUUUUGGUUAGUUUAAAACCAACCUUUUCCACCAUAGAUUAUGUUUUCUUUUACAGCUAACCUUGAAAUGAAAAGGCACCAAGUCAGCUUUGAAUUAAUAUCAAUUGUGAAGUGAAAACCCAUCCCAGUGAAUGAUCCUAGAGCCACUAUGCUAUAGUAGCUUUGUCUUUGCUACCCUAGUUAAUGGUGUAAUAGGUUAUAAAUUUUGUUGAUUACUCCCUCAAUCAAGGAGCACUAGCUGGACACGAAUCAGCUGAGACACCAAUUGGGCACGAAUCAAAUGGCGUCGUUGCCGGGGACGAAUCAAAUGGCGCCGUUGCCGGGGAUCAAACGAAUCAUAUAUUAUCUUGUUUAUCUCAACAUAUUGUUUAUUCUUGUUAUAUAUCUUACUUGCUUAUCAUAAUCUUGCCUAGCUUGUGUGUAGAUAUGAGUGAUAUACUUGUUAUUUGCAUGACUGCUUGGUGCAUGACUAUUAUUCUUCUAUGCGAUGCAUGUAUUGCUUGUCUGUGUGGGAUACACAUCUAUUCCCUUACCUCUAACUCCCUAGUCUCGGUCAACCUUGUUUCCCUUGAUCUCGUAUUUGAUAUGAGACUUGUUACUUUGUUUACUCUUCAACCGAGCUAGUGAUUCAAAAUAGGGUUUAGUGAUGGGCAAUAUCUAUGUUUGGAAGCAUUCUAGAGGAGGUCAACACAUUGAUGCUGAUUGGAGUUCGAUCUUUGAAGACGUGUAUAGCUCAGAGCUAGAUUUUAGGAUAUUUGUGUGACCAGUUUGUUUUCUCUGUGUUUAGUUUGAUAAGAUUUUCGGAUGUGCCCACACCAUUCACUAUGAACCUUAGAUUACCACUAAGUGUUGAGAAUUAUGAGAGCUUUCACCAUAGGAAACAUCCCUUGGGAUGUCGAGUAGUGCAUGUGUGGAGGUGAUGACCACCUUGCAUGGAAGCGUCCCAUCUUUUCAGAGAUGUGUAGAGGGUUGUGUACUGCCAAAGGGUAUGAUCGUUUCUGUUAGGGCUCCUUUAAAAUCCACUUUUUCUUUUUAGAGCCGCCUUGACCUUGUGGGUUGAGCCUUAGAUCAUUUGAUUAGGAUUUUCUUUCCUACACAUGGGCGCAUUUGAGAGCCUUCAGGGUUGCUUUAGUCACAACAUGGAUCUAGUACUCCAUCUUUUAGUCUCCAAUCGAGAGUGCUUAUAUAUUGGUGCUAGUUUGAGUAUCAGUUGGACCACCCCUUGUUGUAUGGUUUUGGUUUCUUCUUAUCGCUCGGUGAGUCUAGCACACUUUCUCCCUAGGACUUUAGAUACUUUUUUUUUUCUUAAGUUGACACAUUCUUUCAUUUUGUUGUCACUUUCUGCUUGACAUUUUAGGAUAUGCUCAUUGAUUAUGCUCACAUUUUUACAUUCUUCACGUUUCAUGAGCUUGGUACUUCAUUCUUUGGUCGAUUUACCUAUUUUUAUUUUCAACCCGAUAUUUUCAUUACAGAAAGGUGAAAGAUAUGUUUUCACAUUCACACCAUUUUUAAGAGGUUUGCCUUUAUCACCUAAUCAUUUUUCUUUAUUGAGCUUGGGUUGAAAGUGAAUCAGAGAUAUUUUGUUAUAGAUGGAGUAUCGAUCUCAUGGUAGUGUUGUUUUUCACGCCUCAUUCAUUUUCUGGAUUAUUGAUAAAGAUUCUUUAGUCACAUUGUAGCCAUCUCACAGUGGACACCUUUAUGACCUUAGAGUUUAUGUCAUUUAUCCGGUUUUAGAUUGUCAUCAUAGAACCAUAUAUCAUAUGAUGUGUUGUACUUUUGACUUGGGACAUGUAUUCAUUUGCACAUUGUGGUCUUGAGGCCUAACCUAUCAUGGAGGAUAUUGAACUUAUUAGUCUAGGAUCGGAGAUUUGACCAAGGGAAUUUGAGACUAUGACCCAUCUUCUUAUCAUCAGAGCAAUACCUUACUCACUCCCACACCUAGACUUUGCUUCAACCUACAUCUACCUAUUGUGAAUUUUACACAACAUCACCCUUGACACCAUUACAUGACCUUUCCAUCCCUAGUUGUUCUAGCUUUGCAUAUCCUUUCUUUGAUUCGACCAAGUAGAGUGUGAGGAGUUUGAGCCCAGGGUUGAUCUUUCAUGGUAAGGGAUGACUUAUGAUCUUUGGGUGGCUUACGACGUGAGGAUUGGUCGAUUGUCUGAUGGGAUUGUCACUUAUUCUUCCAUCAGUAUAGAGAUUGAUUUUGUAUGAUGAGAGUUGGCUUGUGAUGAACAGUUGUGCCUUAUGAGAUCUUCAUUUACUUUGCUUUGAGAUGAUUAUCUUUUAGAUUAUUAUGGAGCAUUUGGAGUAAGGUUUGGUACACGAUUCCAGAGGGUUGAUGUGGUUAUAUCAAAUGGACAUUGAUCUUCAGUAUCGAUCAUUUAAGGGUUUGAGAACAUGAUGUUUGAGACCGUGGUUGUAGGAUGGGUGACCUUCAUUUCGGUUAGCUCACACCCUAUUACCUUUAUUGACAUCUAGACCAUUGCUAGCCCUUUGAGUCUCGCAUGAGCAUCAUAACCUUUUCUUUCUUAUAGCCUUACUUACCUUUUACACCGGGGUAGGGGCCCUCUGGUGUAUAUAUGCUUUAUUCGGAAGUCUCAUGAGCCAUGGACUUAUUGACUCAUCUUCUUCACUAUUUUUUUGUUAUCCUACCAUCAUUUUUCAUCAUACCUCUUUGUUUAUAUCCUUUGUCUUUGUCAUCGCAUUUCUCUCUAUGCCAUGAGUGAUGAUCUUUCACAUUUCAGUGCAUGGAUGACGGUCAUGUCCCCUUCCGUUCCUAUGUCAUGGACACUGGUUUGGAGAUCUUUAGUUGAGAAGGUCAUCUUAUCAAAGAGAGUUCAUGUACAUUAUUGUUUGAGAGUAUAUUCAUUUCAUUAUGUAUUCUCAGAGGAUCAUUGUCUUCUCCAUUAUUACAUACAUUAGUGAUUUGACUAUUCUCCAUGAUUUGAUUUGAGUGGAUUAGUGCUCAUUCAUUUUCCUUCGAUCUGUUUGUUCUUCUAAUGAUAUUUCAUUCGCCUUGCUUACAUUGUUCUCUGUUCAUAGUGAUUUACAUUCUAUGUUCGAUAUUUUUCAUACAUCAUUCUUGUACAUCCCAUUAGCAAUUCAAUAUAUUCCUUUCUUCUCUUUCAUCAUUGAUAUAUUCAUCUUUGAUUCUUUCUUCAUCAUUGAUAUAUUCAUAUUGGACAUCCUCAAAUCCAUGAUUUAUGAGACUCUCUGUACAUAUUGCAUUUUACACAUGAGGGUAUAAGGUUUUAUCAUUGGGAUUAUUGAGCCUAGUUUCCCUUCAUUUCUUCACCUUAUUACCCUAGCCUGUCACAUCUUGAGUCUUAAGACCACCCUAAGGCCAUGACAUCACACAUUGCGUUUAAUAGCUCUCACAUGGGCGAUACUUAGGAUCGGUUGGAGAGCAUUUUGAUUAUGAUGGUUCGGGAGUUGUGGUAUGACCCCACACUGGGGCAUAGCCACUUCAGAGAGUUUUUAUCGGGUAUGCGUCCAUUUUGCUUAAUACAUUCUAUUAGGACACACCUUUCUUGGUUCGGGGUUGAUUUUUUAGAUGACCAUUAUGUCGAGGCAUACUCUUCUUAGCUGAUGAUGGAUUUUGAGUCCUGGUCAUCCCUUUUAGGAUAUCAGAUGUCCUUUUUCACAUUGGAGCAUGAGACAUGAUUGGUAUAUUUCAUUUGGUGUACUUUACACAAGGGUAUAUUUCUUAGUUGAUGAUGGUUAGAACUAAUUCUUCUUUAAUCUAUUUUUUUUACCUAAGUAAGUCAUUGGAUAAACAUGUGAAAAUUGGCUUUUACAUGAAUAUAUGAAUGUGAAUCUAUGUCUCUUUGAUUUUGUAUUUUUGGUUAAUGGAUGCUUAUAGCUCACCUUUCACAAUACACACACUUACACUAAUAGAUGAUCACAUGUUUAGGCUUAAUUAGACACUUGCUUAGGACACUUUUGUAUCAUAAUUUGGCACCUAAAAUAGAUCACUAAUAGUUUUGUAUACAGCCGCACUUUAGGUUCACCUUUAGAUUCACAUUAGUUCACAUUCACACACUUUCACUUCUUUUUAUUAUUUGUUGUUUGAUAUCUCAUGUGUUUUAAUGAUUUUAAAAUUGUUUUCAACUCUUUCCAUAAAUAAAUCAAUCCUUCAACCUCAUUCAAAAUUCAUCAUUUGGUUAUUAGGUAUGAAAAUCUAUUUUUCAACAGUCAUGCUACAAAUUUCAAUCGAUAUGCAUUUUUCCAUUAUUUUUUAAAUGAAUUUCGAUUUUGAAAUACAUGAAAUAAAUUCAUGGCUCCACAUCAAUGGGGUAAUUCCUUACCUUGGUGGGCUUAUCUAUGAUCACAUGAGAUUAAGGAAGUAUGGAUAAUUUUCAUGGGCAUUACUUUGGCAAGUGGUAAAUCCCUACAUUCAAGUUUUUCAAGAACAAAUAUUCAAUUGUCUCUUGGGGUAAUUUGUUCAACCUUUGAAAUAAAAAAUUAAAUUAAGAUUAUUUAAAGCCUUCCUAAAAGUUUUAUAAUAAUUGAAUGAUGUUGUAGACUUCCUAAAUGUGUUAAUAUAGUUUUGUUUGAGUUCAAAAUCAUUUUUCAAUUAAUAGAUAUAAAUCAAUCUUUCUAUUGGUUCAUUUUCACUCUAUUCUAAACACUUGGAAUUUUUUUCUAAAAUUAAAUUAUUUAAUUCAUUAAUUCCUUUUUAUAUUUUUCCUUUAAUCUAGACUUCUUAAAUUUAAUCUUAGGCACCUAAAACACUCAAAACUGAUCCCCUAAGUAGGAAUUGUGUUUUUUGUUUUUUUGCUCCUAUUGUACAAGUUCUUUUCUAUAGUUAAGGGGAUGGUUUAUUAAUUCUAAAGAUGUUAUGUGUGUGAUCAUGCUUUGUGACUAUUUUUCAUGUAAACUAGUCAUAUUAAAUAGGUUGUAAAAUUUUUUUUUAAGACUUUCAAGCAUCUCUAAAUUAGUCAAAUAAAUUAACUUUUGCAUGUCAUUGAAAUAUGCUCUAUUCUAAACCAAUUGAAGUUUAUGAAAACUAGUAUUAAACAAAAUAUAAUUAAAUAAUUUGACCUUUUGGAUUGUAAUCUAGACACAUAGGAGAGGUUGCCUAAUUUUUUUCAUGACGAAAUCCCACUUCUAGAUAAUGUUUUAGGAUUUAUUUUAUAAACUCCUAUGUUCUGAUCACAUGAUGAUUAUUUUGUGUAGAAACCCAAUUGUGAUUUAAUUUGGUACUAAUUGGCAUAUAAUUAAUUAAUUUGAACUUGGGGAUUGUGAUAUAGACAUGUUAAAGAUGUUGCACAAUUUUUAUUUUGAUGAAAUAACACCUCCAGAUAUUUACUUGGAAUUUAUUUUGUAAAAACCUCUAUUCUACUUUGUUAAUGGUAUUUUGUAUAUUUUGAUAAUUUGAUCACUUUUGUGCAUUCUUGUGAGCUCUUUUGAUUAUUGAUUCACAUUGUAGAUAUAUUAUACACACUAGCUGAACCUUCCUUUAGAUCAAAAUUCUUUAUUUAAUAUUUUAUACAAACUAAUUUUUGAAAGUGAACACAUGAUUAACUAAUUCUAAAAUUUUAAGCAUGAUUACUAUAUCUUGUUUCCUUGUCAUCUUUUACUUCAUGAUUUGAGAUAUGUUAUAUAUUAUGUUGUGGGAUUUGAUUCAUGCCUAAUUGGUGUGCCAGCUGAUUCGUGUCCAGCUGGUGCUCCUUGUUUGAGGGAGUAAUCAACAAAAUUUAUAACCUAUAACACCAUAUACUAGGGUAGCAAAGAAAAAGCUACUAUAGUAUAGUGACUCUAGGAUCGUUCACUGGGAAGGAUUAACAAGCUAUCAAUGAUACCAAUUCAAAGUGAAUUGGUCUUGUUUCAUUUCAAGGUUAGCUUAAGAAAUAAAACACAAACUUUGAUUGGUAAAGAUUUAGACUUAAACUAACUAACACAACAAGUAAUGGGAAUAACUUAGGAAGAAAAACAUUCCUUGGAGAGUUAGGUUUACUGGGGUGGUUCCUCAUGCAAAAGACAUAGCUCCGGUCAGAUGGUUCAUUUCCUCGCGUUAGAGAUUCAACAUAUAGUCACUUCUCUAACCGGUUUUGUACAGAUACAUCCUUUAAUUAGAUUUCAACUUUAAUUCUCUCACUGAUGCAACUUGCAAUGGUUCAAGCCUCUCACUAAGCCUUAACCAUUCAAGGUGAUCUUUAACCUUGGAAUUCCCUUCUCAAGCUCGCAAGAGAUAACUAAUGGAUGUCUCCUUGGAGUCCAAAAGCUUACCAAGUGUUGGAAAUUCCAAAAAAUCCUACCUUAAAGUCACCUCCCAGAUGCUCGCAAGGGGUAAACUAGUGCAUUUCCAUGGUUGGAAAUCACUUGCCUUACCAAGUGUUGGCCCAGGUGACUCUAAGGUGUUUUAAGUUAACUAAAAACAUAGAAAUCCCUAAAGGAUUUCACUUCCUCUUCAUUACUGGCUGAAACCACAAAGUUUGCAUUCUUGCACUUGGAACCUUCCCCGGCAACCUUAGCUCCAAGGAAUUAGAGGUUUAGUUACUCAUUCUCUUGGGAAAACUCCUCAGAGAGUUCAUAACUUAGUAAGAAAAUAAAAAUACAAAGUGAGAAGGUAAGGCAAUACAAAGAACUGAACUUUACUUGCUUACCCAAAACUUUACAAAAGGAUCUCCUCUCUGAGAACAGGCUCCCGAGAGGUACUUAUAUGAACAUAAUAUAAAACUAAUUAUUACAUAGAUAUUUUCUCUUUUUACUAACUUAAAAGCUAAGGAAUCUUGUAAUUGGUGGCUUACAAGGAGUAUUUUGGGAUUUAGACAACAAAAAUCUGAUGUAAAAUAUCUCCCAAUGUCGGUAGCAAAUAUCGGGAUGCUCCAGGAACCAUUUCGCAAGAGAAAAUGGUGUCUGCGAGAUUUCGCAGACACUCAAGAAGGGCUGCGAAAUCACUUCGCAACAAAAAGCUAUUCUCGCAGGGCUGCGAAGUUGGCUUCCACCUUGAGGUUCUCAGCUCCCAGCUUGCGGCAUAUAUCGGGCAACUUCAGAGGGAAAUACACCCUACUGUACAAAAAGGCUGCGAAAUCACUUCGCAACAAAAGGUUGAUUUCGCAGCACUUUGCAAAAUGCUUCCUUCAGCUUGGAGUGAUUGGCUUCCACUGGCUGCAACUUCUUCGUUUCAACUCUGAAUUGCACACUGUUUGAAGCAUUGGAUUGUUGACUUCUUGAGCUUUGAAAUGGUAUAUAGCAUGUAUCAAUUGGACUCCAAAAAAUGCUCCAAAAGUGGCUGCUACGACUGUCAUCAAGAAUAUGCUUCAUGGCAGAUUCUCUUUACUUUUUCUCCUUGCAUUCUGGAUUCACUCUUGGCAAAUGACUUCCAAGCUUUGCCCAAGAUUCCUCAUAAUUCUCCUCAAUCUUGAAUUGCUUUGGUGAUCAAAAUACUAACAAAAACACCAAAACUUACAUAAAGUGAUUAAAAUUGCUUUCAAGGGUCUUUAACAUGCCAAUUGAGUUAAAAGGCCAAAACUACUACUCAAAAGUGUUUAAAAGGAUUAAUUGUAGGCUAUCAAAUGGCACUUUUUGAGUAGUAAUCACUCCCCCCAACCGACAUAUUGCUAGUCCCUUAGCAAUAUAGGAGAGAAAAAUUGAAAAUAAAAAACAAACUAACCUAUAAUGUACAACAUCAUGCUGAUCAAAAACAAUUCUCAAGUGGCAUGAUGAUCUAAUUCUCUCAUGAAACAUUAAAGAAAUAUAAAAGCAAAUUUCAACAAGAGUUAUAACAAACUAUGCUAAACACUAUCAAACAAGGGAAUGCAUUAUGCAAACUGAAGUUUUAAAAUCAUUUCCACUUUCAAAGAACCAAACGUUAUUCUUCCUCAAAAAUCUAUGUGUAUUGGUUCCUUAGCUUCUGAGAAUAAUAUGCUAAACUAAUCUCUCCCCCCAACCUAUCUCUUUUCAACACUUAGCAAACUGACCAAAAUCAAUAAAGAAAGAACACACUUUCUCUUUUUUUUUUUUUUUAGAAGGGGCUUAAUGGGGUACUCUUUCUGAAUUGUCCAUGUAAUGGGGGUCCAUUGAUGACUCCCAACCAAUUAAGGUUUAGGGCACCAAGCUUUAAGGAUCUUUCAACCACUAACUCCUCGGAUUUUUCCCCGGACUUUUGAGAAUGAAUUUCUAAUACCCAAGCACCUACCACAUGCUAACUCCACCUAUCCACCCUUGUAACGAGCAUUGAGGUCGGUGACUCCCAACCAAUUAAGGCUUAGGGCACCAGGCUUCAAAGAUUUUCACCAUAUACCCCUCAGACCUUGCUCGGGUUUUAAGGCAAGAAAACAACUUUCUUUAUUUCAAAGGCUCAUUGGCCUUUUGCAGGGUGUUUCAAUUUUAUCAAAUGAGGUCAAAUAUACCAAGUCCCAAAAUUAUCCUAAGUCGAGAGGGAAAUAGCUUUUCAUGUUAUAAUCGGAAUCUAAUGUGCACAGUGUGUGAAUAGCUUAAAGUGGAAGAACUAAAUUCAAUUUCAAUAGAAGCUUCAACAAUUGAACCACUUUAGUGAGCAUAAUCCAUACUCUAAGUCAAGUGAAAAGCAACAGUUCAAUUUCUCCUGUUUUAAUUUGAAAAUUUUUCCUCAAGAUUCAUGGAGAAUAGAGUAAAAAGAUUAAAAAGCAAAAACUACAACUAAUUUACCAAAAUAAUUGCAUUACUAAAAAGGCUUAGCAUACUUCCUUUAAUUUAGCAUAACUUCCUUCCUCAUUCCCCCCCAACUGAACUGAGCAUUGUCCUCAAUGUGAUAUGAGUGAUUGUAAUUAAAGAGAGGAAGGGGUACCUCCUGAGUGAUAUCAAAUUCGAAUACUGAUUGGAGAAACCACAUGUUUCAAAAAGAAUAGAAUAUGUGAGAAAAGGAAAUAAGGAUAACUUAAUGCUAAAGGUUAACAAGAAAUAUUAAACUUGUAUUACUUUGAAUCCAUUUAAGUACAAUGUAAAAGAAAAGCAAUACAAGCAAUCCCAAAUAUAGUACCAAAAUAAUGGGAUUUCUUUCCAACUAAAAAAAAAACGAAAUACAUAAAAGAAUAUAUAUAUAUAUAUAUAUAUAUAUAUUCUGAUGAGUGGGUGGUGCUGGGGCUAGGCAGAUGGGUCUGCCUCUUCAGCUGGUGCUUCAGAUGGGGCCUGAGGCUCUGCUGGAUGAGAGUGUGGCACUGCUGUGGUAGAUGUGGAGGGCUCAACAGCUGGUGACAGGUCGAAAUGAAGCUGGAGCUGCCUUAAGAUGGCAGUGUGUUGAGCCUGAGUGGCCAACAUCUGCUCUUGGCAUGCUCUAAUGGCUGCCAUCUCUUGAGCAAGACUGCUCUGAGAUGCUGUGAGGGUCUCCAAUGAAUGGCACAACUCUCUGUAUUCAGAAAUGGGAAUGACCAUCCUCGGUUCAACUGAAGUGGAUGGCUGAGAUGAAGCUGGAGCAGCUGGUGGAGCUCUGGGAAUGGCAGGAGCAGCAACUGUUAUACCCUCAGGUAUGUGUCAUGGGGAUGCUCUCCUAGCAGCUGGCUGUGGCCGCUCAGGCUGGUCAACUCUAUAAGCUGUCAUGUUGUUCCAUUUGUCGAGAGUAAAUAGCUCACGACAAAUGCGUUUGUGCUCCAACUGAGGCUCAAAAGGAUACCCCAAGUGCUCCAGAAUUUGGUAUAGCAGCCUUGGAAAGAGGAGGGGAAUGGUAUCAGCCCUCUGAAGCUUCUUUUUGUGUACUUUCUCUUCGAAAUAGAGAAGGGCUGUCAGAAUUAGAUGAUGAGGCCCAAAGAAAAAUCCCUCAGACAUCUUGUACAGGGCUUCUAAGAGGACUCCUCUUCUUUGAGUCCAAUGCUGCAAUGGAUAGAGGUUAUGACGCAAAAAUGCAUCAAUCAGAAACAUGAUUGGAGGAAGCUCCCCCUCAACAGAUGUGAUCGCGUAGCAGCUCCUCUGGACAGGGUGUGCACCAUCUCUAGUUCAGUAUGACUGGUCCAAGCUUUAAAAUUAUCGAAUUGGCUUGGCUCGUAGGGAAUUUGCAAGGCUUCAGCUAUAUGGCGAGCUCCCAGCAUGCCAUGCCUCCCAUCAAUAGUGAAAUGAAUUAAAGUUGGAUCCCUGACCUGUUUGGUUGUCAUGGAUUGAUAGAAAUCCAUGGCUAUCCUGGGGUAGAAAAAGUCUCUUGGAGUCAGUAGGUGCUCCAUGUGGUAUCUCCUCAGCAAGUUGAAUGACUGUGCAAGCUCCGACUGAAAUCGGAAUGUGGCUAUGUCAAAGCAUAGCUCGGAGUGGAAUAACCGACCUCUACAAUCCAAAUUUCCCUCAAUUGGGGGCUGAGUUAGCAUUGGCCGCCUGAUUACUUCUUCCAGAGCUAUUUCAGAUGGAAUUUGGGGCUCGGGAAGUGGCGGCUGAGGCUCCUGUGGUUCUGCUUGCGGCGCCGGAGAUGGCACCGGAGGCUGAAUUGGCGAGGGAAUCGGCGAGAGAAUUGGAGUUGGAACCGGCGAGGGCUCUGGAGAUUGCUCAGUCAAGUCAAUGGGUUAUGAGCUUUCAACCCUGGGUCUCUUUUGCAGUGGCCGACCCCCUGACUUGGUAAGGUAACGCCUUGCCGGAGGCUUUGGCGGCGCGGACUUCACCGGAGGAGGAACUGCUCUUGGCUGCGAAGGCUCAGAAAUUGGCUCCUUUCGCAAGCUUUUCUUGCGGCUUGAAGGAGAGGAAGACUUGGCCCCUCUGGUUCAGGCCAUUUCGGGUUGCCGAAAUUUGGCCGGAACGGAUGAUCGGGGAAGAUGACUGGAGGCUUGCGCGGUGAGGCUCAAGGAAGGAGAUGAACAGCCUGCGAGAAUGGCGCGCUCUAUUUUGAAACCCUUUUCGCAGCUCAAAUGACCGGUAUAUAUAGUAAUAACGGAAGACUAAGGGUCAGUUUGAGUUUCGCAGAAAAAUGUCAAUUUCGCAGCAAAACGCCAUUUUCGCAGCCACUUCGCAAUGCGUUUCGCAGCUGCGAAAUGAAUGUAACUGUGCUGCGAAGUGGCACACGUGUGCCAAAAUCGCUUUCGCAAUUGCGAAAUACCCUAUGGAAUGGGACUUUUGUUGCGAAAUCUGGGCUUUACCGCUUCGCAACUGCAAAAUGGGGGCUCCUGUGCUGCGAAGUGGCACUCGUGUGCCAAACUCGCCUUUGCAGCUGCGAAAAUUCUCGCAGAGAAUCCCAAAGUGUUGCGGAAUGGUUUGGCAACAAAAUGCUCAAUUCGCAGAAUAUUUCUUUAGGUUGCGAAAUCUCGCAGAGCUCUGUUUUUGCUCUGUUUUUACUCUGUUUUUGCUCCGAUUUCGCUCCGAUUUUUUUCUUUCAAUUUCUUUGCAUUUUCUUCCACCUGGGAUCAUUCAAAAAGAUUAAAACACACAUAAAAACAUGAUUUAAGAUCAAAAACUAAGAUCAAAAGUAUGGAAAAAAACUUGGAAAUUUACAAAAUUUACAAAAAUUUUGGACUGUGGUAAAACCACGUCCACCAAAACCUUCUUUGCUUAGGCUUUUUGUGGUUCAAGGAGGUUUAUUUCCUCCUUUUCUGGUUUGAAUGGCUCCAUGAAUGGCUUGAGACAAUAUCCAUUGACUCUAAAGGUGUCUUUGCCAUUGGAAUUCAAUAAUUCCACCACUCCAUUAGCAAAUAUUCGGUGAAUAAUGAACGGGCCUAUCCACCUUGACUUGAGCUUCCCAGGAAAGAUAUGGAGUCUUGUGUCAUACAGUAAAACUCUUUGCCCUUUCUGAAAUUCCUUGUUGGAGAUUAGUUGAUCAUGCCACUUCUUCAUCCUCUGUUUUGCAACUUUGGAAUUGAUAUAAGCAUUAUUUCUUAAUUCCUCCAUCUCAUUAAGGUCUAGAUAUCUCUUUUCUCCGGCUCUGAUCAAGUCCAUGUUCAGCUUCUUUAUUGCCCACCAAGCUUUGUAUUCAACUUCCAUAGGGAGAUGACACGCUUUGCCAUAGACAAGACGAUAGGGAGACAUGCCAAGAAUAGUCUUAUAAGCUGUUCUAUAUGCCCACAAUGAAUCAUGAAGCUUAAUAGACCAAUCCUUUCUGCUGGAGUUCACUACUUUCAUCAAUAUAUUCUUUAUUUCCCUGUUAGCUAGCUCAACUUGCCCGGAAGUCUGAGGAUGAUAAGGUGUAGCCACCUUAUGCUUCACUCCAUACUUGGAUAACAGAGCUUCAAAAGGUUUGUUGCAAAAAUGAGCACCUCCAUCACUGAUUAUGGCUUUGGGCACCCCAAAUCUUGAGAAAAUGUUCUCUUUAAGAAACUUGAGAACCACCCUGUGAUCAUUUUGUUUACAGGGGAUUGCCUCAACCCAUUUAGAAACAUAAUCCACCCCCACCAAGAUGUAAGAAUUACCAAAAGACAUUGGGAAAGGUCCCAUGAAGUCAAUGCCCCAUACAUCAAAUAACUCAACUAUUAGAAUGGGGUUCAUAGGCAUUUGAUUUCUUUUUGUUAACUUUCCAAGCCGUUGGCAUCUAUCACAACUCCUACACAUGAUGUGGGCAUCUUUAAAAAGAGAUGGCCAAGUAAACCUUGAUUGCAAUACCUUCAUGGCUGUUUUCUGAGAGGCAAAGUGGCCUCCACAUGCAUUCUCAUGACAAUGAGAUAGAAUCCCUUGCUGCUCAUCUUCAGGGACACACUUCCUUAUUAUCUGAUCUGCACAAUACUUAAAAAGAAAGGGCUCUUCCCAAUAAUAAGCAUGAAUUUUGGCAAAGAAGUGUUUCCUGUCCUGUGCAUUCCACUCACUUGGAAUUUCACCAGUUACUAAAUAAUUAGUAAUAUGAGCAUACCAAGGAGUUUUCACUAGGAACAUGAGUGAUUCUUCAGGAAAAUCAUCAUUAAUAGGCAAAGGAUGGGAAUUAUGUGUUAUAACUAACCUCGAAAGGUGGUCAGCUACCACAUUCUCCACUCCUUUCUUAUCUUUGAUUUGGAGAUCGAAUUCUUGUAACAGAAGAAUCUAUCUAAUCAACCUUGCUUUUGCAUCUUGCUUUGUCAAUAAAUACUUCAAGGCUGAAUGGUCAGUGAAGACAAUGAUGAAAGACCCCACUAAAUAAGCACGAAAUUUGUCCAAAGCAAAUACCACAGCUAACAAUUCUUUCUUUGUAGUUGUGUAGUUCCUUUGAGCUUCAUUCAAUGUUUUACUUGCAUAGUAAAUCACAUAGGGCUUCCCGUCUUCUCUUUGGCCAAGCACAGCUCCUAUAGCAAAGUCACUGGCAUCACACAUCAGUUCAAAAGGUAAUUGCCAGUUAGGGGCUCUCACUAUUGGAGUUGUUGUUAAAAAUUUCUUCAAUUGAUCAAAGCUAACAACUCACAAAGAGGUUUUGAAAGACUUGAAAAACCUUUAAUAAAUCUCCUAUAGAACCCUGCAUGGCCAAGGAACUGCCUUACUCCUUUUACAGUUGUUGGGGAUGGUAAUUUGACAAUAAGCUCCACCUUUGAUUUAUCAACUUCAAUGCCUUUUUCAGAGAUGAUAUGGCCAAGGACAAUUCCUUGACGUACCAUAAAAUGACAUUUCUCCCAGUUGAGCACCAGGUCUUUUUCAAUGCAACUGUGAAGAACUGCUUCCAAAUUAACUAAGCAUUCCUCAAAUGUACCUCCAUAUACGAUGAUGUCAUCCAUGAAAACCUCCAUAAUUCGCUCCACCAUAUCACUGAAAAUACUCAACAUACAUCUUUGAAAUGUAGCAGGUGCAUUGCAUAAACCAAAAGGCAUUCUCCUGUAAGCAUAUGUUCCAAAUGGACAUGUAAAAGUGGUCUUUUCCUGAUCUGCCACAUCAAUUUCAAUCUGAAAAUACCCUGAAUACCCAUCCAAGAAGCAAUAGAACGGAUGUCCAGAGACUCUCUCCAGCACUUGGUCAAUAAAUGGCAAUGGAAAAUGAUCUUUCCUGGUUACAACAUUCAACUUUCUAUAAUCAAUACACACCCUCCAACCUGAAGUGAGGCGUGUAGUAAUUUCUUCUCCUUUUUCAUUUUGAACCACUGUGAUCCCUGACUUCUUUGGUACCACUUGAGUAGGACUCACCCAAGGGCUAUCAGAUAUAGGGUAAAUGAUUCCUGCUUGAAGUAGCUUCAGCACCUCAGCUCGCACCACCUCUUGUAGAUGAGGAUUCAAUCUUCUUUGAAGUUGACGAAUUGGCUUUACUUCCUCCUCCAUAUAUAUAUGAUGAGUAAAACUAAAGGACUAAUGCCUUUCAAGUCGGAUAUUUGCCAUCCUAUUGCCUUCUUACACCUCUUGAGAACUUCUAUUAAACAAUUCUCUUGAUGAUUGGUCAGAGAUGAAGAUAUCACAACAGGACAUUGAUUAUUUUCUUCAAGAUAUUUAUAUUUCAGCUCCACAGGUAGAGGCUUCAGAUUGAGUUUUGGAAUUUCUUUUUCAGCAGCUGCCUCUUCUUCUUUAUUGAACAAAGGUAGAAUCUCUUCUAUCUUUCUCCAACUUUGUAGAGUAGCAAGCACAGUAGGAGAUUUAGACAAACCUUCCUCAAAAUCUACAAGACUUUCGUUCAACUUGUCUUGCAUAUUUUGAUUACAGUGCUCCUCCACCAAAGUAUCAAUAAUGAAUAGCUCUUCUGGACCUUCUUCUUCUUCUGGAGUGAUUUGCUUUUUAGACAUAUAGAAAAUAUUGAGAUCCAGUGUCAUGUUGCCAAAAGUGAGUUGCAUCAGCCCAUUCCUGCAAUUGAUGAUUGCAUUUGAGGUAGCAAGAAAUGGCCUUCCAAGGAUGAUAGGAACUAAAUUAGCUUCCUUUACAGUAGGAUCUGUAUCAAGAACAAUAAAAUCUACUGGAUAGUAGAAAUUAUCCACUUGAACCAAGACAUCCUCAAUUACCCCCCUUGGAAUUUUUACUGAUCUAUCUGCUAGAGAUAGAGUGAUUGCUAUUGGCUUCAAUUCCCCAAGUCCCAAUUGCUUAUAGACGGAAUAUGGAAGCAAAUUCACACUUGCCCCCAAAUCUAACAAGGCUUUUUCCACUAUCUUUCUUCCAAUCAUGACUGAAAUGGUAGGACUUCCCAGGUCUUUGUACUUCAAAGGAGACUUACAUUGUAAGAUUGCACUUACUUGCUCAGUCAAGAAGGCUUUCUUGUUUACAGUCAACCCUCUUUUGAUAGUACAUAAGUCCUUAAGGAAUUUUGCAUACGUUGGAACUUGUUUAAUCAUAUCUAGCAGUGGAAUAUUGACUUUCACUUGUCUCAAUACUUCAAGGAUUUCAGCUGCAUUUCUAAUUUCCUUUUUCCCAUGUAAUGCUUGAGGAAAAGGUGGAGAGGUUGAUUUCUUCAGCAUUUCUUCCUUCAGAAGUUCCUUCUCUGGAAUUGCAUUCAUUGUUGAAUCAGAGUCCUUCGUUUCUUCACUAAUCUCAUUCUCUUUAUCUUCCAUUUCCUUCCAUUUCUUUAUCUCUUCCUCUUUCUCCACAUAUGGCUCGGGUGUUGGCUUCUCAAUUUUUUUACCACUCCUUAGAGUGAUCAAGGCUUUGACAUCUUUCGUCUGCGAUGAUUCUCCCUCUUGGAUUUCCACUUCAUAGACACCUUUGGGGUUCUGGUGGGGUUGAGAAGGAAAUCUUCCCUUUUCUUGCAGUGUAUUCAAAUUUGUAAGCCUUGAAAUUGAAUAUUGGAUGUUAUCAAACUUUUGGUUCAUAUCAUUUUGCAUUCCAUCCAUCCUUUUAUUCAACAUACUCUCCACUCUGUCAAUUCUUUGAUAGAUUUGAGCAUUGGUGGCUUCUUGGUUUCCAAUAAAAUCUCCCACUACCUUGCUGAGAUUAGUCAUUGCUUGUUCAAGACUUGAAGAUUGUUGAGAUGGUGGAUCCGACUGUUGGUAUUGAGUUGCUCUGGCCUUCCAUGAGAAAUUUGGAUGAUUCCUCCAACUUGAGUUGUAGGUAUUUCCAUAAGGCGCAUUGUUAUUGGGUCUGAAUUGUCCAACAACAUUUGCUUGAUCUCUAAACAUUUCCCUUUCAGCUGAAAUUGCAGGGCAUUCCUCCACCAAAUGUUCAUAUGAUUGACAAUUAGGACACAACUUCACUUGCACUGAUGCUUCAGCAACAGCUUGCACUUCAUGAAUUCUUUUCAGCUCCAGCUCCUCCAAUCUUCUUGUCAUAGCUGCCAACUUUGCUUUCAUAUCAUCAUCUUCUUUCAAGGUAUACAUCCCAGCCUUUGCAUUGAAAGCACUUAGUUGAGACUUCAUCUUACCCACUUCUCCUUUGGUUGGUUCAUCCCAUCCCCUUGAAACAUCAGCUACAUAGCUCAAGAAAUCCAUAGCUUCCUCUGGAUUUUUGCUCAUGAAAUCUCCUCCACACAUUGUCUCGAGGAGUUGCUUCAUUGAGGAGGACAUACCAUCAUAAAAAUAGCUCACCAGUAACCAAGUAUCAAAGCCAUGGUGAGGGCAAGCAUUUAUAGCUUCCAUAUAUCUUUCCCAACACUCAUAGAAUUUUUCAUUCUCUUUAGCUGAGAAGUUUGAAAUUUGCCUUUUCAAGCCAUUUGUUCUAUGAGUGGGAAAAAAUUUCUUGAGGAAUUCAACUUGUAAGUCAGUCCAAGAACGGAUACUCCUUGGCCUUAAAGAAUUAAGCCAAAUUUUGGCUUUAUCCUUUAAAGUAAAAGGAAAUACAUCAAAUCAAUUGAAGCUCCUCCCUCUUGGAAUGUAUUACAAACAUCUUCAAAUUCCUUGAUGUGUGCAUACGGAUUCUCACUUUCCAUCCCAUGGAAAGUUGGUAGAAGUGGAACAAGAUACGGUCUGAUCACUAGCUGCUCUGUAGGGGGCACUAUACAUGAUGGUGCACUCAUACGAGGUGGAUGCAUGCGGUCCCUCAUUGAUCUGAAUUCAUUGAGAUUGUCUUGAUGACCUUGGUGACUAUGCUGAUCUUCAGGUGUAGCUUCCACGAUAUUCAAGCUCAAUUCGAAUUCGUUGUUAUGAGGUGUAUCACACUUAAAAAGCCUUCCUCCAUUGUCUCGUAUCCACUUUGGCAUACACAACUAGUAUCUAUCUACAACUUAAAUGAAAAUAAAGGACAACAACAGAAACAGGGCUACAACAACAAAAUUAAAAUAGGCUAAAUUUAAAAGAUAAACUUGGAUUAUGAAUAAAUAAAGAAAGAAUGAGAAUUAGUAAAGUGAAAGAAACGUUACCAAACUUGUGAUGGAAAUCACAAGUGCUCAAAAAUGGUAUCACUAUAAAAUUGACACCUUCCUCGGCAACGGCGCCAUUUGAUUCAUGCCUAAUUGGUGUGCCAGCUGAUUCGUGUCCAGCUGGUGCUCCUUGUUUGAGGGAGUAAUCAACAAAAUUUAUAACCUAUAACACCAUAUACUAGGGUAGCAAAGAAAAAGCUACUAUAGUAUAGUGGCUCUGGGAUCGUUCACUGGGAAGGAUUAACAAGCUAUCAAUGUUACCAAUUCAAAGUGAAUUGGUCUUGUUUCAUUUCAAGGUUAGCUUAAGAAAUAAAACACAAACUUUGAUUGGUAAAGAUUUAGACUUAAACUAACUAACACAACAAGUAAUGGGAAUAACUUAGGAAGAAAAACAUUCCUUGGAGAGUUAGGUUUACUGGGGUGGUUCCUCAUGCAAAAGACAUAACUCCGGGCAGAUGGUUCAUUUCCUCGCGUUAGAGAUUCAACAUAUAGUCACUUCUCUAACCGGUUUUGUACAGAUACAUCCUUUAAUUAGAUUUCAACUUUAAUUCUCUCACUGAUGCAACUUGCAAUGGUUCAAGCCUCUCACUAAGCCUUAACCAUUCAAGGUGAUCUUUAACCUUGGACUUCCCUUCUCAAGCUCGCAAGAGAUAACUAAUGGAUGUCUCCUUGGAGUCCAAAAGCUUACCAAGUGUUGGAAAUUCCAGAAAAUCCUACCUUAAAGUCACCUCCCAGAGGCUCGCAAGGGGUAAACUAGUGCAUUUCCAUGGUUGGAAAUCACUUGCCUUACCAAGUGUUGGCCCAGGUGACUCUAAGGUGUUUUAAGUUAACUAAAAACAUAGAAAUCACUAAAGGAUUUCACUUCCUCUUCAUUACUGGCUGAAACCACAAAGUUUGCAUUCUUGCACUUGGAACCUUCCCCGGCAACCUUAGCUCCAAGGAAUUAGAGGUUUAGUUACUCAUUCUCUGGGAAAACUCCUCAGAGAGUUCAUAACUUAGUAAGAAAAUAAAAAUACAAAGUGAGAAGGUAAGGCAAUACAAAGAAUUGAACUUUACUUGCUUACCCAAAACUUUACAAAAGGAUCUCUUCUCUGAGAACAGGCUCCCGAGAGGUACUUAUAUGAGCAUAAUAUAAAACUAAUUAUUACAUAGAUAUUUUCUCUUUUUACUAACUUAAAAGCUAAGGAAUCUUGUAAUUGGUGGCUUACAAGGAGUAUUUUGGGAUUUAGACAACAAAAAUCUGAUGUAAAAUAUCUCCCAAUGUCGGUAGCAAAUAUCGGGAUGCUCCAGGAACCAUUUCGCAAGAGAAAAUGGCGUCUGCUAGAUUUCGCAGACACUCAAGAAGGGCUGCGAAAUCACUUCGCAACAAAAAGCUAUUCUCGCAGGGCUGCGAAGUUGGCUUCCACCUUGAGGUUCUCAGCUCCCAGCUUGCGGCAUAUAUCGGGCAACUUCAGAGGGAAAUACACCCUACUGUACAAAAAGGCUACGAAAUCACUUCGCAACAAAAGGGUGAUUUCGCAGCACUUUGCAAAAUGCUUCCUUCAGCUUUGAGUGAUUGGCUUCCACUAGCUGCAACUUCUUCGUUUCAACUCCGAAUUGUGUACCGUUUGAAGCAUUGGAUUGUUGACUUCUUGAGCUUUGAAAUGGUAUAUAGCAUGCAUCAAUUGGAAUCCAGAAAAUGCUCCAAAAGUGGCUGCUACGACUGUCAUCAAGAAUAUGCUUCAUGGCAGAUUCUCUUUACUUUUUCUCGCAUUCCGGAUUCACUCUUGGCAAAUGACUUCCAAGCUUUGCCCAAGAUUCCUCAUAAUUCUCCUCAAUCUUGAAUUGCUUUGGUGAUCAAAAUACUAACAAAACACCAAAACCUACACAAAGUGAUUAAAAUUGCUUUCAAGGGUCCUUAACAUGCCAAUUGAGUUAAAAGGCCAAAACUACUACUCAAAAGUGUUUAAAAGGAUUAAUUAUAGGCUAUCAAAUAGCACUUUUUGAGUAGUAAUCAGGAUUUAGCCUAUGUUUUUAUAUUCAUUAUCAUUAUUUGUGAAUUAACUCAAUCUUCUUAUGAAAGCGUUUUAUAUGCUAUCAAGGUAUGCUUCCUCUUUUCCCUAUCUCCUUGUUUCUAUUAGUGUGUAUAUUCUAUUCUCGUGAUUGAUCUAUCUUGUCUCACUACUACAAAAAUAAUUUAUGAUGUCACUAUUUAUGGUGUCGCAUUUAUAAAUAAUGACACCAUUGAGCUUAAAAUUUAUAAAGGUGACACAUCAUAUAAAAAAUCUUCAAUUAGGGUAGUUAGAUGAUGCUAAUUUCAUAUUUAUGGUGUCAUUUUUUGGAAGUGACACCAUAUGAAAUAAAAAAAUUUUAAAUUUUAUAACUCAAUGAGCCCUUUUUUAAAAUAGUGAAUAGGAAUAAUUUAUGAAAAGUCCAUUGUUUCCAUAUAUACAUUAACUAAUAUAAAAGAUCUUAUUGCUUAACCCUAACCAUUGUUUUCUUCUCCUUCUUAUCACACCCAUGGUCGGCACACCCAUAAUUGAUAUUCUUUGCUUCGUAAAAUCUCGGGUAAGUCAAAACCCUUAUCUAUCAUCUUCAUUUUUUUUUAUUAAUGCAAAAAUCUUUGUUAAUAUAAUUGUUUUAUAUCUCUUGAUUUAGUAUAUAUAUGAUGUGGGUUUUGUAAAUGGUGUUUUUAUCGAGUUCCAGGGAAGUAAAAACUAGGUUUAACAUUCUAACAUAUUUUUCGUUUCAUUGCUAAUAAGCCCCAAAACAAAUGAAAACAAGAAAAAUGAAUGAUUUUUAAAAUUUUUGUCUAAUUGAGAAUGAGAGAUACACUAGUUUGUAGUAAUUUUUCACAUGAAAUAAUAUUUUAUUGAAGACUUGACUAUAUAGUGUAUUGGUUGUAAUUUUUCACAUGUGAAAAUAUUUUAUUGAAGACUUGACUAUAUUUGAUACCUUUUUCCAUCGUGCUAGGAGCUUUAUGGUGAAGUCUAACAACAGAGAUUGACAUCUACUACAAGAUGAUGCUCAAUUAAUCCAAAAGCACUUAAGCUAUUUAGGGUUUUCUUCGGUUAACCUAAGAAAACAUUCCCACUUUCUUUGUAUUGAGUCACCUAAAUGGAAUAGAAUAUUGAGUAUCAGAGUGGUAAAGGGUAUUAUAAAUAUGACUUUUUUUUUAGAGUCACCUACAUGGAAUGAAUUAUUGGUAGGUGAACAAAAUAUUGGGAUGAUUGUAAUAGUUGAAUUAGUAAAUGGAAGAGAAGUGUAUGUUGCUUUGUUUAUUCUAUAAAAACAAUAAUUUUAGUAGUUGAAAUUUACAUGCUUUGUUGUUUUAUAAAAACAAUAAUUUUAGUAUUUGAAAUUUUAAAAUGUGAAUGAAAUGCCUGAAAAUAUGUUUUGAAAAAUAGGAUAGUAAUAAAUGGAAAAUAGCUCAUUUCCUAAAAAUAUUUUGAUAAAUUAAAAUAAUCUGUGGUUAAAAUAUAUUUUUGUGAAAGUAUUUAAAAAUGAAUCAAAAUAUUAAUAAUUGUUAUUUUGUUUGAAAGUAAUUUAGGAAUAUAAAAUAAUAUUGGGGAUAACUUUUAAGUUUAAAUUGGGUUAUAAAUGGUUAAUUUUUUUAGGACUAUCUUUUUUGAAAAUAAUCCAGUGAUAAUUUUUUAAAAUAAGAAUGUUGAAAAUAAUUUUAAAAAUAAAAUUUUGUUAGCAAUGAUUUUUCUAAAAGUAUUUUAGGCAUAAAUGGAAAUUUCUUGUAUGAAAAUAAGAGAAUUUAUAUAUAUAUAUAUAUAUAUAUAAUAGACAUAAAAAUAUGCAAAUGCGACUCGGAGGUGAACAAGACUCAACUCAAUCUGACAAAACAAUGACCGAUCGAUAUAGGUGUGGUCCCGACUCAAAUUGAACACAAACGGAUAGAAAGAUGGUCGAUCAAUAUGGGUGCGGCCCCAACUCAAACUGACACGACGAAUGACCAAUCGAUAUAGGUGCGGUCCCAACUCAAACUAAAUCGAAACUGACAAGAUGAAUGACCGAUCGAUAUAGGUGUGGUCCCAGAAACUGAACUAACAUGACAAGGAGAUGACCGAUUGAUAUAGGUGUGGCCCCAAACUCAGACUAACACGGAAAAUGACCGAUCGAUAUAGGUGCGGCCCUAAACGCAAACUGACAAGACAGUGACCGAUCGAUAUAGGUGCGGUCCCGACUCGAACUGAACAUAAACUGAUAGAAAGAUAGCCGAUCGAUAUAGGUGCGGCCCCGAAAACUCAAACUGACACGACGAAUGACCGAUUGUUAUAGGUGCGGUCCCAACUCAAACUAAAUUGAAACUGACAAGAUGAAUGACCGAUCGAUAUAGGUGCAGUCCCGACUCAAACUAAACACGAAAAGUGAUAGGAACAUGGCCAAUCGAUAUAGGUGCGGCCCCGAAACUCAAACUGACAUGAAAAUUGACCGAUCGAUAUAGGUGCGGUCCCGACUCAAACUGAACAUGAAAAGUGAUAGGAACAUGGCCGAUCGAUAUAGAUGCGGCCCCAAAACACAAACUGACAUGGAAAAUGACCGAUCGAUAUAGGUGCGGUCCCGACUCAAACCGAACACGAAAAAUGAUAGGAACAUGGCCGAUUGAUAUAGGUGCAGCCUCGAAAUGCAAACUGACAUGGAAAAUGACUGGUCGAUAUAGGUGUGGUCCCGACUCAAACUAAAUACUAAAAGUGAUAGGAACAUGGCCGAUCGAUAUAGGUGCGGCCCUGAAACGCAAACUGGCAUGGAAAAUGACCGAUCGAUAUAGGUGCGGUCUUGACUCAAACUAAACAUGAAAAGUGAUAGGAACAUGGCCAAUCGAUAUAGGUGCGGCCCCGAAAUGCAAACUGACAUGGAAAAUGACCGAUCGAUAUAGGUGCAGUCCCGACUCAAACUGAACACGAAAAGUGAUAAGAACAUGGCUGAUUGAUAUAGGUGUGACCCCGAAAUGCAAACUGUCAUGGAAAAUGACCGAUCGAUAUAGGUGCGGUCCCGACUCAAACUAAACACGAAAAGUAAUAGGAACAUGGUCGAUCGAUAUAGGUGCGGCUCCGAAACGCAAACUGACACGACGAAUGACCAAUCGAUAUAAGUGCAAUCCCAACUUGAAAAUUCAAACAGACAAGAUGAUGAAUGACCUAAUCAAAUGGCCCAAAGCCAAAGGAUAACCUAGAUAACGAUGCAAGAAAACUCGGCCAGAGGGGAUAUGCCCUAGUCUGACAACUCAUGAGGAUCAACAACUAGGUCAAAAGAUAAUGAAGCAUGUGAAAGGUCCUAUGAUCUUAGGGAAGGAGGGUAUGCCCCAGUAUGCAACUCGUGGGGGUCAACAACUAGAUCAGAAGGUGAAUGAAAGUCUACUGAAAGGUCCGAUGCUCUCAGAGAAGGGGGUAUGCCCCAGUAUGACCACUCGGAGGGGUCAACAACUAGAUCGAAAAGUGAAUGAAACCUGUGGAAGGUCCGAUGCUCUUGGAGAGGGGGUAUGCCCUAAUAUGAUGACUCGAAGGAGUCAACAACUAGAUCAGAAGGUGAAUGCAGCCUGUGGAAGGCCCGAUGCUCUUAGGGAAGGAGGAUAUGCCCUAGUAUGCAAUGAUGAACAGACAGAUAUGCAAAAUGCCUCAAAACUAUUGUACUCUGAAAUAUGCUCAUCCAUCAUGUAAUGAAAAUGUCCAAUCUCAGAUAGGUAAUGCCAAACAAGACCAUGUAUCGUGACACCAUGCUGACAAAACAAAACUAAUUAGUGAAUAACAAUAAUAAUGAUCAGUGCUCAAAAUGCAAAAAGCAAGCAAAUCAAUACUUAACAUGCCAACUGUCAAAGUGAAAACAUCGUCACUAAUAAGUCAACAAUCUAUCAGGCCCUGCCAUCAUGGAAGAUAUUGAACCUAAAGUCUGAAAGAUGUAUGAAAACAACACCAAGAUGAUUGAGGAUUGAUCUACAUCUCCUCCUAAUCAAGAGAGGGGUGAGGUCAUGUGUCACGAUGGGAUGUGUAGGAUAAAAGAAGGUGAUGAUCAAGCUCUGGUAUGAUAGAAGGCAUGAGAGUAUCUAGGGUGAAAUGUCUGAGUACGAGAUGAAAGGUAUGUAAGUAUUCGAGAUCAUCCAAGUAUGCCGAGAAGACUAGCCCAAGGCGUCAAUAUCUCCAUAAUCCAUCGAAAGCUGCAGUCACGAACAGAAAAUCAAGUGUCGAUGUCAAAACCUCCAACAAGGUGGCUAUGCCCCAAUAUGCAAUGAGGACAACAUGAAAUAAUCCAAUGAUCUCCAUAUCACUUGUUAGAUACUCCAAUGUCAAGAAUCAAUCUGAUCUCCCUCCAAAAGAUGGAUAUGCCCUAGUGUACAAGAUUCGAUAGGGUGAUUAUGCUCCAAUAAAAAAUACUCUCCAUCUCGUCUAUACCCCAGUGUAAAGUAGUGUAUCCGAACUGCUGAGGAAUACCAUGCCUAGUACGGGUCAACGAAUCAAUCAAUCUCUACUCCUGGUGCUAACAAUGGAAACAUCUCAACAUAAUCCAUAUGAAUCAAAAUCUCCGGGCUCUAUGAAUGUGAAUGAGGUGGCUAUGCCCCAGUAUAAACCAGCUGAAGUGACUAUGCUCUAAUGAAAAAUCAAAGUCCAUCACCAAUGAGAGGGAUACGCCUCAAAAUAAAUCGUCAUCUAAAAAAUCAACCAUCAAUGAGUAGAGUGUGGCCCAAUGCAAAGUAUCGAGUAGAGUGACUGUAUCUCCAAUAAAAGUGCUCUCUGAAAUGGUUGUGCCCCAGUGUAGGGUCAUCCCACAACUCCUGAUCCAUUAUAAUCCAAGUGAAAAAGUGAACUAUCUAUACCUCAGUGCAAGGCAUCAUCCCAAAAGAAAACGUCAUCAAUGAGCGGGGUAUGCCCCAGUGUAGAUAACGUCGCCUAUGAAAAUCCAUCACUAAUAAGAGGGGUAUGCCCCAAUGUAAAUCAUCAUCUCAAUUCCCCAUCCAUCACACUCUAAGAAAUAAUCUCCAACCAAACUAGAGUAUUGCCCACGUGGGAGCUGUCAAACAUAAGGUGAAGUAUUAGCCUUAGGGUGGUCUUCAAACACGGGACAUAACGUAGGCUAAGGUAAUAGGGUGAAAGAAAUGAAAAGAAACUAGGCUCAAAGAUCCCAAUGAUAUAAUCCCCAUACCCCUCGUGCAUGAGAUGCAAUGCGUAGAAAAUGUCAUGAGUCCCGGACCUAGGGGUCCCCACUUAAAAAGUGAUGAUGAAUGAAUGGUCACAUCGAAUAAGCAAGAAUAAAGUGUGGAUGUUAAACCCAUGUCAAACAUCAAACAGGAUGAGAAAAGAAAGAUAAAAGAUGAGGUAGAGUGAAACGAAGGAAUAAAAUAAAGAUAGAAGAAGGCGAAGAGAUAGAAAAAUGAGUGAUGGUCAACCUACAUCAAAGCAUGGAAAGUAGUCACAUCUAAAAUAGAUAGAAUGAUGGAUAGAGCAAGGAUUCGAAGAUACUAAAGAAAAUGUUGCUCGUCUCUCUCACAAAAAUCGAAUGAGCGACUCAUACUAUCACCCAAAACAUAUACCAAGAUAGAAUCUCAGAAAGAAGCUCUCAUAUGAACUCUCUCUAACACAUGAACUCAAUGAAGCAAACUGGCACAUCCAUACACAUGCCCAAUGAAGAAUGAUAAAAUGAACAAUGCGCUAUCCUUUUUUUUUUUUUUUUUUGCGCAUACUCUGAUCAAUAGUGAAUGAUCUCCCAUGAAAUACAUAGCCAAAUGAAUAAACUCUCCCCAUGUACUGAUGUAACAUGAAUCCUCACUAACAAGACAACCACUCAAAAUAAGAUAUCUGAACCACUGCUUAUAAGGCGAACAGAGGGGAAGAACGUGACAAUCUUCCAUGCAGUGACGUGUGAGAAACCACCACUCAAGGUGAAACAAGGAUAAUGUCGAGUAAGUAAUGAUGAAAGAAAAGACAAAGAAUGAAUAUCACAAGUGGUGAUAUGUGAUAUCGGGAAAUAGUGAUGAAAUGAUGUCCAAGUGGAAAAUAUCACAAUGAAGAGUGAGGAAUGAGACAUGAAUAUGUAUGUCAGGUCUAGAACUCAUGACGUAUCCAAUCAUAGCAUGCAAGCACUAUAGGGUCCCCAACCCAGUGUAAUAGGCAAAUGAGGUGAUGAAAGAAAAGGCUACAAUGCUCGUGUAAAGCUCAAAGGGCUAGCAACAGGUAACUCUAUAUGUGAGGGUGAUAUGGUAAACAAGCUCCUGAAAUGAUGGCCACCCAUCCUACGACCACAACCUCGAACAUCGUGCUUUCAAGAUCUCACAUGGUAAAUACUAAAGACUAGCACUCGUCCAACAUAGUCAUGGCGACUCCUCUGAAAUCGUGUGAAAGCUCUCACUGAUGCUCUAUGAUAACCAUCAAUGUCCUCUGAUAAUCAUCUCACUAUAUCAUUAUAUGCCACUCGCCAUCGUCUCGUAAAAUAACUCUCUCUGAUCAUACCAAAACACUUGAAGUCAUGUGUAACGACUCAAAUCUGGAUACUCCCUGAUGAUCCCUCUGCCUCAGCAAUAUCAUCAAGAAUUCAAACCACUCUCUCAUCGUGAUCCAUCCAUCAUCAUGCAAAGCUCACCUCAGGUCUAACCAUCUCGGACUCUACCUGGUCAGAUCAAGGAAAUGAUGGAAAGAAUAGGCAAUGGUACUAUAGUAUACAAAGACGAAUAUGAAUGGUAAGGUCGUAUAAUGGUAUCAAGGGGUGGUGUCAUGUCGAGCUCAAAAUGGGUAGUUCAUCAAGUCCACAAAGUCAGGGUAUGGAUAUGGAUAUGGUACUGCUCUGAUCAGAAAGUGAAAUGAGUCAUAGUCUUGAACUCCCUAGGUCGAUCUCCUGAUCCUAGGUCAAAAGGCUCAAUAUCAUCCAUGAUAGGUCAAGCCAGAGUGAUCAUGAUGUAUAAGUGAAAAGAUGUCUCAUAUUGAAAUCAUAACACACAUCAACACAAGAUAUGUAAAGCACACUCACGAGAAAAAUGUCACAUACUCAGAUAAAAGAUCAUAUCACUAAAUGAACCAAUGAGUACAUCAUGUGUGAAACGAAAAAGGACUACAAACGACUGGACUCUCAACAUGAAAAUAUAAACAAUGACCCUAAACCAAAACCACACUUAACAAAACAAAAACAACUCUGAUGAACCAAAAACUGGACUCGACAAAAUGGAAAUGACUCUGAUGAUGACCAUAAUAAAAAAUGAAAAGUGCUCUGAGUUGAACUGCUACCAAAUGAUGUACCCAAUGUCGACUGAUCCAAGUCCUUAACCCGGGAUGUCCCAAAAUACCAUGCGACAAUCAAUACCAUCAACAUCCAAAUCAAUCUACUGAAGACUAAGAGGAGGAGGAACUACAUGUGUAGAAUGCGUAGGCAGAGGAUUGGUGGUCACACUUGGCCCAGCCAAGUUGACCAACCCUGAAUCGAUCAAGUCCUGUAUCGCAUGCUGGAGUGCCGAACAACGCUCAGUAUCAUGUCCCUGAGUCUGAUGAUACAAGCAAUGCUCAUGGGAGCAAAAAUGUGGAGGAAUAGGAUGUGGCAAAGGGCGUGGCGCCAAAGCAACGAUCAAACCACCAUCUCUGAGCUUCUCAAAAGCUCUAGUCAAAGUCAUGCCCAAUGGGACAAACUGUCUCGCGGGCCUCUGUGCAUAUGGUCUAGGCGGUGGGUGAGUAGCGGCUCUCGGAUGUGAUGGUCGUGGUUGCAUAGUUGAGUCUUGUUGAUUUUGAGUCACCAUCUUUACGUUUUUUUUACGUUCAGAGUCAUUUCUCCUCAACUGUAUCAUUUAGGGUCACAGUUCUUGGUAUUCAUAUUCACUGGCAUUGCACAUCUAACCUUCAUGGUUUUGCACUUGUCCUCAUUCUCCUCACCUCAUUACCCUGUGCUUAUCGCUUAUUCAUCAUUGUUCUUCCAUAUUUUCCCUUCCACUACACAUGACGCAAUCCUUUGAGUUCAGGGCACAUAUUUUGGUCAUGUUGAUGGGCACCCUACGCCUAGCAUUCUCAUGUGAUACACGUAUAAGAGUCUCCUUUGGACGCAUUCUUUCUUGUAUUUCAGGGUGGUUUGACUGUUACUCAUCUUUGAUAUUGAUCCUCGAGUCACUUUUGGAGACGUCUUAGAGGGAGUUUGGGUCUUUAGUGUGGCUUUAGAGGCAUUUUGAGACAUCAUUUUCUCUUAGGAUUAGAGCCUUUUUGUCCAUCUGUUGGCCUGAGUGAAUUCAUGUCUCACUAACAUACUUUUGAGGGUCUCCUUUGUUCUUCGGUAAAGUCCACUUCAUUCCACUCAUUAUUCAUACUUUCUUUUCACUUCAGUGUUCAUAUUCCUUGUACUCAUGAGCUCUACCGAAGAUGGGUAUUUUAGGGAGCAUUCUUUACCACCUUUCCUAUUUUUGGCAACACGUGCAUGAGAGGGUGGAUAGGCAGUGUUAUUUUUUGGAGACAAUCAGCGGAUGACGUGUGGCAUGAGAAUCUUCAAGGCAUUGUGGUGGAGCGGGUCUGUUAUGCAAAAGCUGCAGGGGAGAUAUUGGGAGGGAGGAGGUUUUGCUUGAGAAGGAAGCUACCAGAGGGAAGCUGAGGGGGGUUUUGGUUAGAGAGAGAGAGGUUUUUCUGGAGAGAAACCAGAGGAGAGAGUGGCUUGAGAGAGGAAGAAAGAGUUUGAAAAGCAAGUCUGCUUAAGGAGAAGGACUGGAGAAAACAAGCUAGGUGUCUGAAAAGGGUUGGAGCAGAAAGUAAGUCGUAUCAUCUUCGCUUAAGGGCUCAGGAAUGGCCAUUAUGAGCAUUUUCACUUUGCAUAUCUUAAUUUUCCUCCCUUGACAUUGUUGAUCUUAAGCAUAAUUUGUUGGGUUUUUGUUGACCUGAAGCUCAUAUUAUACUUGCUCUACUUUGUCCUUUCUCGGGUUUCUCUGUUUUCUCUCUUAGAUGACUGAGGUAUGGUUUACUUUCUUUAAGCUUGAUGUUUGAUUAAAUACACAAAAGGUUACUGCGUGUCCCACCAGUUGGCAUCCCGUUCAUCAUUCAUGAAAUGUGGCUUUGCCUGAAUAUUCCUUAGGUUUUAUGAUUUUCAUUUUUUUUUCUUUUAAACAAAUUCAUCCUUCACACCUCUCUGCUCUCAUGAAACUAAUUGUGGAAUGCCUUGAUUUCUGUUUCGUCAUCUGAGAGAAUAUUGGAUGCUUCAGACUUGGUGUAUGAUUAUUGCUUGAAGUCACUUGGCUGGGAUAUUAGAAAUGCCCUGGCUGCCACGAAUGAAGACAUUGGUGAAUUCAAGCGUAUUGACGUUCUAUUAGACAGUGUUCACAGCGGCGGUGCUGGAGUUUUCAGGGGCGUUGCUGUUGGGAAUCCAUGUAACCAUAUAUAUCACUCAGGCUGUACUGUUCUUUGGUUGAUUCAGCACAGUUCAUGCCUUGUUUGUCGUCAGGAGUUGCCUUCAUAAGGUCAACAAAGUUUAGAUGGUGGGUCAUUAACCACUAAUCUACAGUUUUAUGAUCCGCGACACGGAGAUCCUUGCCAAGCACACCGGAAUUUGCAUGGUCCAGCUGCUGGUGCAGCACUUGCAGGCUGUAUGUAUAUAGGCAUGCUUGCUUUCAUUAGGGCAACUGGCACAAGGGACGGUGUUUCUGUGUUAGGUCAUGUAGUGUGUGAGAUUUUUCCACCUCUAGGAUCAGCUAGCAUGGUCUUGCUAAGUGCCACGUCGGGAUUGACGGCUUCCAUGGGAAAAUCUUUAAAAUGCUAUUCCAUUGUUUGUGAUGUUCUUCCUGUCAGCCUUACUAAUUACCAAUUGAUUAAUCAUUUUCUGAGGUGUAUUUGUUGGUUCGCUAGCUGAAAACGGUGAUGCAAAGGGUGAUUUAAGGCUCGCAAACGACGCCGAUAUGCUGACCAGGAUCUGUGAUAGUUGCUGAGGCAGAAGCUGCCAUGAAGCGAACUACACUCGUAGACAACACUUCAAAUAUGCCUGUGGCUGCUCGUGAGGCUUUAAUUUAUACUGGUCACUAUAAGUGAAUACUUCGGAGAUAUGGGCUACAAUGUCAGUAUGAUGGCAGAUUCAACAUCUCGCUGGGCAGAAGCAUUGCGAGCAAUAUUGUGACGGCUGGCUGAGAUGCUUGCGAAUGGCAGAUAUCCUGCUCAUUUGGCAGCGCGUUGAGCUAUCUUUCUAUGAGAGUGUUGGCAAAGACAUGAGAGUCAAAAGGUACAUUUCCCAGAAGGAAUUCAGGCUUGGAAGCACCAGCAACCAGGAUCAGGAUGAUUCUCUACUGUUUACCCUUCUAUGGGAUCUAGUUAUCAGCAAGAAGAAAAGAAAAUAUAGUGAGAAAUCAGCAGUAAAGCCGCGAUCAGGGUCAUUUGGGCCUGUGUCAUCCAUGAGUAUGGGUCGUAGUAUUAGAAGCCCAGGUUCAUGUUCAAUGUAGAAGGAUUGAAUAUCAAUUUAACACGCUACACAUCAAGAAGCAUGGGAUAGAUAACUUACUCAAUAGGCCAAUGGCGGCGUCAGUGGAGGUGGCAUGAUUGAUUGAGCAAAUCUGGCGAAGAGGAUGAGAACAGAUGUCAAUGUUAUCAUCAAAAAGCUUAACAAAGGUUCAUCAACUAUGUUCUAGAGUUUCUUCUGGCAUCAUUAAACUGGCGUGACGGCAAUUUGAGGGAAAUGCUAUAGUUCCCAUGAUGAUUUGGUAUUGAUCUAGACAUAACAUAUCAUGAUGAGGUCAUAUGGAUCUUGCUACUUCAGUUUACCCUGUUGACUGCAUCAGUGGCAUAUAUCAAGGUAAAAACCAGUUUAAUAAGUUGGAGGAAUUAAUCUGGUGUCGUUUGAAUUUUCAAAAAGCUAUAAAACAUCAAGAAUCCUUUGCAUCCAAAAUCCUUUACCUGCUUCCAAACUCCUGUGUUAAGAUGAUUACAGUGGCACCGAGCACGCCACAGGUCUGGACUCUGAGCCCUUAACUCUGAUCUUCACUGGAAACAUUAUUCCUACCCAUGCAUGACAGCAUUCUCACAGAGAAGCAAUAGAUGAGCUGGUCGAGAAGGAAACUGGUGCAGCAUAUGGAUAUUAUGAAUAUAGUAUCAAUCUUUCAAGGAAUCCUAGCUUGGGAAUUGGUAGACCUAGUGAACAAAGACAUGACAAUGGAGAUGAAACAAAUGGGCAGAGAAGGAGCAAUCAACCGAAGAAGGUGUCAAACAGAGAGAGUCCUAACCAUGCAUGAGUAUACCAAGUUCAUCAACUGAAAGUCAUCUUCCAUAUUAUCCACGCCAAUCCUUCAUGCUACCCUCUUGUUUAUUAAGUUGCCUUCCAGAUGAGAAUCCCUCAAAAGACCCUAUUUUCCUCACGUCGUAACCGAGUCCUUCACUUUCUCUCUCUAAAACCCUCGUGCUAUCUCUAAGACUCUCUCGCUAAAACUCUCCAUUCCAUGAAAUUCUAGUUUUUCAACUCCCUAGCCAUAUACUGUCUCGUCACCAGUAUCGCUCCUAAGGUUCAGAUCACUUGGCACAGCACCCAUCAGAUCGGUAGUAGGCUGAACUGGGGCAAGAACCAUACUACUAAAGACAUCGAUUCGGGGUUGAAGUUCGAGCCUUAAUGCUACAGUCAAGAAUAUUUGUGCAAGCCUUGUGAAACAGGUUGCAAAUACCAUUAAUAAUGUGGCAAGAGAUGGUACCGCCUGUGCUACAGUCCUUACCCGAGCAAUGUUUACCAAAGGGUGCAAAUCGGUAGCUGCUGGAAUGAAUGCUAAGGGAUCUCGAACAAGGAUAUCAUGGAACGCCUCUGACCUCAUCUACCAGCUUUGACAGCCACUUCCACCAGUACCUGUGAAAUAUUCUGAAGCUCUGGGCUUUGACUAUAUUGUUCUAAACAGUAGUCAUCUGUAUCUAUUUGGGGAAGAGGAUCCAUUGGAGGAAUAUCUGAGAUGGAUCAGUUCGAAUGAAUAAAGGGUUUAAAGGCGAAUGCACAAGAAGGCAGAGGACUCUCCAUUCAGCUGAAAUCUAUGAUCCUAACAGGAAUGGAUGGAACAAGAAUUGAGAGAUCCUUUAACCUGUCGGGAUGCUGAUAUAGAAGGACCCUACUUUCAUGGAGCAUUUUCCUGAAGAAAAUUCUAGAGUUGACGUCAGCUUUAAUCAAGUAUCAAAAUUCUGGAAGAAGCAAAGAUUGGGAUCAAUCUCCUCCUGUGUUGACUUGUGCAUCACAUAAUUUGUUUGACGAUUUUGAUAGAAGCUUUAAACCUGUAGGGCCCAAGCAGUUCAAGAUGGUAUCGCAUAAAGAAGAUAUUUUCUCCUUGGCCAACCAUACUUAAAUGAGAAUGAUUUGACUGAAGAUGAGCUUGCUACCUUUUUAUGGUGCUAUGGGUUCAGCUGAGUACAAUAUGAUUGAUUUUCCUGAAGGCAAUUGGCAAUGGGCUGAUUCCACUUCCAAAGUUGAUGAAUGAGGCAGUGAUCCUGCAGAAGUAGAUUUAUAUGGCAGGGAUGAUGCAGAUUGAUAUGGUCAAGAUUCAAGUGGGAGCUAGGAAAUUGAGGUUUGAAAAUAAGGAAAUGCAUGUUGAAGCAAGAGAAAGGAAUACAUUAAGGAGUAGCAUGGAACCUUUUAGGCAUGGAUCUGGGCACUAUGGUUGGAUACCUUCAGAUGUCGCUUUAGUCAGUUCUGUGCUUAGCAAAGUGGCUUCAAAAAGCUCAUGGAAUGCUGCCAACACCUUCUCUGUCCCCAUCUCCAUGGUUGUCAUUCCUCAUCUCCUUCCACUUAUGCAUGGACUGGAAGGUCACCUCUAGCAUGGCCACUUUUUGAGCCAUGUCCCCCCCCCCUCCCCCCCCUCAAAUUCUUUCCCUUUGACUUUAAAAUAAUAAUUUCUUAACCCUGUUUUCAAAUGAUUUUCCAACUUCUAUUUUUUUUUAAUGAUUUCAGGUCAUCAAAUUUUCCAUCCUUAGAGUUUUUAGGUACCAACAUCCCAUUUUUAAUAAAAUUUGGUCGCCAUUUUCCUUCUGGCGAGCCAUUUUCGAAUUUUCUUUGAUUUUCAAAAUGUUUUAAAAUAAGUGUGAAUUUAUUUUUCAUAAUUCUUGGUGAUAGAAUUUACGAAAUUGAUUCACUCAAAAAUAAAUGGGCUUUGGUGGGAGCCCCACAUACGUGAUUUUAUGACUGAUUGAUUGAUCGAUUGGUUGUUUUGAUUGCUAUAUAUGAUUGAUUCAUUAUGUUCUAUGUUAUGCACAUGAUUACUCUGAAUUUGUUCACUAACCUUUGCUUCCCAUGAAAUAAAUGAGUUCAUCACUCAGGUACGUCCUUUGCCCCUCUUGUUCAUUCAGUUAUUUUUGUUUUGAGUGACAUUCACUUGGUAUCCAUUUACGGUUAAUCAAUUGCCAUGAUUGCUUCAUUUUAUUAGUAGAGACCUGACUUUAGGGACUUAGAGGGGUGUUACGGUCUUUAUCGUACCUUCCCGAUAAGUAACUUGACUCCCGAACUCGAUCCAGUUUUUCUCAAAUCACCUUUUCCAAAAUCAAGAGUCAUUCUUAGGGCUUUCUUUCUUAUUUUGUUUACCCUUUUAAAAAAUAAAACAAAAACAAGUGGCGACUCCAAGUCAUUUUCUAAUAAAUAAAAAUCAUUUUUCAAAAUAAAAAUCGAGCUCGCCAUCGAGUGGAAAACGCAUGAGCCGAAAUGAUAAUAGUUGAAAAUAUUUUUAUAUUUUGUUACUAAAAUUUUAUUUUAUAUAAUUGAGAUGAAAUUUAAUGGACAUUGUUAUUUCCCAAAAUCAACAUUAAAAAAAUAUUGAAAUUAAAAAAAAUUCUUCCAAGAAAUAUAUAUAUAUAUAUAUAUAUAUAUAUAUAUAUAUAUAAAGAAUUAGAUUUUAAAAAUGAUUUUUAAAAGCAAAAUGAAUUAUAAAAAUAAAUAAAUUUAAAAAGUGCAAAUUUUAAGUAGAAAAUUAGUAUUUUUUUAAUUUUAGAUUUAUAUUUUGAUUUUUUAGUUUUAAUUUAUUUUUUAUUUUCUUGAAUUGUUUUUAUUUGAGUUCAAAUGUGACUACUUUGUUAUGAGAUUCAUUAAAGAAAUAAUUGUUGAUUUUACAGUUAUUGCAUUAAAAGUUUUACUCAUUUAAUGAAUUGUACAUAAUUUCAUACUUCCAAUUAUUGUGAUAUUAAUGUUAUUCUCAUUUGAUUUCAGUUUGAUGACAAAAAGAAAACAUAUUCUCAAGUAGAAUUUGAUGAAAUUAGAGAAGAAUGGAUUACUUUUGUGUUUUAACUAAUCAUGAAUCAUAUUGAUGUAUCAUGAUCAUUCAUGGUGAGUCCCUUAGUUGUUAUAUGAUUGAAUUUUCCAUUGGUAUUGUAUAACAUUACUUAUUAUUUACGAACUAUUUUUAUAUCAAAAAGAGAGAAAGAAAAAAGAAAAAAGAAAAAAGAAAACAUUAGUACUUAGAUUUGUUUAUUGUUUAUAACAUCACAUUUUUAUUUUCAAUAAAAACUCUAAAACUCAUUAAACUAUGAAAUGCAGGUAUACACUCUUGGGAGGACAGUAUGCAGAAUAAAAAGAAAGGAGAAAAAGGCAACAAGAUUUAGGUUUUUAGAUAUGACUCUUAUGCCAUACAUUAUAGGACAUAAACGUUACUUUAUUUGGAAUUGAGAAUUUUGGGUUUUUGGAUGCAACUCUUGUGUCAUUUUAUGGUUAGCCGAUUUUAUGCAUAUGAAAUGUAGGUAUACAUGAAUGUUGGGAAGCUUAACAUUUCUAAAUCAUGUUUUAAUGUGUAUUCCCUUUUCUUUUUUAGUUUUGGUGGGUUUGAUGUACUAUCAUUUUGUGAACAUUUGAUUUACAAAUAUUAUUGGAUGAUGUAAUGUGUUACAAGUUCAUUCAUAAGCAUUAUGAAAAUAUAAGUUAAAUGUAAUAUGAUUAUUAUAUUUAUGGACAAUUUACACAGGUUGGUCUUAUUUAUUAAUAAACAUUACAAAAAUCUACAAACUAAUCAACAAAAAACAACCAUAUCUUCCAUAAUCAUUUACAAUGAUGUGGCACCAUAAAUUAAAGGUGAUACAUUUAACGUGACAGCAUAACUCAAAGAUGAUGCAUUUAAUAUGACACCUUAUAUAUCUCAUAAAACUCUAUAUCAAGUUAAGCAUCACUAAAAAUAUAUGAUGUCGCUUCUGAAUGUGUCACCAUUUAUCUGCUUUGGUGUCGCUUCCAAAUACGCCACCAAUUGAUACCCUCUAUGGUGUCAGUGGAUAAGGUGAUGCUAUGAUGUAGUGACACCCUAUGUUUAUAGUGACUUAUUAUAAAUGUCACCAUAUAUCUUUUUCCUUGUAGUGUGUUACUUGAUUCCUAUGUUGUCAUGUCAUUGCUUCUUGAUUUGAGUGAAACAAAUUAUAUAUAUUACAUGAUCAUUGCUUGUGAACUAACUCUCUUGUUUAUGGAAGCGCUUAACAUGCUAUUAAGGUACAUUCUUUCCUUUCUUUGUUUAUUGAUUCUUUGAGUGUGCAUGGUUUGUUUAAGUAUUCUUGAUUAUGAUUUUAUUAUUGCUUUGAUAUUUUUUUUUAUUCUUGGUAUCCACUGAUUUAUAUAUUAAUUGUCAUAUAUAAUUACCUCAAUUUAAUUAAUAGAGACUUGUUUUAAGGCUUAGAGGGGUGCUACCUUAUGGUACCUUCCCAAUAGGUAACUUGACCCCUAGACUUGGACUCGAUUUUCAAAGUCACAUUUUUCCAAAUAAGGAGUCAUUUGUAGGGUUUUAUUUCUUAUUUUGUUUUUCCUUUAAAAAAUAAACAAAAAUAAAUGGCAACUCCAAUUUUUACAAAAAUAAGUUUUGCACUAAAAGGCGAGUGUUGCCAUUAAGUGGGAAUGUGCGUGAAAAAUGAGGGUCCACACUAUGGUAUACCAUUAGAUUGUUUUUGGUUCUACCCACUAAUAUGUGAGGAACAUCGAAGGCUACCUGCUUCCAUAAGUUUCACUAUCUUGGGCAUUUUUAUUAACAAUGUACCAGAAAUUUGUUAAUAUAUGCACAUUUAUCGAAAAAUAUAUAUGAUUUAUGACUUUAUGAAAAAAUAACACAUGUAAUACAAGUUUAUUUCGUAUGCUCAUAUUACAAACAUUCUCUAUUUCAUUUUUUAAAUAUAAAUAUAUUUGAUCUCUAUCCUUUAUUUGCGUUCAAGUUCACUCCUUUUAUUAAAUAUUUUUAGGUAUACUUGAUUUUGGGAAAAAGUGACAUGGGUAUGAAGGGUUCAAAACCCCGUUUAUUUCUUUAGCUAAGAGACUAAUUUAAAUGGAUAUUUUUUGUAUUAAUGGUUCACUUUACUACUACUUUUUGGGAGAUUUGUCAUAAUUUAAUUUGUGGAUUUUAUUAUGAAAAGAUAAAUUUCUAGUUAAAACUUUUUUGUUAGCUUAAUAACUACUUCUCAUGUCAAACUUUCGGACUACACAUGUGAAAUGAUCGUGCUGUCCUAAACUCCGGGUUUGAGUCACAUCAUUAGCUUGCAUUUCCAUGAGAAGGGUUAUGAUAAAUUAGCAAUGAUGUUUCAUGCUAACGUGCCUUCAAAUUUUAAGGUUGGUGUUUUUCUAGUUGCACUAUAUCUCUUCAACAAGAUACCUUCCACAACUUUGAACUUUGACACUCUACAUAUAAAGUUAAUAUUUCUCAAAAGGUAUAACAAACACAAAUUCACCAAGAAGACCUGCCGUUUUGUCUUCCUAGCCUAUAGCUCUCUUCAAAAGAGAUAUAAAUGCUUGCAUGCAUCCCCAAACAAAUGGAGUUUAUCAAGACAUGUUUCUACUUGCAAACACUGGCUGAAAAUUUAACAGCACUCGAGCCUUCAAGCCAAAUACAGUGUCAUAGACUGAUACAUUGCCUACUAUUGAUAUAACACCUAUCUCUAGUAAUCUGCACCCUGCUACAUUUAAACUGCUUAAUUCUUAAAAUCCAUGUAGAUGCUCUUUAAUUUAGAGCUUGGAUGUAAUAAGUCUAACAGGCUCUUCCUCUUUUGUCAUUUUCUUUAUCUCCUGUUCAAACCUUUCCAUGACUGGCGGAGGCAGGCAUAUAGGUAUAACAUUCCCUUCUUCUCCUUUGCUGUUCCUGAACCGCGCACAGAAGCUAAUAAUAGAUAUAGCCCUAGCAAGCCCACUAUAGACGGGCUUCCCCCACCCGAAGUCGAUCUCUCCAGACCCGUCACGCGUGACAUCUGCAACCAUAUAGUUCCCCGGGUGCAUAAAUGAGGGCCGGCCCUUGAUGACCAUAAGAUCUGCCACUGAUUUAACGUACUCCUGACUCAUUUCCGCCUUGGCUUUCUUCACUAACCUUACCGCAUAUUCCAAUGGAUUUUUACAUAGCAUUCCAGCCUUAGUAAUUGAAGCUGGAGUCACAACAGCAUUUCCAUAGUAUCCUGGAGGCAGUUCGAAACCGCGCUUGCCUCGCAUACUGAUUGAGCAAAUAAUGCGAACAACCUCAUCAGGGUCUACUGCAAAUGCAAUUGUGCGGCAUCUCCAUACACAUGCUGUUAGAACCUCAAAUGUCGUGCUGGCACCGAGGCUUGCAGGAAGUCGGUUCCUAAGUGCUCUUAUCUCCUUGGGGCCAAAGAAGAAUGAUCGAUGAACCAAAUUAUUUUCGUCCAUGGCCAUUAGUGUGCCCUUGGUGUUGGUUACCUCCUCGUAUUCAUGAUGUAUACAGGUUAUUCGUGGUGGAUUUCGGGCAUUUAACAGC